CUCAUCCAGGGAGCAGUCAUAUGGCUCCUCCACCUCCCCCAUCUCCAAAGAGCCAUCCACCUCCAUCUCCAAACACUGAUUUGGCUCCUCCUCCACCACCUCCAUCUCCAACGAGCAAUCCACCUCAACCGACACAGCCGCCUCCAGGACCGUGUGUGGAAGUGAGGUUGUACAAAGGGCCAUGCGUCAACAUACUUUGCGCGGCCGCCUGUGUCGCGGAGUUCCAUCAGGGUGGCCACUGUCGUGGGAAUAUUUUUUCUGGUGGUUGCUAUUGUUUCUCGUGCUCCGUAGCAAAGUCUAGCCCACGAUUACAUUGAUGUGAAACAUGCGGAAUGUGGCUUGAGUUUUCUAUUGGUUCAAUCAAAUAAUAAAGGAAGUGGUUGUUAUAGUGUUUCACUUUUUAUGAAAAAUUAAUGAAUGGGGCUUUUCCCUUUUUGGAGUGUCUAGAACGGGUUUGACCCCUCUACGGUAAUGUUUCUAGGGGAAUAUUCAAGAUCCACGCCCAACGGUUGAAUUAUCUUCUUCGUUCCGGCAGAAACUAUAUUUUAGCUUGUGGGAGAUUCAACCUGUUGUUCAAACCCCUGUUUUGACCCAACGCAUCGAAUGCCGACAAGUUUUUCUUAUGCUGAUUCACUGCAUCAUUAAUCACGAAUAUGUGCUUUAAAUUUGACAGGACAACCCAGUUAAAAAUCUGGAAUAAUAGUAAAACAAGAAACAAUUCUGCUGCUAAUAGUCCGCUUAUAUAGCACAUAUAAAGGCGACAUGGAAGCUCACAUGCUCUUGGGUGAACAGUAAAAGACAAAAAAUAAUUAAAAACUGAAAUAAAAAUGUUAUUGAGCAUUAAUGAUUUUUCCAUGGGCGUGCAAAUUUUUAUGAUAAAAUCAUGUCUGUGGAGGUGCCGGCAAAAAAACAAAAUUAGUGAUCCAAAAAGAGUGUUUUUAAAGCAUUUUAAGUAUUGAUUUUUUUUUUUGCUGAAAUAUCCACAAAUGUGAUUCUAUUGCGAAAAUUUGCAUGCAUGUAGAAAAAUCAUCAAUGUUUCUUGACAAAGCAAAAUCAGAUAUUUUUUUAAUUUUUUAAUAUUAACUGGAUUUACUGUAUCUCAGAGCAUGUGAACUCGAGCUCACAAUAGCACUUCCGAUGUAAAAGUGCAUCAUACUUCUCCUCUUCACUUAAAAAAUGAGAUUUCAAAAUUCUGGAUGAGUCACAAAGAUGUUAGACUUCCUUCAGGAGACCCAGAAGUCAGCCAGUCUAUAAGAGCAUCUCUAGCAGACCCCUUAUAAGGCUAGACCUUAUAAGGUGUUUACAGUUUGCGGCCUCGCUCAGAUAAUGGCCGAAAACAGGUCCAGCAGAACAGAAACCUCAAAUGGACCUUUAAAUUUUGAAAAUAAAAUAUCUCGCCAGAGAAGAACACAAGCAAUAGAACUAGGUGCAUCAAUACAUACUUGAUCAUCCAUACAUAGUUGAUUUACAUAUACUAGAUUGGAGGAGGCCGCCUACCACAAACUCUAAUGCCCAAAAUGUAGCUCAUCGGACCCCUCCGGGUGCGGCGGCGACGCUGUGGCAGCGAAGAUCAUCAGUCGUCGUCAUCGGAAGUAAGGUCGACGAAGAUGGCAUCCUGUGCGGCGGCUUCGCGGCGCCACACGACCAUGUUGUCGUCGAAAUCGCGCGCCCUUGCAAGCCCCUUCUCGUACAGGACGGUGUGAAGUUCCUCGUCCCGAUGGCGGCACUGCGCGCGAGGAUGGCCGCCCCGAUGGCGUCCGCAUCGGAAGGGCGCAGGAAAUCCUCUGGUGUGACGCCCGGAUAAUUAGGCUACAGUAAUCAUGUGAUAACGAUGCCAAAUCACCUCGGUUACUGUUGAUGAUCUUGCAUUAGUUCGAAACAGAUUCGAAUUACAGUUAAGACAAUUAAAGUUUUCAAAAGUCAAAACUAAAAUAUUCCGUUUGCGGCAAAUAAUCCAUACAUUACUUUGAUGAAGAAACCACAUUUUUAUAAUAUAAUUAAAUGCUCUAAGAUAAGUAAAACAGUGGUUGAAACAAUUAUUUUAACGUCUCUUAAAUGAUUAAAUUAUUGCAAACCACUUUUUAUAUUCAAAAAUAAUUGUGGCAGAGGUAUAACUACUAUUACUAAUUUAGGUGUUAGUAGAUUUUUUAAACCUAGAUUUGAAAAGAAAAGAAACUAAACUAAAAUAGAAAAAAGAAAUAAAAGAACAGAAGAACAAUUCAAAAUUAAAGUUACAGAAAAGGGACCCCCCUGGCCAACUGGGCCGAACUGCCCAGCAGCCCAGCCCAUUAGCACAACCGGCCCUCUCUCACUCCACCUUAUCCCCCUCGACAGCCAAACCCUAGCGGUUCGACCGCGCACUCCCCCCANNNNNNNNNNNNNNNNNNNNNNNNNNNNNNNNNNNNNNNNNNNNNNNNNNNNNNNNNNNNNNNNNNNNNNNNNNNNNNNNNNNNNNNNNNNNNNNNNNNNNNNNNNNNNNNNNNNNNNNNNNNNNNNNNNNNNNNNNNNNNNNNNNNNNNNNNNNNNNNNNNNNNNNNNNNNNNNNNNNNNNNNNNNNNNNNNNNNNNNNNNNNNNNNNNNNNNNNNNNNNNNNNNNNNNNNNNNNNNNNNNNNNNNNNNNNNNNNNNNNNNNNNNNNNNNNNNNNNNNNNNNNNNNNNNNNNNNNNNNNNNNNNNNNNNNNNNNNNNNNNNNNNNNNNNNNNNNNNNNNNNNNNNNNNNNNNNNNNNNNNNNNNNNNNNNNNNNNNNNNNNNNNNNNNNNNNNNNNNNNNNNNNNNNNNNNNNNNNNNNNNNNNNNNNNNNNNNNNNNNNNNNNNNNNNNNNNNNNNNNNNNNNNNNNNNNNNNNNNNNNNNNNNNNNNNNNNNNNNNNNNNNNNNNNNNNNNNNNNNNNNNNNNNNNNNNNNNNNNNNNNNCCACGGCCACCUCGUCGUCGUCCUCGCCGUCUCGUUGGACGCCAUGGCAGGACUGCCUCCCCGUCGUCCUCUCUGUCGCCUACUCGUCCCCGUCGUCGCUCGCGUUGUCCUUAUCGACCUCCUCCCCGAGCACCGUUGCCCGAAACCCUACAUCCCCCGGUGAGGACCCCGGUCCUCCUCUCUCCCUCGCCCCGCUCACCUGCCGCGUCGCCCGCGCCUGCACGCUCAGUGCCACGCCGGCCGCGUCGUCGUUUCCCGACCCCACCUCGGCUACUCGCCUUCGCCGUCAUGCACGCCGGCUGUGUCGGCCCCGGACAUCCCCUACUGCUGCACCCUGUGGCCGCCGGCGCACCGUCCAUCGGCUCCCCUGCUGCCCUACCCUACGGUCGCCUCCACAGCUCCCUCACGCGACCUUGCCAUCCUCUGCUGCAGUCCUGUACUCGGCCGGCCUCGUCGGUGCCGUUCGCGACUAGCCUCGCCGCGGCCCCGGUCAACGCCCGACGCCGGCGCCCGUUGGCGGCCGCUCGGCCCUCGCCUGGUCAGGCAUCGCUAGCGCCCAGCGCCCGCUAAGGCCCUGAGCCAAUGACCAGUGGGGCCUCGGCCCUGAGGACAAAAAAAGGGGAAAAGAAAUAAUAAAAAUAAAAAUACUAAAUAAUUAAUUAAUUAGCUAAGUUAAUUAGCUUAAUUCAUCAUGUUUAAUUAACCUAAGACAUCCAUUAAUUAAACUAACUAGGUUUAUUAGUUAACAGUCUAUGACAAACUGACCCCACACGUCAGUUUGACUAAGUCAACAGCCGGUUGACUACCGACAUCAUGCUGACAUCACGUGACGUCAUAAUUACACAUUCUAGUUAAAUUAAUUCAUUUAAUUCAAAAAAUGAAUUAUUUUUUUUAAAAUUAAUAUAAAAUUUGUACAUGAAAGUUGAUCAGAAUGAUGAGACGAAUUCAGAUACACAGCCUGUUCGUCCGUCACGCGUCCCUAGCAUAGUAAACCCGCAACUUUCCCCCUCCGUUUCACCUGUCCAAAAACGCGAAACACCGGUGAUACUUUUCUAGAUGUUUCCCCCUUUCGCUGGUAUCACCUACUACCGCGUUAGGGCACACCUAACACCGCUCAUUGUCAUGUCUUGCUUCGUCAUGCUUAUGUUCGCAUUAUAUUUAUUGUUUCAUCCCCCUCUUCUCUCGGUAGACUACGAGACCGACGCCGCUGCUACCCAGUACGACUAGGGAGUUGUCGACCCCUCCUUCUUGUCAGAGCAUCCAGGCAAGGCCCCCCUUUGAUCACCAGAUAUCGCCUAUUCUUCUCUCUGCUUCUUGCAUUAGAUUAGUGUAGCCUGAUAAUGUUCGGUUACUCCUAUUCUGUUGCAUAGCCUGUCAUUGUUGCUAUAGUCAUUGAUACCUUACCCGCAAUCCUAAAUGCUUAGUAUAGGAUGCUAGUUUAUCAUCAUUGGCCCUAGAUUCUUGUCGGUCUGCCUUGCUAUACUGUCGGGCCGUGAUCACUCGGGAGGUGAUCAAAGCUAUAUACUAUACAUAUAUACAUACUAUACAUGUGGUGACUAAAGUCGGGUCAGCUCGUUGAGUACCCGCAGGUGAUUCCGAUGUGGGGGCUGGAAGGACAGGUGGCUCCAUCCCGGUAGAGGUGGGCCUGGGUUCCCGACGACCCCCGACUGUUACUUUGUGGCGGAGCGAUAGGGCAGGGUGAGACCAUCUAGGCGAGAGGUGGGCCUGGCCCUGGUCGGCGUUCGCGGUUACUUCAUAAUAACACACUUAACGAGAUCUUGGUAUUUGAUCUGAGUCUGGCCACUGGCCUAUAUGCACUAACCAACUAUGUGGGAAAGAUAUGGGCACUCAACGUCGUGGUAUCAGCCGAAGCCUUCUUGACGUCAGCGACUGAGCAGCGCGCGCCGGAUUGGACUGGAACGCCUGCUCUUGUAUUAGGGAGGCUAGGUCUGCUUCCGGCCGCCGUCGCAACGUGCAAGUGUGUAAUGGGCGAUGGGCCCAGACGCCUGCACCAUAUGAGUUAGACCGGCGUGCUGUCCUCUCUGUUGUGCCAAGGUGGGGCUGCGACGUGUUGAUCUUCCGAGGCCGGGCAUGACCUAGGAAAGUGUGUCCGACCAAAUGGGAUCGAGCGUGUUGGGUUAUGUGGUGCACCCCUGCAGGGAAGUUUAUCUAUUCGAAUAUCUGUGUCCCUCGGUAAAAGGACGACCCAGAGUUGUACCUUGACCUUAUGACAACUAGAACCGGAUACUUAAUAAAACACACCCAGACAAGUUCCAGAGACAACCCGGUGAUCACUUUCCCACAGGGCGACCAAGGGAGGAUCGCUGGGUAGGAUUAUGCUAUGCGACGCGACUUGGAGGACUUCAAUAUACUCUCUUCUACAUGCUGCAAGACGGAGGCUGCCAGAAGCAUAGUCUUUGAUAGGACUAGCUAUCCCCCUCUUAUUCUGGCAUUCUGCAGUUCAGUCCACCGAUAUUGCCUCUUUACACAUAUACCCAUGCAUAUGUAAUGUAGAUCCUUGCUUGCGAGUACUUUGGAUGAGUACUCACGGUUGCUUUGCUCCCUUCUUUUCCCCUCUUUCCAUUUCUUCUCGGAUGCCGCAACCAGACGUUGGAGCCCAGGAUCCAGACGCCACCAUCGACGAUGACUCCUACUACACUGGAGGUGCCUACUACUACGUGCAGGCCGCUGACGAUGACCGGGAGUAGUUUAGGAGGAUCCCAGGCAGGAGGCAUGCGUCUCUUUCGAUCUGUAUCCCAGUUUGUGCUAGCCAUCUAUGGCAACUUGUUUAACUUAUGUCUGUACUCAGAUAUUGUUGCUUCCGCUGACUCGUUUAUGUUUGAGCACUUGUAUUCGAGCCCUCGAGGCCCUGGCUUGUAAUAUGAUGCUUGUAUGACUUAUUUUACUUUUAGAGUUGUGUUGUAAUAUGAUGCUUGUCCCUGAUCUCGGCCGUACACAUUUGCGUGCAUGAUUAGUGUAUGAUUGAAUCGGGGGCAUCACAAGUUGGUAUCAGAGCCGACUGCCUAUAGGAAUCCCCCUUCCACACUCCUUGGCCGAAGUUGAGUCUAGUGGAUGAAAAGUGUUUUACUAACAUGGCUGUGCAGCCCAUGGGCCCAUGUCGCCAUUGGGUGGUAUUAGGAUCUUUUAUUCCUCGUCUAUACUCAGGGACUCUUAUCUCUCUUCUAUUUGGUAAAAACAAAACUAACUUUAGGUUCUCAAAAAUACUUUCUCCCGGAGAGCCCCUCAUUUCAGAUGAUCGCCUACUGCGCUAGAAGAUUCCGAUGUUACUCUACGAUGUUCUCUCGAGUUUUUGUGCCAUUGCAUUUGCAAUUUCCUUCCACGAUCAACCCCUAUGAAAACUGUAUACACUUGACAUUCAUACAAUCAUUCCCCAUUGAUCUUGUUAUUACAAGAUACCCCCGAAAUUCUCUCUAUUGUUUUGAGAAUACUUUGUGCCUACUGCCCUGCAGUUCUUUGCCACCUGAAUACCCAUACGGAUAAUUUCUCGCACUUAUCGAGUAUCCAUUCUUUCCUAGAUGAUUCAUGUAUUUCACAAUAGUCUUUGAAAUACCAUUCGAUCUUCCAAAAAUCCUGAGCAACCUAUUGCUCUUGAAAUUCUUGCUUGCUUGCAUUAUGGUUAAUCCCAUAAGUCUCGUAAUCUUAGUGGCAUCCCUUGUCAUUAUCAUUUUGAGUAUGUUGAUUCAAUAUGUUGCGAAUCCUCGCAGUCCUCCGUCAGAUCCUAGAAUUCAUCCUUCUGACUCAGACGUCAUUUGGAUAUGAGAUGGUUCUUGACCAAUCAAUGCCUUGAUCGGUUGUGCUUCUAAGUCUAUUGAACUUAUUAAUUUUCGAUCAGAACAUUUGCUUUUGAUCCCUUGAUUUGGAAAUCAUAAAUUCCUUUGCAAUUGAGCUUUGAAUUAGUCAGUUGUUUCUAUACCCCAAUGCCUUUGCAUUGUUUGUUCUUCUGAUUGUGUGCCGAUGAUCAAACCCGCUCCGUUGUGGACCGUCAGAUCCUUUGUUGAAUUAUCAAUUCGACAAUGUCCUUUGUAUACAAAAACCUCUAGAAGUUCUUUCCCUGAAACAUAAUGCCAUUGGUAAAUUCUAUUCUCUCAUAUGGCCAACAACGCUCUGCUUUCAAGCUUGAGUUAUUUACUUCUGAACUUUGUAGUAUAUGUUCCUAAGAUAGCAGCUGGGUUGGACCAAUGUCUUCCCUAAUCUGUGCAAACCCAAGCUUUCACGAGUCAUACUCAUCCGGUGUUCUACCCGAUAAAAUUCCAAUACUACAGCUUUAUCAAAUCGAGAGGUGAAUGAAAUGUUAUGCAUUAAAGAAGUGGGAGUCGAACUUGAACUUUGUGUUCAUGCCCAUGAAAAUAAUGUAGACCGUCUCGGAAGCUUCUUACAAAAUCAUUAUCCAGUUGUAUGAUUCUUUCGGUAUUCUUGAAUUGAUUCCUUACAGUUAUGGUUCCGACCAUGCUGUCCUGAUCUGAUAUGUCUGAUGGGAAUUCAUUCCAGUGCCUCGUCUAUUUUUGGCGAGGUUAAAGUAUCUACUGUCACAGGUCAAUGACCCGGUUAUACUUCUAUCAUGUUCUACCUUCGAGUAUUACCCCCCUGUUAUCUCCAAGAUGUCUAGCCAUUGCACCACAUCUUACUAACUUUGUUGAAGUAAUGUCUUUCCUUGUCGUAAUCACUCUACAGGUUUUGGAUUGUUGUCAACCGAGGACACCGACUAGUGAAACUAUUCUGCACUACAAAUCAAAUACCCCUAGUAUUUUUUACUAGGAAAUUCUGAACUCAAUCUAGUCAUUCCUAGACUAUCGUCUGCAUCUUGGUCUUGCUAUCUUGAUUGUGCUACCUUGUCCUUCUCUGGUGCAUGAAUUCUUCACUGUGUGAGCACGACUCACGUCGAGCUUUCAACAUCAUGUUGCUUGUCUUGAAAGGCAACAUUGGUUCCGAGGUUGCAUCUUAUAGAUUAAUCCUGUAACUUGCCACUUUGUUAUUUCCUUGCUUUUCGCCGUUGUUGUUUGAUUGCAUCCUCUUGAAAUCUCCCGGCAAAUAUGUCAGAUCACCUUCAACACUUUGACUUCUUCCGAGAGGUCAACUGUGUUCAUGAUGAGAAAUACCCUCCUUGCCAUCGAUGAUUUUUAUUAUCAUCAACAACACCCUUCACUUCCUAUCAUCGCGAACUUGUCCACAUUAUGAAUACAACUUGCUCUCCAGCUAGUGUUGUGUUUUGCCUUGAAGUAUUACUGUCUUUUAUGUCGAGAAUGUUGUGGGGGAAUUGCUCCACCUCUUAGAAAUUUCUCGGUAUGAUGAUACUUCUCACUAUCACCAUUCUUCCUUGGUCCCCGUGUUGUUUUUAACCGGGAUACCAAUAUGCUAAUGAUGUUGUUUGAAUUCUGUACUUCUAGCAACCCUAUUGCUUUGAAGUCAAUGAUCGACAGUUUUUUCUUAGAAUGUUGGUUAUUGAAUUGUCACUCUAACAUUGAUCUUGCUGCCUAAGGUCAUAUUUCGGGCACACCUUUUAACUAAUGAUUGAUGGUGUAUGUUUCCCUCGAGCAUACAACAUUACAUCAUUUCAAUUGACAAUUGUCAUCUUCUUGUUCACCUUAUUGUCGAAAUCCAUCUGUUUGGAAUUCUCGAUGAAUUGUCGCUGAGCCCAUCAACCACCUCCUCAUCCCCUCCUUGGUUUAAUGAUGAACUAUUGUUUCAGGAACCCGCUCCCAUAGUUCAUUUCCCGAGAAUCAUGCAAUGUCGAUUUGUGUUGCACCUUUUCUUCUCGGACAUUCUGAGUCUAAGGUAUCAUGACACCAAUCAGAUCUGAAUCUCGGUCAGAUAUGAUGGUUGGGACAACUUUCCAGGAGUUGUGAUGUUGGUCCUUUGAUGACCCGGUAAUAUGAUGUCAUGCCUGGCACCCCUUGGCUGGAGGACCUAUCAUUAUAAUUUCUUUUGCAAGGAUAACCAUUCUUCCUGGAGUAAAUUGUAGGACUUAUUUUAUAAGUUGCUCCUGAUGGAUCAUUUGUGUAUCCAAAGUCCGGCCCUUGAUUGUAACACCAUAUCAUUGCUACCUCGAAGCAUGACUAUGAUACCCCGUUCAUCAAUAAGAACAUUGGAGGCGCGAUGCUAAAUGUUUCUUUGUCGGUUAUCCAAACACCGUUGUAUGGGUAACAUCUUUAUUAAUCCUUGCCUCUUUAUCUGAAUUGGUGGGUACUUGCUCUCCUACCCUGUAUGCCAUAUUCUGCUUGUCCAUCGGAAGGAUAUACUCCUAAUAAUUGUGUGUAAUCACAUUUUCCUUUCCAUUAUUCUUUUUAAUAUGAUAAUCGCGUUUUCCUUUCCAUUCUUUUGUUUAACCUUUCCUGUAAUCUGACUUAACUGAGCAGAGAUAAUUCCCUGCUUAGGUAAGCACCUUGUUGUACCAUCCUGUCUAGUGUAUCCCUAUUACUAUUGUUGAUGACAUUCCGGUAAUCACCGAUGGACGAGAACCUUGCCUAUUGGUCCGCCUCGUUUCAACGAGUAGGAAAAUGGUUCUCUUCAUCCCUCGCCCUUGGUACCAACGAUGUUGCCGACAUAACUGACAUGCUAUUCUCUGGCAUGCCUUGCUAUCAUAACCGUGCAAGAGGUCAACGCCCUUCCUUAUUUUUAACCCACAUGGUGGGCCCAUAACCCACAGUUCCCAGCAUCGAAACCUAACUCCCCUGUACAACCCUGUUUCUAUUGGUUAUUCCUCAUGCUUGGCUUUGUAUUUAAUUCACGGGUCACCUUCCUAGUGCUCUAUUCUGGUAUCAAACGCAAUACUUACUCGCGUUGCUUUGAACCCUUUUCUCACUCUGGUUCAGACUUCGAGCAACUAUCUAUCCGCUUGGAACCUCUUAUUGUACCUUCGGACCUUACUAUUUGCGUAUGUUAUUGGUUCAACUCGAGAGAUACUCUUAUGCUCAUUCAUGGGUUAACCCUACAUUGUUUCCCUCAUAAGCAUUUUGUCGUAGCCGAGCUGCCCCUUACCUAUUCGUAAGUAUGUUGGAGUUCCCGAAGAAAAAGGCGACUUCACCAUGAUGACCUAAAGCAGAGAAAUAAAGACAUCAAUGUAAUGGAUCGACCUCUUCGAGAAGAGCAACCAAAGACGAGAAGAUCCGUUAGAAUUUCGUAACCGAAACUUUCCCCCUUACACCCCUCUUAAAUCUCGGGACGAGAUUUCUUGCAGUGGAGGAGAAUUGUGACGCCCAGAUAAUUAGGCUACAUUAAUCCUGUCUUAAUGAUGCCAAGUCACCUCGGUUACUGUUGAUGAUCUUGCAUUAGUUCGAAACGGAUUCAAAUUGAAGAUUCGAAUUAAAGUUAAGACAAUUAAAGUUUUCAAAAGUCAAAACUAAAUUGUUCGGUUUGCGGCAAAUAAUCCAUACAUUACUUUGAUGAAGAAACCACAUUUUUAUAAUAUAACUAAAUGCUCUAAGUUAAGUAAAACAGUAGUUGAAACAAUUAUUUGAACGUCUAUUAAAUGAUUAAAUUAUUGCAAACCACUUUUUAUAUUCAAAAAUAAUUGGGGCAGAGGUAUAACUACUAUUACAAAUUUAGGUGUUAGUAGAUUUUAUAAACCUAGAAUUGAAAAGAAAAGAAACUAAGCUAAAAUAGAAAAAUAAAUAAAAGAAAAUAAGAACAAUUCAAAAAUAAAGUAACAGAAAAGGGACCCCCCGUUGGCCAACGGGGCCAAACGGCCCAGCCGGCCAGCCCAUUAGCACAAUCGGCCCUCUCUCACUCCACCUUAUCCCCCUGGACAGCCAAACCCUAGCGGUUCGACCGCACACUCCCCACCCCCCCUCCGCCCUGAUUCAUUCGCUCCCUUUGCCCCUCCCCCGAUCCAGAUCGAGGGGCAGAGACUCCGGCGACCUCGCUGCCGCGCGGCCGGAUGCCGGCGCCCACCUCGGUGCCGCACCUCGCCGUGUGUCUCGCCCUCCUCCCCGAAGCCCACCUUGUCGCGACACCCCCCUGCCUCUGGAUCGUUCCGCCGACGCCACCCGGAAAGCCACCACCACGGCCACCUCGUCGUCUUGCCGGACGCCAUUGCUGGACUGCCUUCCCAUCGUCCUCUUCUCUUCGUCCUCAUCGACCUCCUCCCCGAGCACCGUUGCCCGAAACCCUACAUUCCCCGGUGAGGACCCCGGUCCUCCUGUCUCCCUCGCCCCGCUCACUUGCCGCGUCACCCGCGCCCGCGCGCUCAGUGCCGCGCCGGCCGCGUCAUCGUUUCCCGACCCCACCUUGGCUACUCGCCUUCGCCGUCAUGCACGCCUGCUGCGCCGGCCCCGGACAUCCCCUACUGCUGCACCCCAUGGCUGCCAGUGCAUCGUCCAGCGGUCCCCUGCCGCCCUACCCUGCAGCCGCCUCCACCGCCCCCUCAAGCAACCUCGCCAUCCUAUGCUGCAGUCUGGUACUCGAUCGCCCUCGUCGGUGCCGUUCCCGACCAGCCUCGCUGUGGCCCCGGUCAUCGCCUGACGCCGACGCCCGUCGGCGGCCGCUCGGCCCUCGCCUGGUCGGGCAUCGCUAGCGCCCAACACCCGCUAAGGCCCUGAGCCAAUGACCAGUGGGGUCUCGGCCCUGAGGACAAAAAAGGGGGAAAUAAAAUAAUGAAAAUAAAAAUACUAAAUAAUUAACUAAUUAGCUAAGUUAAUUAGCUCAAUUCAUCAUGUUUAAUUAACGUAAUAAAUUUGUUAAUUAAACUAACUAGGUUAAUUAGUUAACAGUCUAUGACUAACUGACCCCACACGUCAGUUUGACUAUGUCAAUAGCCGAUUGACUACCGACAUCAUACUGACAUCAUGCUGACAUCAUAAUUACAUUUUCUAGUUAAAUUAAUUCAGUUAAUCAAAAAAAUUAAUAUAAAAUAUACCGUAGCUCGCAUGGAAAAACUUUGUACAUGAAAGUUGCUCCGAAUGACGAGACGAAUCCAGAUACGUGGCCCGUUCAUCCGUCACACGUCUCUAGCAUAGUGAACCCGCAACUUUCCCCCUUCGGUUCACCUGUCCGAAAACGCGAAACACCAGGGAUACUUUCCCGGAUGUUUCCUCCUUUCGCUAGUAUCACCUACUACCGCGUUAGGGCACACCUAACACCGCUCAUUGUCAUGUCUUGCUUCGUCAUACUUAUGUUUGCAUUAUAUUUAUUGUUUCAUCCCCCUCUUCUCUCUGGUACACUACGAUACCGACGCCGCUGCUACCCAGUACGACUACGGAGUUGUCGACCCCUCCUUCUUGCCAGAGCAACCAGGCAAGCCCCCCCUUUGAUCACCAGAUAUCUCCUAUUCUUCUCUCUACUGCUUGCAUUAGAGUAGUGUAGCAUGAUACUGUUCAGUUACUCCUAUUCUGUUGCAUAGCCUGUCAUUGUUGCUACUGUCAUUGAUACAUUACCCACAAUCCAAAAUGCUUAGUAUAGGAUGCUAGUUUAUCAUCAUUGGCCCUACAUUCUUGUCGGUCUACCUUGCUAUACUAUCGGGCCAUGAUCACUCGGGAGGUGAUUGCGGGUAUAUACUAUACAUAUAUACAUACUAUACAUGUGGUGACUGAAGUCGGGUCGGCUCGUUGAGUACCUGCAAGUGAUUCCGAUGUGGGGGCUGGAAGGACAGGUGGCUCCAUCCCGGUAGAAGUGGGCCUGGGUUCCCGACGGCCCCCGACUGUUUCUUUGUGGCGGAGCGAUAGGGCAGGUAGAGACCACCUAGGCAAGAGGUGGGCCUGGCCCUGGUCGGUGUUCGCGAUUACUUCAUAAUCACACGCUUAACGAGAUCUUGGUAUUUGAUCUAAGUCUGGCCACUAGCCUAUACGCACUAACCAACUAUGUGGGAAAGAUAUGGGCACUCGACGUCGUGGUAUCAGCCAAAGCCUUCUUGACGUCAGUGACUGAGCGGCGCGCGCCGGAUUGGACUGGAACGUCUGCUCUUGUAUUAGGGAGGCUAGGUCUGCUUCCGGCCGCCCUCGCAAUGUGCAGGUGUGCAAUGGACGAUGGGCCCAGACCCCUGCACCAUAGGAGUUAGCAGGGGAUACCCAAAGCAUAAACCGCUGGAAGAAGAGACCAAAGAGCCGGAACUUCCAGCACAAGAUGAGGCUGACCGGCCACCUCGUGGCCAGGAUAAAACAGGCUAUCAGGCUGGACACCAGCCCGCACCGCCACGCUGGUUUACCACGGCCCGAGGGAAUACGCAGGACCUACGAGACAUAUUGGAAAACAACGCAGGACAACCAAGAUCGAUCUACGGAUCACGAGGGCGCGCCACAGCUCAUGACACCGAUCGUCAUGCCGGAUACAAUGCUAAUAAAUCCGGCCAGGCUGGACAUUACCGACCAGACCCAAUUGGAAUACGCCACGACAUAGCCCAGCACAGAGGCGCCGUACACUCCCUCUGCGUCACUGAUGAAGUAAUUGAACAUGAAUUCCCAGAAGGGUUUAAACCCAUCAACGUUGAGUCAUACGAUGGCACAACAGUCCCCGCGGUGUGGAUCGAGGAUUUUCUUCUCCACAUUCACAUGGCCCGCGAUGAUGACCUACAUGCCAUCAAGUAUCUCCCACUAAAGCUUAAAGGGCCAGCUAGACACUGGCUGAAUAGCCUGCCAGCAAACUCCAUUGACAGUUGGGAAAUCCUUGAGGACACAUUCCUUGAUAAUUUCCAGGGCACCUAUGUGCGACCACCGGAUGCUGAUGACUUAAGUCACAUUACCCAAUAGCCCGGAGAGUCAGCCAGAAAAUUCUGGACUCGGUUUCUCACUAAAAAGAACCAAAUUGUUGAUUUUCCGGACGCUGAGGCCCUGGCGGCCUUUAAGCAUAAUAUCCGCGAUGAGUGGCUUGCCCAGCACCUCGGCCAAGAAAAACCGAAGACCAUGGCAGCCGUCAUGACACUAAUGACCCGCCUUUGCGCGGGUGAGGACAGUUGGCUGGCUCGCAGCAACAUCGCGCCUGGAAACCUUGGUACUUCAGACAUUCGUGACAGUAACGGAAAGCCACAGCGCAACAGUCACCAGCGCCAAAAUAAUUGUGACAAUACGGAGGAUACAUCAGUCAAUGCCAGAUUCAGUAACUCCAUAUCCGGUCAGCGGAAGAAGCCGUUCAAGAGAAACAAUCCGGGAUUGUCCAGUCUGGACCGCAUACUCGAUCGCUCGUGCCAGAUUCAUGGCACCCCCGAUAAACCAGCCAAUCACACUAACAGAGAUUGCUGGGUGUUCAAAUAGGCUGGCAUGAUAAACACCGAGAACAAGGACAAGGGGCUGCAUAGCGACGAUGACGAGGAACCCCGGUGUCCGAACACUGGAGGGCAGAAGAAAUCCCCCCCCCCCAAGUAAAAACGGUUAACAUGAUCUAUGCCACCCACAUCCCCAAACAGGAGCAAAAGCGUGCACUCAGGGAUGUCUAUGCGAUGGAGCCUGUCACCCUGAAAUUCAACCCAUGGUCAUCCUGCCCGAUCACCUUUGAUCGUAGGGACCAUCCCACCAGCAUCCGCCAUGGCGGCUCAGCCGAAUUGGUCCUUGACCCAAUCAUAGACGGAUUUCACCUCACGCGAGUCCUCAUGGACGGUGGCAGCAGCCUGAACCUGCUUUAUCGGGAUAUAGUGCGCAAGAUGGGCAUCGAUCCGUCACGGAUCAAACCCACCAAAACCACCGUUAAAGGUGUAAUUCCAGGGGUAGAGGCCCGCUGCACGGGCUCAAUAACACCGGAAGUGGUCUUCGAAUCUCCGGAUAACUUCCGAAGCGAGGAAUUAAUCUUCGAUAUCGUCCCUUUCCGUAGUGGCUACCACGCACUAGUUGGACGAACCACGUUCGCUCGUUUCAACGCGGUACAGCACUAUGCAUACCUCAAGCUCAAGAUGCCAGGACCUCGCGGGGUCAUAACGGUUAAUGGAAAUACAGACCGCUCCCUCCGUACCACGCGUGCACAAUUACGCGCUCAAAUACCAUGGGCAUAGGUGGAGGCGAAAUGACAAUGCGGCCAGAGUGCGGUUCGGCCGCCAAGAGGCCCGCAUACCUUUUUCUUUUUUUCAGGACCCUACUUUCGGGCAGCUCCUCCAGAAGAGAUCGGAUGACCGGACUCAUCAUGGAGGAGGCACCAUGGAGGCAAGAGGCUUUUUGCACGCAAGGGAAUACCCAGGUGGUCUUCUUCAAUGAUCGUUAUACAUGUUCUUGCAUACCCGCAUGUAGCCUGCCCUUGGAUAGGACACGUCAAACAGUCCUAUUUCUUUCUGCUUAUGCAUCAAUUGUACAAUUACGUCUUGCCGUAUUGUCCAUAUAAAUGGGAAGUAAUACGUAGCGUCAGCUUCUUAUCACUAUCCUCAUAUUUUCUGUUGAAUAUUUAUUAAAAUACUCCAUCCGUACGUUUUGGUAUGGUCAUUUUUGCCAGGGGCUUCUCAUCGAGCCCCAUACUAUGGCAACGAAAGUAUGAACACUUUCAACAGUGCGGCACCCCAAACUUAUAGCAUUAUAUGCAUCAGCUCCGAAUCAUGUCUUAGGUCAAUAGUUGGGUUAGCCCUGCUCCCUUGUUUUGGUACCUUAUGUUCCGUUAUAUCGGCUAAGGUAGCGCAGGGAGAACUACUGCGAUUGUGUCCCGGUUCUUCCGGAUGAGCACCUCAGUAGAGAAAGCCGAAAACUGACCGUCAUGAUGUAGCAAGAGCUAGUCGCUGUUCGCGAGGUAUAAAAAUCUCUAAAGAUUUUUUCCGCUUAAGGCGAGGAAUCGGCGUCGUCUGAUUUUGGCAUGCAUAGCGCCCCAGUUCGGCCUUCCGAAUACUAGGGGCUUUGCCGAAAUUUAAAAUUGUAGACUUCUAUGGUCAAGUGAGAGCUAUAAAUCUGAAUAGUCCGAUUGCCUCGUUCGCUGCGCCAAACACCUCCUUAAAGGACCAAAACUUUGGAUAAAGAGUGUUUGGGUUUCCACGAACACCCCAGUACUAGUUACAAGGGGGCGGAAGCCGACGACUGGCCUACUUUCAAGAUUUUGAUAAACGACCGCAGAGAAGGUAAUAUUUUAAAUCCAACAAAGUGAUGCAUAGCACAAAUAAACUCGUUCUCAUAUUACAUUAACGACAUGAGUACAUUCACUCAAAAAUUAUGUUCUUAGGACAUUCAUUCGCCACAAAACGAGCACCUUUCAUAACGCCAUCAUAAUAUUUCUCAGGGCAGCGAUGCUCCUUGCCCUCCGGGGGUCCAUCCUUCACGAGCUUCUCAACGUCCAGCUUGCCCCAAUGCACCUUCGCGCGGACAAAGGCCCGUCGGGCACCCUCAAUACAUGUGGAAUGCUUGAUAACUUCUAGCCGUGGGCAGGCAUGCACCAUCCCCUUCACCAGGCCAAAGUCGCUGCCGGGCAGGGGCUCUCCAGGCCACAUCCGGACUAUGAGGUCCCCCAUGGCCUGUUCGGCCGCAUUGUGGAGUUCGACCAGCUGCUUCAGUUGGUCACUCAGAGGCAUCGGGUGUUCGGUCCCAGCAUAUUGGGACCAGAACAGCUUCUCCGUAGAGCUCCCCUCUUCAGCGCAAUAGAACUCCGUAGCGUCCGAAACGCUGCGUGGUAGAUCUACGAAUGCCCCUGGAGAACUCCGGAUUCGUGUAAGUAAAAGAAAUGACUCCUCCACAUGCUUGCUUUGCAUAAAGAAUGUCUUACCCUCCGCUAUCUUUUUGGCCGCCUGGAUUUCCUAGAGGGCCUUUUGGGCUUCGGCCUUGGCGUCGGCCGCGCUCUGGAGGGCAUUUUCAAGCUCAGACGCUUGCGUCUUGUAGUCGUGCUCCAGCGAGCCAAACUUCUGACCGAGCUCCUGGAGCUCUUGCUACACCUCUCCCACACGAGCAUCUUGCUCCUCUCACUCGGUGCGCUCAGUAUCCUCCAUGGCAUCGGCCGCAGAUAGCGCUUCCUUCAGGGCCGCCACUUCGGUCGCGGAUCCGUAUCAAAAGCCAUGAUGCUCAAAUAAUUUUCAUCCUUUAUACGACAUAUGGACGGGGUUUUUCUCACCUCUGUUCGCCUCGAGAUGCUUCUUCGCAAGGCCGAGUUCCUCUUCGGCCUGCCCUAGUUCACGCUUGAGUCCGGCAACUUCGAUCGUGCGCGCAGUGGCGGUCAGCAGCAGUGCCUGUUUGAUUCAUAUACUAUUAGUUUCCUGCGGUUCUUUAAUUGACCCUCUGUUUGGCUUUUCUCUCCGGACACCAAACAGAGUAUCAGGGGCUACUACCUAUCGGGUGAUAUUUCCUCACACUUUCAUUACCUCAAAGCCCCUUAGCAGGCUGGUGCAGGCUUCGGUCGAUCCGCUCUUGGCAGACCGAACCUUCUCAAUCAACGUACUCAUAAGUGUACGCUGUUCAUCCUCGAUGGAAGCGCCUCGAAGCAGUUCAAACAAAUUAUCUGAUGCCUCCGACUGGGCGGAGGUCAUCGGCACAGCCGCCUCGCCCUUCUUCGCGAGGGACUGCUUAUCGGAAUCCGGAACCUUUGCAGGCUCCAGUGCAGUAACCGGCCGAGAGCCAGACUUACUUUGGCUCCCGUCAGCAUAAUCCAUGGGGUUCUCAUCCCCCAUUUGUCCAGCGCCCAAGGUUUUUCCUUGGGGCAUCUCCGGAACCGUCGCCCCCUGCUCGGACAUUCUCCGGGACAACACCUCGGUGCCAUCCGCAGGUCGCGUAGAGGUUGCCAUCGGGAGCGAAUUCAUGUCUGACUCAUUCAGAGAUUCCUCUGAAGAGGACUCCUCGAGAUCGGCUCCGGCCGGACUGCAUGGACGUGUUUGACAUCAUUACAAACUGUGAGGUCAAAAGUCAUACAAAAAUAUCAUGCAAUACUUCCAUCAUUCACUAAAGGCGGCAAUAGUGGAUUGAUUCGGAAGGGAUGCCUUUCCCUUCUUCGGGAUCCCGGCCUCCCCCGACGGUGCGGCCUUCCUUUUCUUCUCCUCCCUAGCACGGGUAGGAGGCAUUUCUUCAUGUUCUCCCCCGUCUUCGGGGGGAGAAUCUUCCUCGUCGUCUUCAUAUGAUGACUCUAUCACGGCCCUGCGCCGGUGACCUAUUCUGGUCCCACCUCCUUCUUGGACCCUUUGGCCCCCUUAGUUGAGGCGGCCUUCUUCUUCUUCCUCUCCUCCCCUUCGUGGGAGGAGUGCGCCUUGUCCUCUUCUGGCGAGGCGUCGGGUGCGGCCUCGUGCUGAAGACCCCUUCGGGUCCCCGUGGCCUUCUUUUCGGCCUUUUUCUCCGGCGCCUUGUAAGGCACCGGAACCACCAUCUCCGCCAGGAGUGCGCUUACUGGGUCCUCACGCAAUGGAGCCGGACAGUUGAUCUGCUCCGCCGUCUCCACCCACUCCUGUUCGGUCAGCAAGGUGACUUAUAAAUCCUCCCCCAAAUGUACUCGGAAGGAAACAUCUUGUAAUAACCAGAGGACUUACCGGACCGGCAAGGCGCGUUGCGCUGAGCCCCCGGUCCUCGGAAAGGGGAGGAGGGACUUCGCCAGUCUUGAAUAGAACCUUCCAAAUUUCUUUGUGCGUUGUAACGAAGAGCUCUAGCAGCAUCUGGUGUUCGGCCGGGUUGAACUCCCACAUAUCAAAUGCCCGUCUUUGACACGGGAGAAUCCGGUGUAUGAGCAUGACUUGGACCAUGUUGACAAGCUUGAUCUUCUUUUCCCUUGUAUUUCUGAGGUGGGUCUCAAGUCCGGUCAGCUCCGUGGGCUCGCCCCAGGCCAGGCCCUUCUUCUCCCAGGAGGUGAACCGCAUGGGGAUUCCAGAUCUGCACUUGGGGGCCGCCACCCAGUUGGCGUCGCGUGACUCGGUGGUGUAGAACCACCCUGAUUGCCACCACUUUAUUGACUCCACGAAGGAGCCCUCGAGAUAUUUAACAUUGGGCAUUUUGCCCACCAUGGCGCCUCCGCAUUCCGCCUGUUGGCCGCUCACGAUGUUCGUCUUCACGCAGAAGAUUUUCAGCCACAAGCCGAAGUGAGGUUUGAUGCGGAGGAAGGCCUCGCACACGACGAUGAACGCCAAGCUGUUGAGGACGAAAUUAGGGGCUAGAUCGUGAAAAUCUAGCCCGUAGUAGUACAUGAGCCCGCGGACGAAAGGGUGGAGUGGAAACCCUAGUCCACGGACGGAAUGAGGGAGAAAUACCACUCUCUCCCGAGACUUCGGCAUGGGGGUAAUCUGUCGCUCCGUUGGAAGCCUGUGCGCGAUAUUAGCGGCCAGGUAUCCGGCUUCCCGAAGCUUGGUUAUGUUCUCCUCUGUGACAGAGGAGGCCAUCCACUUGCCUCCCACUCCGGACAUGCUGUGGUCCCACGGAGAAGGUGAGAACUUGGGCGCUGGAGCUCGAGGGUGCGAGAACGGAUGAGCGAAGGAAGAAGAAGGCGUGGGUGAAGAUGGGAGAUUUCUGCCCCCUUUAUAAAGGCGAUGCGAAUGUCCGCCUCCCCACUUGCCUCUCGAAAUCUCUUAUUUUUUCAGACGCCUCGAUUACUGGCGCUGGUUGGGUUACCCAUACCCGCAUUGAUGGAGAUCCCGUGAUAAGGGGACACGAUCUCUGCUUUGACAAGACGUGCCAAAGAAACCGCCUCGCAUGUGUGUGGAAGCAAGUUGUAGAAAACGGUUCGAAUAAAAAUCGGAAUGUGGCGUGAUGUCACUUUUCGAAGAAUUUUCAACGGAUUAGACUCGUGGAUUAUUAUUAUUCUCUCUACGGUGGUAUAUGGACUGUUAUCUUGCAGAGACGGACACGGUCCUUGUGGUCGGAAUUUACCUUGGAGUAUUCGGAGAUGGAACCCGCCUCGCAAUGCCGAAGACAAUCUAUGCGCUGGACUCAUCGUCAUUGAAGCCUGGUUCAGGGGCUACUGAGGGAGUCCUGGAUAAGAGGGUAUCCGUACUGCCGGAUUAUAUACUUUGGCCGGACUGUUGGACUAUGAAGAUACAAGAUGGAAGACUUCGUCCCGUGUCCGGAUGGGACUCUCCUUGGUGUGGAAGGCAAGCUUGGCGAUUCGGAUGUAGAUCUCCUUCUCUGUAAACCGACUUUGUGUAACCCUAGUCCCCUCCGGUGUCUAUAUAAACCGGAGGGUUUAGUCCGUAGGACUGAUCACGAUCAUCAUCAACAAUCAUACCAUAGGCUAGCAUCUAGUGUUUAGCCUCUCUGAAAUCGUGGUAGAUCAACUCUUGUAAUACUCAUAUCAUCAAGAUCAAUCAAGCAGGAAGUAGAGUAUUACCUCCAUCGAGAGGGCCCGAACCUGGGUAAACAUCGUGUCCCCAGUCUCCUGUUACCAUUAGCCUUAGACGCACAGUUCGGGACCCCCUACCCGAGAUCCGCCGGUUUUGACACCGACAGCGAGCUCAGAUUCUUCCUCCUCUGCGCAUUGCCGGAGCUACGGGCUACGUCGACGGCACCCUCCCAGCCCCUGCCAAGCUCCUGGAACCCGAUGACAAGGGUGAGCGCGCUCCAAACCCUGCGUAUGUCAACUGGUACCGUCAGGACCAGAUUGUUCUCAGCUACCUCCUCGCCUCUCUCUCCGAUGAAGUGUUGCAGCAGGUGCAUCGGUUUGAAACUUCUCGCGCCAUCUGCGAUGUCGAGGAGAUGUACAACAUCCACUACCGUGCCAGCAUCAUCCAGAUCAAGCUGGACAUGGCGGUCUUCCGGAAGGGUAACCUCUCCAUGGCGGACUACUUCGCCAAGACCCGCGCCAACGCCGACCAGCUUGCUGCCGUCGGCCGCGCCAUGCGUGAUGAGAACAUCAUCGCCGCUGUCAUCUCCAGUCUCGACAGCGACUACGAGCCACUCAUCACUACUGCCACGACUCGCCUUGAUGACAGGUCCCUUGGGGAGUUUUACUCCCACGCCAUCGCCUUCGAAUGCCGCCGUGAGUACAACGCCGCUCGUCUUCAACCCAGCGGCUCCUCCGUCAACUUCGAAAAAACAUGAGUACUUUUUGAAACAGGAACAUUUUUUAUUUUAUUUACAUGAAAACAUGACAUUUUUUGAAAUUUUUAAAAAACAUUUGAAACAAUAAUUCUUUAAAAAAAUCCCAAAAAAUGAAAUUGAAAAUAUUGUUGUACUUUGGCUCAUGUUUUGGAAACUUAUAGAAUAUUCCAAUUCAUGUUUUUUCCUUCCCUGGUCUUUGGAGUUUCUCGUACCAACCAUCUCAUGACACCACAUGGACGAUGUGGUUCUUUAACAACAACGCCUUGAAGAAGGGAGUGGCACUCAAACACCGUCGGCACCGGAUCCAACUAGAACGACAGAAACUAGGUUUUCACCGUAAAGAAUCAGUCUGAACAUAUCCGAGCUAUGCCUUCACCAAGGUAAUGUUGUAAGAGAAACAUCGCCAUUGUCAGGUACAACCACUCGUGUCUGGCCUAGGCUUUUGCCCCGGAGUUCGGGGCUGGGUGCUCGAGUAGCACCACCAUCGAAGUCUCUUAUGUGUUACAUCUAAUGCGAUCACCGCCCCUACACCACCAUCCCUCUGGAAGACCUUUUGAUGAUAACCACCAUCAUGAUGCUACAAAAAGUCACUGCAGUAUAGUUGCGGUAACCACCAUCCGGUCAAUCGGAUCUGUAUCAACACCACCAAGCCGUGGACCUUAGCCUCAUGAGCCAGAUGGAUGUCGUGCCUAGCCGGCCGUGCUAGGGAACGAUCAACGCGCCUCCACGGAAUGUCACCACGGACGACACACCCGCUAGUCGCCGGAGGAGCAGACGCUCACAUCCGGCUACCACCCAAGCAGCUAAUGAGCUUCGGCCAUCAGUUCUAGGGGCAAAGCCUAGCCAGAUCAAACAUAGGCCAGGUGCCCGAGGGCCAGCUCCACCAUGCACAGUCAGCUGCGGGAUAGCACACACAGCCACAACUAGCUUAGCGUCACAGCACUAUGCUCUGCCGCCAUCGUGGCCACUCGCACACUUGCAGGCGCUGCCUCCUCGCUCGUGAAGGACGUAGCCAAGGUAUACCCUCCACUCCCGUCGCCUGUGAUGGAAGGGUGCCCAGAAUUCUUUUAUUUUUUGGCCCAGUGAUCGUCGCCUGUGAUGGAAGGGUGCCCAGAAUUCUUUGAUUUUUUGGCCCAGUGAUCACUUAUUUUUGGAAGCAAGGCUAGAUUGAUUUGUGUGAUGCCUUGCUUCAGCUCAAGAGGGGAAAACGUGACCUGUAUGUUUGAUAUUUGCAAAGGAAUUGGUAAUCAAGAGAAAUUGGAAAAUAAUUCUAGUAAUGAAGAAUUGACCAGGAAAGAGAGUAUGCAAAUUGAGAAGUUAUUAGUGAAGGAUGCUGGAAACUGUACUACUCCAUCAACCGGUGUUAUUUUCAUUGGUCCUGCUUGAUGUUUUUCUUCUAUUCAUAUUCUUAGGAGUUGGUCCUACUUUAGCUCCUUUUGUUGCCAUUGCUUGGUCCUACCUACUUCUUGUGCUACACUCUAUCUUCCCAGUGGAGCUUUCUGUGAAGCUUGUGCACAAAUGUCCAUAAAUUGUAUUCAAGAAAUAAGACAGGAAUAACAGGUUGACAAGCAAAAAGUUUUAAAAACAUUGGGGCCGAAGAAGGUAUUGUCGUUGGGCUGAACUACCUAUUGGCAGAGAGGCUGAACUAGGUACUUUAGAUAACUGACAUGAUGCUACAUUGGUACGAUUGUACCAGAAGGAUUUCUUUUUAGACAAGAUGUCCAAACUUAUUUGCAUAAUUCAAGUCUUAUGACAGUCCCAUGCUUACUGACCCUAGUGUUUUUAGCUUCUCCUGUCCUAGUUGUCUUUGUUCUAUCUGGCAUGACUAUAUGAGGUGGAGGUUCUGACUUUGGUUUGUGUGACAAGUACCAUGAGGACAUGCCCUCUAUAUGUUGAAGCCCCGCUUCNNNNNNNNNNNNNNNNNNNNNNNNNNNNNNNNNNNNNNNNNNNNNNNNNNNNNNNNNNNNNNNNNNNNNNNNNNNNNNNNNNNNNNNNNNNNNNNNNNNNNNNNNNNNNNNNNNNNNNNNNNNNNNNNNNNNNNNNNNNNNNNNNNNNNNNNNNNNNNNNNNNNNNNNNNNNNNNNNNNNNNNNNNNNNNNNNNNNNNNNNNNNNNNNNNNNNNNNNNNNNNNNNNNNNNNNNNNNNNNNNNNNNNNNNNNNNNNNNNNNNNNNNNNNNNNNNNNNNAAUUGGCAAUAUGGACCAGCCCAUUGUCACACGUGGAAACAUGGAAAAUUUUGCCAAAACCGUAUGGCAGUCUGAGGGAUCAAACCCAACAUGUACCUAGUGCUGCUAACCGCUGGUCACUAGUCACACGAGGUGAUAAGUUUCAGUAUCCACGAGGCAACACGAACUAAAACAGCUAUCCCUCAGCGACCGAUUUAUUGUGGCGAACCGUUCUUUCCACUAUUUCUUUUUCUUUUUUAUGUUCGUUCUUUGUUUCUUUUAUUCUUUUUUUAUUUUUCAAAAAAUUCUCGCACUUUUAUAAAGUUGUUUAUAAUUUCAACAAAUGUUCUAUUCAUAAAAUAUAAAUAUGCGCAUUUUUAAAAAGUUACAAUUUUUUGAAGUAUUUAUGUCUUUAAAAAUUGUUCAGAACGUCGAAACACGGCCUUUUUUUGAAACAAUGCAAAACAAUUGAAUACAAACUAUUUUGAAUCUGUUGACACAUCUUUUGAAAACCAGUAACAAAUUCAGAAUGUUUUUUUUUUGCAAAAACACGAACAAAAAAUUGAAACGAUUUCAUUUGAAUAUUUCUGAAGUUUUCUUUUGAAAAGAGGAAUAUUUUUAAAUUCCAAAUAAAUUUUGAAAGCUCAAACAUUGCUUGAAACUCCCGGAACAUUUGAAAAAAUUGAAACAAAAUUAGGAAAGUUGACAUUUUUUCGGAUCACUGAAUAAUUUUUUGAAAACGUGAACACUUUUUGAAACCUGGACAAAAUUUGACGCAAAUAAUUUUUUAUUUUUUACAAAUAGUUUUUUUACACUGUGAAUAUUUUGUGAGUUUUUGAACAUUGAUUAGUAAAUAUGAAUAAAUACUGACGUGAUUUUUUAAAAAAAUCUGAACAUUUUUUGAAAAUAUAAGAAAAAUUAUUGAUAAAAUGAACUAAACUUGAAAAAGAUGAAGUAAUUAGAGAUUACGGAUAAAAUCCGAAAUUCUUAGUUUUUUGAAAAUAUGUAAGAGAAACAUUAAAUAAGAAAAAGGGGGAAAAGGUCAAAGAAAACGAAAACAGAAAGAAAAAGAAAUGGAAAAACAGGUGACAAGAUAAAAGGAAAAAGGAAAAAAAAUUGGAACCUCCUAAAAGGUUCCUUAAAUAGGAAAAAACUAGCUAGGAAGCUGAGGUUCCCAAAACCGGGAACGUUUUUCAGGAACCUCGUAGAAUGUUCCAAAAAUCGGAUAAAGCUGGAUGGGAUGGUGAAAAAAAGGUUGAUUCGUAAUGUUCGUAUGGUGUCGGAAGUCGUUCAAACCUCGCAUGGUAGCCUAACAUGGGUGUCCCACCUGGUGGACAAAGUUGGGAUCAUUUUAAGGAUGUCUAGAAAAAAACCAUGUUCAACGUAGGGUGUACGGGUAGGCCAGAAGGCUCCAUUCAAGAGCAUGUUUCUUUUUCGACAUCCGUCAAAAGGCCCCAAUUUUUUUCCCAUGGCCUUCUAUGGCCAAUUCAAGGCACCAUGUCAAGUUGCUUGGGUUUUCGAGAAGUUUUGCAUUUUCUACAGUUUUCUCGAUAAAAAAGUCGAUAAAUGGCUAGAUGUGUUUGCAACUUGCAUACGGUCAAGAUGUUCAAAGUAGGGAUAGGUGCCUACCAUGGGCAUGCCGAAGUGGUGGCAAAAGUUGGGGGCGAUUGAAGGAUGUCUAGAAAAACACCAUGUUCAAUAGAGAGUGUUCGGGUAGGCCAGAAUGGCCCAUAUGAGAGCAUGUUCUUUUCUGAUAUCCUUGUAAUGGCCCCAAUUAUUUUGCCAUGUCAAGUUGUUUUGUUUUUUCUAAAAAUUUAGCAUUUUUUGUGGUUUUCUCGGUCAGAAAAGACCGAUAAGUGGUCGGACGUGUCGCAAAUUGCAUAUGGUACCGGAAAAUUCCAACCCUGACAUAGAUGUCUACUAUGGUCAUGCCCACCUACUCGCAAUAUUUGGGGUAUUUGAAGUAUGUCCAAAAUAGACCAUGUUCAAUGGAGGGUGUUCGUGUAGGCCAGAAGACUCUGUUUGAGUGCAUGUUGUUUUUUGACAUCCUUGAAAUGGCCCCAAUUUUUUCAUGACUUUGUAUGACCAAUUCCAGGCACCACGCCAAAUUCUUUUGGUUUUUGACAAAUUUUGUAUUUUCUAGCAUUUUCUCCGUAUUUCAAGGAUGCCCCAAAGUAUAGACUGUAUUCAGUGGGGGUAGGCCAGAAGGCUCUGUCUGAGACCACAUUAUUUUUCAACAUCCUUGAAAUGACCACACUUUUUCAUGGCCUUGUAUGACCAAGUCAAGUCACCAUGCCAAGUUGUUCCAUUGUUCGACAAAAUUUUCAUUUUAUAGAGUUUUCUCUGUAGAGGCUGAUAAAUGGCCAGACAUGUCGCAACUUGCAUAUGGUGUUGAAAGUCAUUCAACUCAGGCAUGAUUCCUACCAUGGGCAUGCCCACCUGUUUGCAAAAGUUGGGGUCAAUUCUAGGAUGUCUAGAAAUGAACCAUGUUCGAUGGUGGGUGUUGGGGUCAUUUCAAAAGUUGGAAGUACAUUUUUUGACAGAAGUCAAACGGCCACAAAUUGUUUCCACCAUCUUCUAUGACCAAUUCAAGGCAUCAAGGCAAGUUUUUUGAAUUUUUGAUAAGUUUCUCAUUUUCUAGAGUUUUGUCAGUGAAAAAGGGACGAUAGUGAAAUGACCCAAAAUUGUUUCCACCAGCGUUUCUAUGACCAAUUCAAGGUAGCACGCCAAGUUGUUUGUAUUUUUGAUAAGUUCUGCAUUUUUAGGAGUUUUCUUAGUGAAAAAGGACCGAUAAAUGGUCGGAAGUGUCGCAACAUGCUAAUGGUGUUGGAAGUCUUUCAAACCUGGCAUAGAUGCCUCUUAUGUCCAUGUCAGGCUGCUGCAAGAAGUUUGGGACAUUUAUCCAUACUCCAAGAAAAUCACUAGUUGAGAGGAGUGUGCGAGACUAGGCCGGAUGGGUGCAUUCGUGAGCGUGUAGUUUUUCCUAAUUUAUAUGCUUCUGUUAUUUGCAAUUUCCGUCAUUAUCAAUCAACAUGAACAUUUUCUUAUGUCUUAACCAUUUCAUGAAAUUUGUCAAUAGUGAAAAUAAAUCUUCUUAUAUUUGUCAAUAGUGUAGCACUUGGCAAUGUAAUCAUCAUUGCUUUUGGUUGUAGAAUAAAUGCAAGCUAUAACCAAAGGUCUAAAUAGCGGAAUAUUAAAAUCGUGGCAGAAGUCUUAGCGCACUAGCGCGCCAAUUGCGCUAUAGCCUGCUAAAUGGUUAAGCAGCAUGCCCCUCCAAACACUAUAGCUAUGCUAUAGCUCCAAGAUAGUACACUAUUUAAAACUAUGGCUAUAACAUAUUACCAUGUUAGCCAGAGAGUUGCCAAUACCUACAUCUACAAGUCCUUUCACCUAUUGCAACUAUAAACAUGUGCUUAUGGUACAUGUGGGUAAGUUCAUAUGAAUCUUUCUAACACUAUGAACUGCAUUAGAAAAACACAAUUACUUAAUGCUCUUGUGCAAAGAUUUUUUUUCAUUUGAAUUAUCAUAUUUGAAUUAUUUUUUCUUCGAUCCUAACUAUGACUUUUCAUCUAAUAGCAUGUAACAUGCCGAUAAGAGGUACAUACCUACCUCAGCAUUCCACUUGUUGAAUGAUUCACACACAAUAUUGUUAUCUGCAAAAUACCUGACCUGGACUAGUCUCAGCUCUGAAUAUGUGUUCAUCAUAGCUCUGGAUCUUUCUUUUUUUGAGAAUCACCGGGGGAGCUCCCCACCUGAAUAUAUUACUCAAAAUCGGGUGUGUUCUGGAUCCAUCAGGUGUGUUCUGUGCUAACAUGGGUUUUGCAAGUGAAGAACAUUGGUAGGGUACACCAAGAUCGGAUGGGUUAGACGGGCCGUCUUCCUACUCAUCACUGCCCAAAAAUCCAAAUCCAUUAUAUGCGAUCCCAUCAGAAAUGAAGAUGCCACUGGUGGUCAUUGGACGGACCUAUGUCCCGUUGCGUUUGUGGUCGCAGACGACGCGACAUGCCCACUGACCGGAGGUGGUCAUCCAUGCCGACAUCGAUUGUGCAUCGAAGUUAAUGAGUCGACAUUAUAUAGCUAUCUAUUAUUAUAUACUAAAAGUAACUAGUGGGGUUACCCGUGCAUUUGCGCGGCUAGAUUUCCAUUUAUGAUUGUAAUAUUUUAAUGUUAUACAUUUAAUCUUAUUUGAAAGUAAUGUAUGAUUGUAAAGGUUAUCUCAUUUGUAAGGUGUGAUAAAAGAUUACUUAAUUAAUUUUUGUGCAACAUAAAUAUGAAAUUUAUAUAUUAAUUUAUUAAAAAAACUCCUUUUAAAUAAAAUUUUAAGUUGUGAUAAAACAUAUGAUCUAAGAAUGCUAUUUUGAUGCUACGUAUGCAUUACUGAUGCCUUGCUUGUUACAUUAGUUAAUUAACUUAAUAUUAGCAAUACGUAUAUAGUAGAUAUAGUAGUAUCAUUCCGCUGUGAUAUGAAGUAUAUAUUUGCUUUCAUAUUAUUUUUAAUAGAACUAAAUGGAGGCUUAAUGAUGAUAUUGAAGCUUGAAAGGAGUCUGUAGCCUGAGAAAUUUCAUAUUAUAUAUAAUGUAAGUGUUUCGAGUUGGCAUAUCGAUUAUUUGACCUUCAAGAAAGAUUGUGCCAAGUCCAAUGCAUUUUAUAUUUCUCUCUCUUUAUAUAAAAAAUAUCACAAUCUUUCUUAAGUGCCACUAAAACACUAAUUGUUUGCAAGGUUUGAUCAAUUGGGCUGCGGUCAUCAUCAAUGAUGUCAUUGCAUGUAAUAAUUUAUUAAUUAGGCCGGUGAAUUCCAUCUUAAAAAUAAGCCGGUAUAUUCUUGUCUAUGUACAACGUGUAGAUCUGGCCGUCUCCCUAACAACUAUGGUUAGAGGGACUGUGGUAUCCCAGCCCAUCAGGGUACAAAUCCUGGUGCUCGCAUUUAUUCCUGGAUUUAUUUCAGGAUUUCCGGCGAUGCGCAUUCAGUGGGAGGAGACGUUCUCGUCGACGACGAGGCGCCUACGGUGACUUCGUAAAUCUCAAGAUGAUAUGCCGGGUCAGUCUUUCGGAGGUGCUCAUAGGGGUAGGGUGUGCGUGUGUGCAUUCAUAGGGGUGAGUGUAUGCGCGUGUAUGUGAGCGCUUGUAUCUGUACUGAUGUUAAAAAAAAAGAUGGUCGAUUGCGUCCGCAGGUUGACAGUGCCUACGUUCUUAUUAAUUGGGCUUUUGCAUCAAAACGUGUCCUAGUAGGACUUUGUUUCUAUUUUUUACGUGGGUAGCUAGCAUGCAUGCAGAUAGCGAUCCAAACACAGGUGUGGUGCCUUUUUUCUUUCUUUUUGCGGGUGCCUUGUUAGCUUUUACCCCGAAUAAAACUUACUGAUGCGUAUGCAUGAGCUAAAAUAGGCCAUUGUGUGGACAUGUGUUACUUGGCCUUUUUUUCUUCUUGUUUUACUCCUUGCGAUGGAAUGGUGCGUGUCCGCGUCAUAUUCUCGUUUCUUUUUUCUUUUUCAUAAGCACGUGAGUUUUUGUUUUCUUUUGGUCCAUGUAUAGAUGAAUCUAAGCCGUUUAAAUAACGUUAAUCUACAUCAGUAAGUCAUUACCAUCCAUUUUCUAUCGUUUCAAUAAUAAUAUAAUAUAAUAGAUUGAAGGGCUCACAAGGAUUGGGCCAUUGAAGGCCCCGGGGCCGGAUGGCCUUCCGGCGAGGUUUUUCCAGCGAAACUGGAGCACUAUUAAGGAGGAUGUUUUAGCUGCGGCUAAGGAUUUUUUCCGGACUGGAAUAAUGCCGGAGGGGGUAAACUCUACUGCCAUUGUUCUUAUUCCUAAAAUAGUUAACCCUUCUAAGAUUUCGGAUUAUAGGCCCAUUAGCCUUUGCAAUGUUACCUAUUAAGUUUUAUCGAAAUGCUUGGUGAAUCGACUUAGGCCACUUUUGGACGAUUUAAUAUCUCCGGAACAGAGUGCUUUUAUCCCAGGCAGGAUGAUAACAGAUAAUGCCGUUAUUGCUUUUGAAUGCAUCCAUUACAUUAACACUAGUGCAGAACCGGGCAAUAGCACCGGUUCGUAAGGCCCUUUAGUGCCGGUUCCAUAACCGGCACUAAAGUGUGGUCACUAAAGCCCCCCCCCCCCCGUUUAGUACCGGUUCUGCACGAACCGGUGCUAAAGGGAAACCACGUGGCACGAGCCAGCUUCGGGGGCCUGGAGCCCUUUAGUACCGGUUGGUAACACCAACCGGUACUAUAAGGUUUGGGGGUUUUUAGUUUUAUGAUUUCUUUUUUAUUUAAUUUUGUGUUUCCAUUUUAAUUCUUUUUCGUUUGCUGGUAUUUUAUGAUACUACACAUUGUAAACGUUAUGCANNNNNNNNNNNNNNNNNNNNNNNNNNNNNNNNNNNNNNNNNNNNNNNNNNNNNNNNNNNNNNNNNNNNNNNNNNNNNNNNNNNNNNNNNNNNNNNNNNNNNNNNNNNNNNNNNNNNNNNNNNNNNNNNNNNNNNNNNNNNNNNNNNNNNNNNNNNNNNNNNNNNNNNNNNNNNNNNNNNNNNNNNNNNNNNNNNNNNNNNNNNNNNNNNNNNNNNNNNNNNNNNNNNNNNNNNNNNNNNNNNNNNNNNNNNNNAAUCAUCGAGUACAACAUGAUUGUCAUGAUAUUAUAAGCAUUCAUAUAUAACACCACAAAAGCAAAUCACUUAAGUUCAGAAUGAAGAACACGGACAUGAAAGGCCAAGUACUAAUUAAGAGUAGCAUGAAGAACUAGCUAAAUCACUCCUGCUAGCUACUCUCUCUCUAGUAAAAUAGGAUAGAACAUGUAUAGCUCUCCUGAUUGAUCAUACUGGAGCAUGCCGAUGAACCUGUCUCCUAAUUGUGGGCUGCGCUUCUCAUUGCUGCCCCCUAGUAUUUCUCUGCCAUCAUUAACAAUUUUCCUCCAAUCUUUCACUAUUAAGCAGUCAUCGCUUCUAGAAAUCCUGAAUGCAUUCAUGUGCAAUGCAGGAUAUCUUGGCCUUAAGCUAACAAUUGACAUCUGACCUUUAGUCUCGAUCCCCUGAGGCACAACUGUCAUCGGGAGUCCCUGUUGAAGAACAUCGUAUAGUACUUAAUUAAUAUACUCCGCAAUGAAAGUUUAAAAAAAAAUAUGUAUGCAAAAUAUGCACUGAGGACAAAUAGUAAAUAUCUUACCAUCAUUCCUAAAUAGAUGUGACCGUAGUUCAAUACCAUCACUAUUGGUCGCACGUUUUGAGUACUAACAUUUCCAAGUGCAGGAAAACUAAUUUUAUUAAUUCAACUACUUCUAUUAAUUCAACUAAGCAUUUACUAAAAAUAAACUAGUUAUAUUAAUUCAGUUAGUUCAACUAAGCAUUUACUAAAAAUAAACUAGUUAUAUUAAUUCUAUUAGUUCAACUAAGCAUUUACUAAAAAUAAACUAGUUCUAUAUAUUAAUUCAACUAGUUGAACUAAGCAUUUACUAAAAAUAAACUAGUUCUAUAUAUUAAUUCAACUAGUUCAACUAAGCAUUUACUAAAAAUAAACUAGUUCAAAUAUAUAUCUAACUAUAAUAUUUUAAUUAGAUAAUCAAAUCUCAGAUACGACAAUUUUCUUACUAAAAAUAAACUAGUUAUAUUAAUUAUUCAACUAGUUCAAAUCUCAUAUACCUAAAUAAACUAGUUCGACAAUUUUCUUACUAAAAAUAAACUAGUUAUAUUAAUUAUUCAACUAGUUCAAAUCUCACAUACCUAGCUAAUUAAUAUCUAAUUANNNNNNNNNNNNNNNNNNNNNNNNNNNNNNNNNNNNNNNNNNNNNNNNNNNNNNNNNNNNNNNNNNNNNNNNNNNNNNNNNNNNNNNNNNNNNNNNNNNNNNNNNNNNNNNNNNNNNNNNNNNNNNNNNNNNNNNNNNNNNNNNNNNNNNNNNNNNNNNNNNNNNNNNNNNNNNNNNNNNNNNNNNNNNNNNNNNNNNNNNNNNNNNNNNNNNNNNNNNNNNNNNNNNNNNNNNNNNNNNNNNNNNNNNNNNNNNNNNNNNNNNNNNNNNNNNNNNNNNNNNNNNNNNNNNNNNNNNNNNNNNNNNNNNNNNNNNNNNNNNNNNNNNNNNNNNNNNNNNNNNNNNNNNNNNNNNNNNNNNNNNNNNNNNNNNNNNNNNNNNNNNNNNNNNNNNNNNNNNNNNNNNNNNNNNNNNNNNNNNNNNNNNNNNNNNNNNNNNNNNNNNNNNNNNNNNNNNNNNNNNNNNNNNNNNNCGGCGCGAGACGACGACGACGACGGGCGGCAGCGCGGACAGCGACGAUGACGACGAACGACGGGCGAUGGGCGGCGACGACGGGAUCGAGCGGCGCGCGGCGAUGUCGAGAGGUUGGAGACGAAAGUGGGGAGAUGUAACUGAAAUUUUCGUAAGUGCUAUAUAUAUAGGAUGGGCCUUUAUUACCGGUUGGAGCCACCAACCGGUACUAAAGGCCAACUUUGGCCAGGCCAAGAGGCGGGAAGAGCAGGCCUUUAGUACUGGUUGGUGCCACCAACCGGUACUAAAGGGUGAUUUGUAGUACCGGUUGGAGCCACAAACUGGUACUAAAGGCCUCGCGCUGCCACCCCAAAGUUUAGUCCCACCUCACCGGGCGAAGGGCAGCCGCACUGGUUUAUAAACCCAGCCGCGGCUACCUCUUUGAACUCCUCUAUAUAGCAGGCUUGUGGGCCUAAAUUCUGCGCGCUGCCCUUUGAGUCUGCUGGGCCUUUAAGGCCUGUAAUUGCACGCCCGUGGCCUAGCAGGCCCACAGGGCAGCGCCCCAAUUUUUUUUAUAGUUUUUUCUUUUCUGCUUUAUUUUCUUCGAUUUAUUUCUGCGUAGUUUUUUGUAUAGUUUUUUCUUUUCUGUUAUAUUUAUUUUCUUCUAUUUAUUUCUGAGUAGUUUUUCAUCUAGUUUGCCAAAAUUCAACAUUUUCAGAGUUCAUUUUGUAGUGAUUUUCAAUUUCACGGUCAUUUUAUAUAGUUUUUUCUUUUCAGCUAUAGUUUUUUUUCCUGCUAUUUUUUCUUUUCUGCAAAACUUGAUGGUCAAAGUCUGGAGUUAUAACCAAAGUUUAAAAAAAAGAAAUGCCGACGUGCAAUUAGUUUUUGCCAUAACAAAAGAAGUCUGGAGUUGUAAUAAGUUAUUAAAAAUAAAAAAGAGGUGCAAUGCUCGUUAAUUUGCUUCAAGCCUUUCGCAAUAGUGUAAACUGCACUGCCCAUAGCUCCGUGCAGUAUACCAUAUUCCUGAAGGCUUGAAGCUAAGCAACGUGAGCAUUGAGCCUCUUCUUCAUCGUCUCUACACUCAGGGCUUAUAAACUGCUCCUAAUCCCUCUCUCUUCGCGAGGUGGGACUAAAAAACAGCUUACUAAGAAACUGUAGUACUGGUUCAUCCAUGAACCGGUACUAAAGGUGCUCGUGCGGCACCAGCUAGCCUUACCUGACACAACAUCAUUAGUACCAGUUCGUGGCACGAACCGGUGCUAAAGGUUCGCCACGAACCGGUACUAAACAGCUCCUCCCGCCUAGCAGUUGGUGCAUACUGAACGCAAAAAAUAUAAGAGCAUUUAGAUCAUGAUCUUACAUUUCUUUAAAGUCUAAAUUGUCAAUAUGAUCUUAUAACAUCAAAAAUAGUUUGAUCAUCAAUGAUCUUUGUGUGUACAAUCUGAAUUGUCAAUAUGAGUCAUCAACGAUUUAUAAACCGAUGAAGACUCAUAUUGCGGCCACAAAUUCUAAACAUAGAGUUCAAUGAAGACCAAGUGCUUGUGAUAGUUUGAGAAAUAACAUAUUUAAGGUGGUAAAAGGCUUGUUAGGGGAGCGAUGUGGGACUAAAAACAGCUUGCCAUAACCUCAUUAGUACCGGUUCGUGGUACGAACCGGCACUAAAUUGUGAUGGUGGGGCCAUAGCCUGACCGCAGGCUGACACAGCCUCUUUACUACCGGUUCGUGGCAUGAACCGGUACUAAAGGUUCGCCACGAACCGGUGCUAUUGAUCGCUGCCACGAACCAGCACUAAUGUACACAUUAGUGCCGGCUGAAAUUUAAACCGGCACUAUUGUGCUUCACAUUUGACCCUUUUUCUACUAGUGUAAGCAGGAGAAGGAUCCAACAAAGAGUUUUUGUGCUUACAAGCUAGAUUUGUCAAAGGCAUAUGAUAGAGUGGAUUGGGUUUUCAUGAGGCAGGUGAUGCAAAAGAAGGGUUUCUCUCAACGAUGGAUUGACUGGGUUAUGACAUGUGUCACAUCGGUGAGGUAUUCAAUAAAGUUAAAUGGGACCCUCUUGGAUUCAUUUGCACCGACACGUGGUCUUCGGCAAGGUGACCCUCUUUCACCGUUUUUAUUUCUUCUUGUGGCGGAUGGCUUGUCAGCAAUUUUAAAAAAUAAAGUGGUCGUGGGAGAGAUCACUCCAGUGUAAGUGUGCAAGAGGGCGCCUAGAGUUUCCCAUUUGUUAUUCGCUGAUGACACACUGCUAUUUUUUGAGGCCUCUAGUGCCCAGGCAGAGAAUGUGAAAGCUGCUCUAGAUUUAUAUGGAUCUGCAACCGGUCAAAGUUUGAACUACAACAAGUGUUCAAUAUUUUUCGGUGCUGCAUGUCCGGUUACUAUACAGGAGCAAGCAAGAGAUGUAUUCGGAGUCACAAGCUUGGUGUUUGAGGAAAAAUAUUUAGUCCUACCUACACCUGAAGGACGGAUGUCUAAUGGAAGUUUCCAAAACCUUCAAACUAGUAUUACAAAACGUUUAAUCCAAUGGGGCGAUGGUCUUCUUGCUCAGCCAGGAAGGGAGGUCCUAAUUAAGUCAGUAGCUCAGGCUUUACCAACGUACAUCAUGGGGGUGUUUAAACUCCCGUAUUCGGUGUGUGAUGAUCUAACAAGGAUGGUGAGCAACUUUUACUGGGGUCCAAGCAGGGGAAGAGGAAGGUCCAUUGGCGAGGAUGGGACUACCUAAUGCAGCCGAAAGAUAAAGGAGGUGCAGGUUUCCGGGACUUUUGGUUGCUCAACCAGGCAUUGUUGGCUCGCCAAGCAUGGCGUUUGGUAACAAGACCAGAUAGUUUAUGUGCCCAACUUCUAAAAGAUCGUAUUACCCUCAUGGUAAUCUAGUUGAUACGGUGUUUUCAGGCAAUGCUUCCUCCUCUUGGCAAGUUAUAAGCCACGGUCUUGAGUUGUUAAAGAAAGGGCUGAUUUGGAGGGUUGGAAAUGGGCAGAGCAUUAGAGUGUGGAGGGACAAUUGGAUCCCAAGGCCCUACUCAUAUAAACCUGUAUCUUUACAAGGCCGCUGUCGUAUACGAUACGUUUCUGGGCUGUUAAAUGCUAAUGGGUCAUGGAAUUUGGAUUUGCUGCAACGGUACUUUAUGCAAGCUGACGUUGAUGAGAUUCUGAAAAUAAGGGCUUCGCCGAGACUUGGGGAAGACGUCAUUGCUUGGGGCCCCGGGAAACUGGGAGCUUUCACAGUGAAAUCCGCAUAUGCUUUAGCCUUCGAUGAAAUCCACAGGGGAUCUACUGUGGCGUCCAGUUCUGCGCCUGAAGGAAGUAGGAAGUGCUGGCAAUAUAUAUGGAAGUGCAAAGUACCGCCAACGGUGCAGAAUUUGGCCUGGAAACUAGCGACGGACUCACUGCUGACUUGGAGAAAUAAGUACAAAAUUGGGCUUGAAACAUCUAGUAUAUGUCCAGUUUGUGGGACAGAAGAAGAGGACAAUUUCCAUCCUUUUGUGAGAUGCCAGUUCGUGAGAGAUUUAUAUCUAGUCAUGGCCGAGGAGUGGUGUCUACCACCACUUGAAUCAGUGGUACCGACCGGCAAGGGGUGGCUGCUGCAGUUUUUGGCGCCUCUUACAGAUGUGUAGAGAAGUAUGGUGUUACUCAUAUUUUGGAGAAGCUGGUACGUCCGGAACGAGGUAACGCACUCAAAACCCGCCCCGAUCAUGGCCGUCUCAAAGAGGUUUCUACAGGAUUAUAUGUCCAGUUUGUUCUGUAUUAAAGCAAACACCCAUAUGGACCUGACAAAAGGGAAGCAGAACAUCAAUUUUGACCUAAGUUCUGAAUCACAUGUGCGUGCCCCUGCCGCUGAUGCAUCUUGGAAACCGGCACAACAUGGUUGGGUUAAGCUCAACACGGAUGGGUCCUUUUCGGCUGAUGGCGGUGCUGGAGCUGGGAUGUUAUUGCGUGAUGCUCACGGAAACAUUAUAAUCUCAGCGUGCAGAGCACCGUACUCGUGUAGAGAUGCCCUAGAAGCUGAAUUAUGUGCAUGUAUGGAAGGGAUAUCCUUUGCAGUCCAACAUUCUCAUCUUCUGAUUGAAAUUGAAAUGGACUCGAGCAUGGCGGUGGAGAUGAUUUCUAGUGGCAAAGUGAAUCGUUCCGUUUAUGCUUCUUGGAUAGAAGAAAUAAAAAAUUUGUUAAGCCUUAGGCAGUCUUGUAUUACUCUUGCUCCUCGCUGUUAGAAUAAAGCGAGUGAUAGUCUCGCUAAAUUUGCUAGAAUAGAAGGUCGCACCAUGACGUGGGUUGGUUCGGGACCUGAGGAUGUGUUGAGGAUCGCCCAUGAGGAUUGUAAGAACCUGAUCAUUGAGUAACGCAAGUUUUUUUCUCGCAAAAAAAAGAAGGGCUCACAAGGAAACAUAUUAGCACUUUCCGGUCAGGGCACAAGGAACCACCAUCUUUAUGCCUAACAAAUAACGGAUAGCAUUGAUUGUCUAAUUUGGUAUGAAAAUAGCAGAACUGACAAUUUGAACCAACCCGUUGGGCUGAUGUGGAAAAUACCAACCACAAAAAAGUUUGACAAGCUAAGGUGGCAGAGGAGAUGCAGACCCCUCCUAUGAUUGACGAAAUGAUCGUCUUCAUCCCAUCACUCUUUCUAUGGAGCAUUGCAUCGAGCAGCUUGUGGGUGGUGUCGGUGUCAAAACCGGUGGAUCUCGGGUAGGGUGUCCCGAUCUGUGCGUCUUAGGCUGAUGGUAACAGGAAGCAAGGGACACAAUGUUUACCCAGGUUCGGGCCCUCUCGAUGGAGGUAAAACCCUACUUCCUGCUUGAUUAAUAUUGAAGAUAUGAGUAGUACAAGAGUAGAUCUACCACGAGAUCGUAGGGGCUAACCCUAAGAGAUAGCCUAUGAUGGUAUGAUUGUAAUUGUGAUCGGCCUUCUAAGGACCAUCCUCUCCAGUUUAUAUAGACACCGGAGAGGGCUAGGGUUUACAUGGAGUUGGUUACAAGGAAGAAAAUAUAAUAUCCGGAUCACCAAUGUCUUCCACGCAAAGGAGAGUACCAUCCGGACACGAGCCGAAGUCUUGAGUCUUGUAUCUUCAUGCUUCAAUAGUCCGGACGAUGUAUACAGUCCGGCUGUCCAGAUACCCCCUAAUCCAGGACUCCCUUAGGUGCCCCUGAACCAGGAUUCAAUGACGAUGAGUUCGGCGCGCAGUCUUGUCUUCGGCAUCGCAAGGCGGGUUACUCCUUCUGAAUACUCAAAGGUUAUUAUAGAACACGUAGGCCGUGUCCGGGUCUGCAAAAUGAUCUUCACACACCAUUGUAGGGAACAUAGCAUAAACCCGUUCUGCUGGCGAUCUUUGUAUGUCGUGCCCUUGCAUCGUGGCCUAGUCCAACACGAACCGGCGUUUCCUGCUCCACCUCGACUCGCGUUGCGAGGCGGUUUUAUUGGCACAUCCUGCCAAAUUAGAGAUCGCGCUCCUCUUAUUACGGGAUCUUUCAUCAAUAUGGGCGUGUGUGACCCUACGGCAACCGUUGGUAUGAAUCCGUGUAUUUUAGAUAAGUCUCAAGCGGUCACGCUGAGGACUCUUGAUGUUCAUCCCUUUUAUAAAGGGGUCAAGGCCUACGCCUCUUUUCCACCUCCCAUGCUCCUUCUCGAACCUCGAGUUCUAACACCCAAGAUCCAAGCUCCAACACCCCGAAUCCUCCAACAUGUCCGGAUCCGACGCAAAAGGCCGGUGGGUGGCCCCCUCGAUUCAAGAGGAGGACAUUACGAAGCUUAGGGAGGUCGGAUACCUGACUGCUGAUAUCCAGCACAGCUUCGUGCUCCGGGGCAAGUCAUCCCCACGCCGGAGCCCAAUGAGAGCGUUGUGUUCAUUCCUCACUUCCUCCGAGGCCUGGGCCUCACCCUCGACCCCUUUGUGAGGGGGCUCAUGUUCUAGGAUUUUCAUGAUCUGGCUCCAGACUCCAUCCUCCAUAUCUCGUCGUUCAUUAUUGUGUGCGAGGCCUUUCUCCACGUCGCCCCACACUUCGGCUUAUGGCUCAAGACCUUUAAUGUGAAGCCGAAGAUGAUCGAGGGGUGACAUGCGGAGUGCGGAGGUGCCAUAAUAAGCAGGAACACUGAUGCCCCAUGGCCAGAGGGUUCUUUCAUGGAAGUAUCCGAUGUAUGGGAACGGAUGUGGUUUUAUGCUACAGCUCCCAGAGGCACAAACUGGGUAGCCGCCCCCGAGUUCCGCUCGGGCCCUCCAUCACAGUUGGCGUCUUGGACCGACGUAGGACGGAAUUAUUGGCCUACUGGCGAUGUACCAGAACUGCAGAAUCGCAUUCGGGAGCUUAUUGAGAAGGACAUAAAUCUUGUCAGCAUAAUGCAAGUGAUGCGAAUCCGACGGAUGUUGCUGUGCAAACUUCGGCCUCUCCGGAUGUGGGAAUUUAAUCCGGAGGGUCCGCGGACUAUUAAUCACUUCUUCGGCCUGAAGCUCGAAGGGAUGUGUAAAUUAUUCUUCGGACCACAAGUAAAGUGUCCAGAGACCACCGAGGAUGCGGGCCUUAGCUGCAAUCGCCUAGAUGCCCAAGUAAGUAACCUUAAAGAUGGACACUUCAUUUAUAUUUAUCAUAACUAUCAUUCUAAAAAUCCCUCCACGGCCAGGAAUGGCUCAACAAGGCGGAGAGAAUGAGCUGUCCAGCGCCACAUCCUGAAGGUUUGCCUGAUCCAACCAUUGCCAAGAUGCUUGGCCGGGUGCUUAGCAAAAUCCCCUCAAGGAAAGGCGAAGGAAAGGGCAGUGAAGCCGAACUUCACACCCUGCGCAUCCAGACCAGGUGAUACGCUACUUCUCCUAUGGAGGAUAGUCGGGAAGGGGAGGUUAAAGCCUCUUCCCCACGCAGGAGGAAGAUGGCCGCCCCCGAAGACUUGGAGGCGGAGAUGCCCAAGCAAGGGAAGAAGGUAUCACCAGGCGGCUCUGCCGCGACGGGCACCCUCACCGCGUCAUGCCCACCAACGGGCCAGCCCUCCACCGAGCCGUAAUUUAUUCAUUAAUUCGAAGGUAUAGUGUUUCUCCGAGAUCCAUAACCGGGACUUCGUCUUUUGCAGUCCGGUGAGCAACUCUUCUCAACGGAGUUCUCUUUCGGGAGAUCUUCUUUCGAAGAUGAUGGAGAGUGAGACCCCACCCACCUCUCCGCCUCAUGAAGCAGGCGACACUGAGAUGUCAUCACGGAGGAGUCCGGAUCUGUCGGAGCCGGAGGCGAACACGUCAGUCGCCCUGAGCCCGGAGCGUUUGGCUCCCACGGGGGGCGAUGAGAAGGGUCCGGCACAGUUUGAUGUCCGGCCGGACAUACUAACGGGCCUUAUGGAGCGAGCCGCGCUCUCGAAGGAGCACCGCUCUUUAAUGAGCACGGUUCUCACGAAGAUUUCAUCCGCUACAAGCGGUUUGAAUGAGGCAUUUACAAGCUUGCUCAAAGCCUUUGAGGUAUGUAGUGAAAAAUGCACAAUUUUUGGUUAUGAAGCACGCUCUAGGUGUGGUCCCUAUGGAUAGUAGCCCCUGAGACUCUGGUUGCCCGCCAUAGGCGGCAAACGGGGGAUCAUAUAGUAAUGCUUGUGCCGUACAUGUGCGCAGGUAUAUAAGGAUCCGGCAGCCAACCAGUCUGUUGAAGUUGCCGAACUGAGGAGGCAGAUCGGAUCUAUUGAUGCCAAUAUCACGCUGGUGAACAAACGGCUGGAGGAGUCACAGGGUAUGUGCUCUUCUUCCCUUAUUAUGUUGUAUAGGAAAAUGCGAGAGUGGCAUAAUGUUAAUGCCAUGUGUUUGCACUACAGAUGGUGCUACUGCCGUGGAGGCCCUGAGGGCGGAACUUGCUCAGGCCAAGGAACAAGCUCGGGCUAGCAAUGCGGCUGCCCUAAAGGAGGACGAAGAAUUGAGAGCCGAACAGGCUGCUCAUCGCCGAAGCGAGGAAAAAAUAGCCGAAAUUGCUGAGGAGUUGAAAAAUGCCGCCGACCAGUAUGUACUCCUUGAAAAGGAGAAUAAGGCUAGUUAGCCCGAGCUGGACAAGGCACUAAAUGCUGCCAAGGAGAUGCGGACCAAAGUCUGGGGUAUGCGGGAGGAGCUCCAACAGGCCGACAAAAUCGUGGCUGGGGGCUCCUACUUACUGCGGACAAGGUUUUUGGAUCCGAAGUAUGCUCCCCUAGAUGGGCGCUAGAGUCCUGCAGACGCAUAUGUGGACUUGGCGAAGAGUACAGCGGACGCUGCUAAGUUCUUCGAGGGUCAAGGUGAUAAAGAAGUGGAGAAGCUUUUCUGGUCGCAGUUCCAUGCUCCCACUCGCCCGCUGCCGCUGAAUGAGAAGAUGGCUGCUAUGGCGGAGCUCCACAGGCUGUCCGGACUUGCAAUGCAGUCUGUAAUAGACCAUCUUUGGACAAAGGGGCCUAAGACGGACAUCUACUUUGGUUUGGUGCAGCAAUUCCUCGCAUUGACGCCAUGAGGAGGUCGGCGUGCAUAGAUGGAGCGCGGAUGGCUCUUGCCCGCGUUAAAACCUAUUGCACGAAUAUGGAGGCCACCAUUAUAGCGACCCAAGAUCCGGUGGGCGGCCAAUAUUCGGCCGAGCACUACUUGGCGCGGGUCACAGAAGGUGCCCGCCUAAUAGAGGCGCAAUGCUCGAAGAAUGUCCUCUUCGAGUGAUAAGUUGAAACAUUGUAAAAAACAAUGCUUAUUUUGAUUAUAAGGCUAUAUUUAUACUUUUUGCCUGAAAAUAUGAUUGUGUCCCCUGUACGGCCGUUUUUAUAUGUAUAAGUAGUCCGAAAGAUAGCAGUCGUUGGCUUCAGCCCCCACGCAUACAAUGCGGGGGUGUUCACGAAAAAUAUGCUUAAUCACACUUGAUCCAACAUCUUGGUCCAUUAAGGAUGUGAUCGCACGUCGAACUAGGCAACCGGACUAUAUAGUUGUAACACUUUCACUUAGCCAUGUGAGUCUAAUGGUGGGGCUACUAUGUAGCCCCUGGUACAUUCACGUGCAUCCGAAUUCGGGCGCGUGUGUACAUGGCCGGGAAACGACCCUUCGUUAAUGCGGAGGAAUCCUUAGAGAUUCUGGUGAGUCUUUGAGUGGUUGAACAGUCUCUCGCUGUAUCAUGACAGUCAAUUUUCGGCUUUCUCUACUGAGACGCUCAUCCGGAAUAACCAGGGCAUAAUCGCAGUAGUUCUCCUUUGGCCUGCCUUAGCCGAUAAUAACGAAACGUAAGGCGGCAAACCCAGGAGCUGGGAAACCCAACAUUUGACCAAAGACAUGAUUCAGAGCUGAUGCAUAUACGGCCAAACUCGUGACGCCGAACACUCCCGAGGGUAUUCAGUCUUUGUAAAAGAAAAUAGGCUGACGAGAGCCUAUUAUAAGCCCUAAAUUUCCAGGUAUGAGCGUUUUAAUCUGUCGUGGCGAAAAGCCAAUAGCGGCAGUAUCCUCUGUGGGUAUGGAACCCAUGGGAUAGUUAAACAACAAGAGGCAGUAGAAAAGGUUUACACAGGGGCUUAAUCUAAAAAGAAACCUGUUGCAUUGGGCCCUGCUGCACGUCUGCGCCUUUGUCUCCGUCGUGCCGUAUCCUGGAAGGGUAUCGCGUGAACGUUGUCUAUGGAGAAAAGAAAACUCGUAGGAGAGUACAACGUAAGUAUGCGAUUAAUAAUAGAAGUGUUAGAUAUUGGCCUGCCAGUAAGGUUGAGCCAGAUGUGGGGCUGCAUUAAAUAUUUAUAGCCCCUGGUAUCCGCUAUGGGAUUAUAUGUACGGUGCCCUGGUUCAGUUGUAUCCAGGCUACCGGACUCGUCCAACCGAGUCGGUGGUCGUAAUGACCAGUCAUGUUUUUUAUAUUGGAGGCCGCUUAUAGUCCGGCCGCCAGGACCGUCGCGUGGUCCUCUACGCAUGAGGAGCGCUCUGUGAUUCCGCUAACGGUGAUGACACCACGUGGACCGGGCAUCUUUAGUGUAAGGUAGCCAUAGUGAGGCAAUGUGUUGAAGCGGGAGCAUGCCGCUCUUCCAAGCAAUGCGUGAUAGCUGCUUUGGAAGGGUGCGAUGGUGAAGAGUAGUUCUUCGCUUCUGGAGUUACCUGGGGAGCUGAAUGUUACUUCCAGCACAACAGAGCCCCUGCCGUGGGCUUCAACGCCUGGUAUCACCCCUUCAAAGGUGGUGUUGCUUUGGAUAAUCCUGGAUGGGUUUAUGCCCAUUCUGCGAACAGUGUCCUCCUAUAUUACAUUGAGACUACUGUCGCCGUCCAUGAGGACAUGAGUUCCUUCGUCGCCUGCUUCCAACUCAGGCCGGACAUAGUUUGGCCCAAAGCCUCCUGACAAAGAGAGAGACUUUAAUGAGUUCAGCAUGUCGCCAAAGGGCGAGUGCUGGAAGAUGUCCGCAGCGGUAAACUCCAUUACCGGAGCCCAACCUGGCCCGACUGUCUCGAGGGUAUGCGGAUAGGGGCCAACAACCGGAUACGAGUCCGGGGGCCCGAGGUUACAGGCCUCAACCGAGGUGAGACCUAUGUUCGGCUCCAACGCCGAUGAGUAUGCGGCCUGCAGGGCGGGUUCUACUCCUCCGUCCUUGGGCAACGCAACCUGUUCCGGAUUUAGAUCCGGGGCUAUUGCAGGGAUGAUGUUCCGAGCAUUGUCCGACAGCAGGUCUAGGUCGUGCUCGUCGCGACUGUCCGGCGCUCCUAGCACAGGGCCGAAUCCAUCGAAGAUCAAGUCUCCGUGAAUAUCCGCCGUGUAGUUCAAGUUUCCGAACCUGAUCUGGUGGCCAGGGGCGUAGCUUUCGAUCUGCUCCAGAUGACCAGGCAAAUUGGCCCGGAGUGCGGAGCCACCGAACACGAAGAUCAGUCCGGGGAGAAAAGGCUCGCCCUGGACCGUGUUGUCGGUAAUUGAAGACGACAUAAAGCCUCGAAGCGACGACACAGAGGAACUCUCAAUGAAAGCACCAAUGUCGGUGUCAAAACCGGCGGAUCUCGGGUAGGGGGUCCCGAUCUGUGCGUCUUAGGCUGAUGUUAACAGGAAGCAAGGGACACAAUGUUUACCCAGGUUCGGGUCCUCUCGAUGGAGGUAAAACCCUACUUCCUGCUUGAUUAAUAUUGAAGAUAUGAGUAGUACAAGAGUAGAUCUACCACGAGAUCGUAGGGGUUAACCCUAAGAGCUAGCCUAUGAUGGUAUGAUUGUAAUUGUGAUCGGCCUUCUAAUGACCAUCCUCUCCGGUUUAUAUAGACACCGGAGAGGGCAAGGGUUUACAUGGAGUCGGUUACAAGGAAGGAAAUAUAAUAUCCGGAUCGCCAAGCUUGUCUUCCACGCAAAGGAGAGUACCAUCCGGACACGAGCCGAAGUCUUGAGUCUUGCAUCUUCACGCUUCAAUAGUCCGGACGAUGUUUACAGUCUGACUGUCCGGAUACCCCCUAAUCCAGGACUCCCUCAGGUGGUGUCCCGGAUUGGGAGAGUACCUGCUCGACGCUAGUUAGCAUCAAAAUGAGGACCUUUUGCUUAGAGGGUGUUUGCGGGCUGGCUCCUUGGUGGCCCGCUAGCUUAGUUUCUCUCGGAGUUUUAUUCGAAUAUUGAGGUGGCUAUUUCCUGACGAUUUCGGGAAUGUGUGCGUUGUUGUUUGCUGAACCAAAACUCACCUGUUUCCUGAAUGUUUCGUGGCUUAAGUGGAGACCUUUUGAAGAGUAAAAGGAAUCAGCAACUUUUAGUACAAUAAAUUGUUCCCAAAAAUGACUGUACCUACAACUUGUUUGCUGACUGUUUCAACUUUUAGUACAAUAUAUUUUUCUGAAUUUGAACAAAAUUUGCCUAGUUCUGAAUUUGCGGCAAGAUUUUAUAUAUAUAUAUAUAUAUAUAUAUAUAUAUAUAUAUAUAUAUAUAUAUGUAUACAUAUAUAUAUAAGUUGGCCACAAGCAUGGUAGAAUCUUUUUUUGUUGAACAAUAUUCACAGACAAGAAGAAUCGGCAAAAACAUUGAUUUGCGGCAACUAUCAGCAAAAACGGAAUACGUGUUGUUAAAGAAAAAUUAGUUUCCCAAAUGGGAGGAUAUUUGUUGGCAUUGUUUGAAUUUGAAAAUGUGAUCCACUUGUAUAUCUGUUCGUCCAGCUCUCUCUGAACUUGUAACAAAUUUAUUUAUGUUUAUUACCUGUUGGAAAAAAAUAUAAUCAAGUGCAAACAAAAAAUACUAGGGGCAAAAGUAGGUUUCUUGUAAUAUCAGCGGAAGUAGAUUUAUGUACUACUACAGUAGUUGCAAUUCUGAGGAAAAUAUGUUCCUUCUUCAGAUUCAUUUGAAUAUGCGGAAUCCCUGAUGAAUAUUAACAAAAUUAGGCCCCAAAAAAUCAUAACAGACAGAAAAAAAGUAUAGCAAAACUACAAGAAGGUUAAUGGAUACAGGAUAAUAAAACUAGGGAUAAGAGGAUGGGUUGAUCACACAUGACCCAAAUAAAUAGUCUGCGAUAGGGCGUAAGCACUCAUACGUUUGGUGGAAGAAAAGCGUAUGCGAUGCCUGAAUCUAUUCCAAAUGAAACAGGUGAGUUACGUGAAUGUAAUAUACCAAAUGUUUAUAUGUUCGAUUCUGUUCACUAAUUUUGAAAAAUGUUUGUGAGUUUGGAAAUUGUGCAAAAUUUCAAAAAUAUGUUCAUCAUUGCAAAAACAAAAUCAUAAAUUCAAACAAUGUUCAUGAAUUGCGAAGGACAAUGCGAGUUUAGAAAGUAUUCUAAAAUUAGAAAAAUGGUCACAAAGUUUAACAAAUGUUCACAAUUUGCAGAAAAGUUCAUGAAUUGAAAACAAAAUUCAUGAUUUAAAAUAAUUUAUAAAACUAUAAAAUUUGUGAAUUUGAAAAGAAAAAAAGAAAACUAUAAUAAAAAAUAAAAUAGAGAAAAACAAAAAAUGACAAAAAGAAAGAAAACAGAGAAAAAAAAGAUGAACAGAACAAUGGGCCAACCAAUUCGUACGAGCAGAACAAUCAGCAAAAAUGGAAUACAUGUUGUUAAAGAAAAAUUAGUUUCACAAGUGGGAAGACAUUUGUUGGCAUUGUUUGAAUUUGAAAAUGAUCCACUUGUAUAUCUGUUCAUCAAGCUCUCUCUGAACUUGUAACAGAUUUUUUUUAUGUUUAUUACCUGUUGGAAAAAAACAUAAUCAAGUGCAAACAAAAAAUACUAGGGGCAAAAGUAGGUUUCUUAUAAUAUCAGCGGAAGUAGGUUUAUGUACUACUACAGUAGUUGCAAUUCCGAGGAAAAUAUGUUCCUUCUUCAGAUCCAUUUGAAUAUGCGGAAUCCCUGAUGAAUAUAAAAAAAUUAGGCCCCAAAAAAUCAUAACAAACAGAAAAGAAAAAGAUAUCAAAACUACAAGAAGGUUAAUGGGUACAGGAUAAUAAAACUAGGGAUAAGAGGAUUUACAUGUUGGUGGACGAAUGAUUUCAGCAGUGGUAGUUUAAUUUCGUUGUCUAUAGAAUUAACUAGUCUUAUAAGAACUUCUAUCGAAGGCUUGAACAUCAUCCUAAGGAAUGAAUGCACAAAAACAAUGUUACAUGCUUUAGGAGAAAGAAAUGAUUCCUGUGUAAUCCAAAACAGUACAAAAGUAAUACUUGGUUUUUAACAUACGGCGAACAAUUUUUGAAUACAUAUUGACCAUUUUUAUAAUAAUACGCUGAACAAUUUUCAAACACAGACUUGACAUUUUUGUGAUAGAUACUGAACAUUUUGAAGUACACACUGAAAAAAAUUCAAAUACGUCGAAAUUUUUCUUAAUAUAUUGUGAACAUUUUGUUAAAUAUAGGAAUAAAAUUUUUUUUAUACACGAUGAAAAUUUUAUAAUGCAUGGUAAACUUUUUUAUAAUAUACGGUGAAACAUUUUUUCAAUACCAUGAGAAUUUUUUUAAUACGCGAUUAACUUUUUAUAUAACACACAAAAAAAGAGAAGAAGAAGUGAAAACAUAAAAGAAAAUAAACGAAAAGGUCGAAAUCGAAAGGAGAAAGGAACAGAAAAAAGAAACUGAUGAAAACAACUGAAAACCAGACAAGACAUUAAAAAACCUAGAAGCAAUAAACCACAGAAGAAAACAAAGGGAAACACACGAAACAACUACGAAGCAGCAUCAAUGGACAGAACACAAAUCCGGUGCGUGGGUUGUCCCAACCGGAGGCUCUCCCUAGCGAAGGCACAACGUUCUGAUGAUAACAAGCGUCAAAUAGGGUAUGGCCCAAUCAGAGGCUCUCCCCGGAUUGGGGGUCACUCACCACGUCAUCUCGCAUCUAGGUGGGCCGGGCCGAGGACCCCAUGUCAAUUUACCACUGGGCCAAAUCUAGGUGGCCCAUGAUGUAUAAACGGAAGCUUCCGUAGACUUGAUAUAUACUCCAACAAAUUUAGAGGUAGUCUACAACACGUCCACCUUGUACGUUACCGACUAGGUUGGAACUCUAGACCCCCACUGUAAUGGCGGGACCCAUGAUCAGCGACCCAGAUCAGCCAGGAACCAAACUAGCCAAGAAAGGAAUGAGCCAGGAGGAGUAGCUGAGUCGUGUGGUGUAUUAAAGGGGCCAAGUGUGGCCAGUUGUAAACUAUGAUGUGAUUUAGUCAAACCAAACGGAGAGAAGCUGAUCUUCCUCCUCCUUAUCCCCAUCCUCUCCCUUCGUCUCACCUACUCCCUUCGCAUCUCCCCUCCUCAGAUCCGUAGGCUAGAUCGGUCCCCUUACAUCUGGUAUUACAGGUCCAGCCCAUCGAUCUGGAGACCGCCUACCCCAAGCCACGUUACUAGACAAAGCAGGUGCAGCAAGCAGCGGUGGUGGAGGAGAAAAUCGCGGCCCUCGCCAAGGUCGUCCACGACGGGCGGUUGGCCAACGAGGCCCGCCUCGAUGCGAUCCAGCAGUCGCUGGAACUGUGGAGGCCAUCGGUCACGCAUCUCUAACAACAAGUCGACGAGGUGCGCAAGCAAGUGGGGCACAUCGCGCUACACCCGGCCCUGGCAGCGCCUCCGGAUCCGAUCCCGGAGGGCGACGCGGUGGUGCGACCGGCUUCGGCGCCAGACACUGCCGAGCACCACAGGCCGUUAGGCCACGGUGAGAUCGACAUCACCGGGGGCUCAGUACACGGGGUGGUCACCACCUAGUUGCCACCUCUGUUAAAAGAAAAUCCUUGGCCAAUUCUCAUGCUCUGAUUGCUGCUUGCGCAUCAGAUUCGCCCAUACCGCAUCAGAUCGACCCGCCCAUGACACAUUUCCCUAAUUGGUCGUUGCCUAAGCUCGAUUUUCCGGCGUUUGAUGGGGAAAAUCCGCAAUUCUGGAGAACCAGAUGCGAGAAAUACUAUGAUGUGUAUGGAGUGCAGCCCGAUCUGUGGGUUCGCAUCGCUACCUUGCACUUCACGGGUAGUGCCGCGCGCUGGCUGCAACUGCAGGAGUCUAGGAGUGGGUCUAUGAGUUGGGAAGAACUCUGUGCAGCCUUAGGCAUGAAGUUUGGGAGGGAAGAAUAUCAAGUUCAUCUUCGGCAGUUCCGUCUGCUGAAGCAAAAUGGCACAGUGCACGAGUACAUGUUACAGUUUGAGGAAAUCAUGCAUCCCUUGCUUGCGCACAACCCUGCUUUUGAUCAUGUGUUUUUUACCAUACAAUUUCUAAAAGGGCUUAAACAAGAAAUUCGUGUGGGUGUGUUAUUACAUCAGCCAAAGGACUUGGACUCCGCCUUCUCUUUGGCUUCCUUGUAGGAGGAAGUGAUGGAAGCGAUCCCCCGUCGCGAUCACCGGCGACAAGAAGGCGGGGGGCCGCGCAUACCACGUCUUCCCAUCGGGGUCGUCGGCGCACCGCAACAACGCCAACAACCACCAUGCGUGUCAGUGGCUGCAGAAGAUCGCAAAGGCCAGGAAGCAGCACAUGCUCCAGAGCGGGCAGGCCGCGGAGACGAUCGGGUGGCAGCGCUCAGGAAUUAUCGCCGCGCCCGCGGGGUUUGCUUCAAGUGUGGCGAGCGGUGGGGGCAGGUUAACCAAUGUGCACCCACCAUCCAGCUCCACGUCGUCGAGGAGCUCUUGGAGCUACUUCAAGCCGAGAACCCAGAGCAACAGCAGCACGACGAUGAAGGCCAGGAGGAGGUGUUGAUAUCCAUUUCCAAGAUGGCCACGACAGGACAAACUACACCGUGUACAGUACGGUUGCUGGGAUGAAUUGAUGGCAUGGAUGUGCUGAUUCUGGUCGACUCUGGCAGCUCUCAUAGCUUCAUCAGCGAGCAAAGUGUUGCGGGGAUGCAAGUCACAGUGCAGUCGCUGGCUCCAGUACCUGUGGAGAGAACUGUUGGGGCACGUUAUCAUGCACAUGCAUCUUGCCGCGAUGCAAGUGGAAGGCACAAGGGCAAGUUUUUCAGUCUGAUUUGCAAGUGCUAUCUUUGGGGUGCUAUGACAUGGUCAUCAGAAUGGAUUGGUUAGAGAAAUGUGGACCUAUGUGGGUGGAUUGGGCGAACAAAACACUCGAGUUCAACCAUGAGGGCAAGGAAGUGUUAUUGACUAGGAUUCAAUCUUGACUGUAGCCGGUUCCUCAAGUGCCAGCUGUGCAGCUCAGAGCCAUGGAGGCUGAGGGUGAUAUUCUCCAUUUCAUGACCCUAUGUGUGAUAACGCACAAGUCUAGUGGAUCGCAACAGCUUUCGAGGGUAGAGUAUUCAACCCAAAUUUAUUGAUUCGACACAAGGGGAGCCAACGAAUAUUCUCAAGUAUUAGCAGUUGAGUUGUCAAUUCAAUGACACCUGGAUAACUUAGUAUCUGCAGCAAAGUAUUUAGUAGCAAAGUAGUAUGAUAGUAACGGUAGCAGUGGCAAAAGUAAAGAUAGCAGUUUUGUAGUUGUUGUAAUAGUACCAACGGAAAAGUAAAUAAACGAAGCACAAUAUGUGAAAAGCUCGUAGGCAUUGGAUCAGUGAUGGAUAAUUAUGUCGGAUGUGAUUCCUCAUGUAAUAGUUAUAACAUAGGAUGACACGGAACUAGCUCCAGUUCAUCAAUGUAAUGUAGGCAUGUAUUCCGAAUAUAGUCAUACAUGCUUAUGGAAAAGAACUUGCAUGACAUCUUUUGUCCUACCCUCCCGUGGCAGCGGGGUCCUAAUGGAAACUAAGGGAUAUUAAGGCCUCCUUUUAAUAGAGUACUGGACCAAAUCAUUAACACAUAGUGAAUACAUGCACUCCUCAAACUACGGUCAUCACCGAGAAGUAUCCCGUUUAUUGUCACUUCCAGGUUGUCGGAUCAUAACACAUAAUAGGUGACUAUAGACUUGCAAGAUAGGAUCGAGAAAUCACAUAUAUUCGUGAAAACAUAACUGGUGUAGAUCUGAAGUCAUGGCACUCGGGCCCUAGUGACAAGCAUUAAGCAUAGCAAAGUCAUAGCAACAUCAAUCUCAGAACAUAGUGGAUACUAAGGAUGAAACCCUAAAAAAACUAACUUGAUUACAUGGUAAAUCUCAUCCAACCCAUCACUGUCCAGCAAGCCCAUGAUGGAAUUACUCACGCACGGCGGUGAGCAUCAUAAAAUUGGUGAUGGAGGAUGGUUGAUGAUGACGACAGCGGCAAAUCCCCUUCUCUGGAGCCCCGAACGGACUCCAGAUCAGCCCUCCAGAGAGAGAUUAGGGCUUGGCGACGGCUCCGUAUCGUAAAACGCGAUGAAACUUUCUCUCUGGUGUUUUUCUCCAUGAAACGGAAUAUAUAGAGUUGGAGUUGAGGUCGGUGGAGCGUCACGGGGCCCACGAGACAGGGGGCGCGCCCAGGGGGACGGGGCGCGCCCCCCACCCUCGUGGACAGGGUGUGGGCCCCCUGGCCUUGAUUCUUUCGCGAGUAUUUUUUAUAUUUUGCAAAAGUUAUCCCCUUGGAUUUUCAGGUCACUCCGAGAACUUUUGUUUUCCGCACAAUAAACAACACCAUGGCAGUUCUGCUGAAAACAACGUUAGUCCGGCUUAGUUUCAAUCAAAUCAUGCAAGUUAGUGUCCAAAAAAAGGGCAAAGGUGUUUGGAGGUAGAUACGUUGGAGACGUAUCAACUCCCCCAAGCUUAAACUUUUGCUUGUCCUCAAGCAAUUCAGUUGAUAAACUGAAAGUGAUAAAGAAAAACUUUUACAAACUCUGUUUGCUCUUGUUGUUGUAAAUAUGUAAAGCCAGCAUUCAAGUUUUUAGCAAAGAUUACGAACUAACCAUAUUCACAAUAACACUUAGGUCUCAUGUUUACUCAUAUCAAUUGCAUAAUCAGCUAGCGAGCAAUAAUAAUAAAGCUCGGACGACAACACUUUCUCAAAACAAUCAUAAUAUGAUAUAACAAGAUGGUAUCUCGCUAGCCCUUUAGGUGACUGCAAAACAUAAAUGCAGAGCACCUUUAAAGAUCAAGGACUGACUAAACAUUGUAAUUCAUGGUAAAAGAGAGCCAGUCAAAUCAUACCCAAUAUAAACUAAUAGUAUGAAUGCAAAUGACAGUGUGCUCUCCAGCGGGUGCUUUUGAAUAAGAAGGUGAUGACUCAACAUAAAAGUAAAUAGAUAGGACCUUCGCAGAGGGAAGAAGAGAUUUGUAGAGAUUCUAGAGCUUGAUUUUAAAAUAGAGAUGAAUAACAUUUUGAGCGGUAUACUUUCACUGUCAAUGCAACAACUAUGACAUCUCGAUAUCUUCCAUGCUACAUACAUUAUAGGCGGUUCCCAAACAGAAUGGUAAAGUUUAUACUCCCCCACCACCAACAAGCAUCGAUCUAUGGCCUGCUCGAUACAACGAGUGACUCCAACUAGCAAUAGCCCUGGGGGAGUUUUGUUUAAUUAUUUUGGUUUGCUUUGAUCUUUUUAAUCAUGGGACUGGGCAUCCCGGUUACCUGCCAUUUUCUCGUGAAUGAGGAGAGGAGUCCACUCCCCUUGAUAAGAACCCAUCUUGCAUGGAAGAUACAGACAGCCCUAGUUGAAACAUGAGCUGCUUGAGCAUAGAAAACAUAAUUUCAUUUGAAGGUUUGGAGUUUGGCACAUACAAAUUACUUGGAACGGCAGGUAGAUACCGCAUAUAGGAAGGUAUGAUGGACUCAUAUGGAAUAACUUUGGGGUUUAUGGAAUUUGGAUGCACAAGCAGUAUUCCCUCUUAGUACAAGGGAAGGCUAGCAAAAGACUGGGAAGCGACCAAUUGACAGAGCGACAACAGUCAUGAACAUAAAUAUCAUGAAGGCUAUGUUGAUUUGUUUCAACUACAUGCGUGAACAUGUGCCAAGCCGAGUCACUCAAUUCAUUCAAAGGAGGAUACCAUCCCAUCAUACCACAUCACGAUCAUUUUAAUAGCUUGUUGGCACGCAAGGUAAACCAUUGUAAGCUCCUAGCUAAUUAAGCAUGGCAUAAGCAACUAUAAUCUCUAAAUGUCAUUGCAAAUAUGUUUACUUCAUAAUAGGCUGAAUCAGGAACGAUGAACUCAUCAUAUUUACAAAAACAAGAGAGGUCGAGUUCAUACCAGCUUCUCUCAUCUCAAUCAGUCCAUCAUAUAUCAUCAUUUUUGCCUUUCACUUGCAUGACCGAACGGUGUGUAUAAUAAUAAUGGCGCACGUGCUUUGGACUAAGCUGGAAUCUGCAAGCAUUCAAUUCAGGAGAGAAGACAAAGUAAUACGGUCUCUAGGUUAAAUCAACAAUCAUGCAUAUGAGAGCCACUAAACAUUUUCAAUAUAGUCUUCUACUCUCGACCCCCAAAGGAAAGAAGAGAAAAUAAAACUACUUACACGGGAAAGCUCCCAACAAGUAAAAAGAAGAACGAGAAAUCUUUUUGGGCUUUCAUUCAAUUACAACUACAAGCAUGGAAAUUAAACUAACUAAUUUUUUUGGUGUUUCUAAGGUUUAUCAAACAAACAAGAAGAAAACUAGAAAUAGAAAUUAAACUAGCAUGGAUAAUACAAUGAAAGAGUAUGAGCUCCGAUAACUAGAAUAGUGUCUGAACAUGAAUGUAAAGUCGGUGAGAAAUACGUACUCCCCAAGCUUAGGCUUUUGUCCUAAGUUGGUCUAUUGCUAAGGGUAGCCUAGCUGAUAUCCGAAGUUAUAAGUGGGGUCGUAGUGUGAUGCAGUAGCCAAUGCAUCCUGAGCUACGGCAUGUUGGCGAGCCGCCUCCGCUCUCCCCUCUUGUUCGGCUGCCUCCUCCCUGGUAACAACAUAUCUUUGUUUUGACUGGUAAUCAAAAACGGAAGGAGCAGGAAGAGUAACAUGGACAGCGCGAUGUCUGUCAAAGAUUAGUCGAUAUUGGAGGAAUUGCUCAUUCCUCAAAAGAAAACGAUGUCUGACCAUCGCGUCAUAAUCUAAUUAAGUAGGAAGCUACUCAAUAUCCUCCUCACGUGGAGAUAUACCAAGAUAAUUAGCACUAUGGGUCGCAUAAAUUCCUCCAAAUAAAUCUCCAGAUAUACCAUUAUUAUGCAACCUACAUGCAACUAUUGCCCCCAAGUUGUAAUCUUUAUUACCUAGCACAACACUCUUGAGGACACAAAGAUCAGGGACACACAUGUGACAUGCUUGGCAAUGGGUAGGGUAUGGGCAGGGUAGAGCAAUACCAUACCCAUACCCGUAUAGUCAGUGGGUACAAAAUUCUACCCAUACCCGUACCCAUGGGUAUGAAACUUUACCCAUACCCAUACCCGACGGGUACCCGUACCCAUUGGGUACCCAGCGGGUAGGACAAAUAGUACACAGGUUGUUCACAAAUUUAUGCUCGUUGAUAGCACAUUUGAAAAAAAUUCAAUUAUCUCAUCACAAUAAUAGGUCGAUGAGUAAUUGACCAAUAUCAAAAUUUAGAAAUCACAACAUACUCUUAAGUCAAUAGGAGUGGACGAGUCACAUGACAAAUUAAUGACUAAUUGACGACAACUUAACAUUAGUUCACAAACGUGCAGGGUAUGGGUAUACCCGUGGGUACAAGACUAUACCCGUACCCUACCCAUGACCUAAUGGGUAGGAUAUGGGUACUACUCGUGGGUAUAAAAGUGUGCCCAUACCCUGCCCAUGCGGGUACGGUACCCACGGGUACUCGUACCCAUGGGUAAAAUUGCCAUCCUUAUGCUUCAUGUUUACCGUUAAUGCAUCUACCAAGGAAGAGAGCAAAAAAAAUGUAUAGCAGGAAAAUGAAUGCUCCCUAUGGUGGCUUGUGUUAUUUCCCUAGAUUCUCACACAGUGAUACUAGCAAGGAAGUCUUUAUAUUCAGAUUUGAGUGGUUCCAUAACAUUGCCCCACUGCGGGAGUUUGCAAGCAGUAGUAAAAUCUUCUAGGUCCAUGGUAUAAGAUUCAUCAUAAAUAUCAAAUAGGACAUUCUGAGAAUUACGCGAAGAUGAAAAUUUAAACCUUCUCACGGAUGAAUCAGUCAAUUGGUAGUACUGAGGACACUUAUCUUUUAUGAUCGGCAUUGCACACAUAUGCGUCAAAUUCAUCCUUAAUGCCUGCAUUGACCAUAAAAUCCUCUGACGGCCAUUCACAAGCCCGCACUCUGCUUCCCUUGAUGGUUCAUCGUCUUGCUCGUGCAUAGCACGUCUAGAUCCUCUCUUUGUUGAGGUACCACCUUGGUACAUUCUCCUAGAUAUUUCUUUCUUCUGAAAAAUUUCAAGCAACAGUCUCCCAAAGCAGUUUUGUGAAUGGAGCUUUGAGCAAGGAGAUCGAAAAUCUCAGCAAAAUGAGCUAGAACUCGUGCUUGAGCUGGAUGGGGAUUUUUUUGGGAGGAAGAUGGAGUGUGUGUUGGGGAACGUAGCAGAAAUUCAAAAUUUUACUACGUGUCACCAAGAUCUAUCUAGGGAGAAACCAGCAACGAGGGGAAGGAGAGUGCAUCUACAUACCCGUGUAGAUUGCUAAGGGGAAGCGUUCAAGAGAACGGGGUUGAAGGAGUCGUACUCGUCGUGAUCCAAAUCACCGGAGAUCCUAGUGCCGAACUGACGGCACCUCCGCGUUCAACACACGUACAGCCCGGUGACGUCUCCCACGCCUUGAUCUAGCAAGGAGAGAGGGAGAGGUUGAGGAAGACUCCAUCCAGCAGCAGCACUACGGCGUGGUGGUGAUGGAGGAGCGUGGUAGUCCAGCAGGGCUUCGCCAAUCACUGCGGGAGAGGAGGAGUAAGAGAGGUAGGGCUGCGCCAAUAGAGGGAGAAACUCAUGUGUUGGGCAGCCCCCAAGCCUCAAGUAUUUAUAGGGGGAGGGGAGGGGGCUGCGCCCCCUCUAGGGUUCCCUCCACAAGGGUGGCGGCAGCCCCCAGAUGCCAUCUGGGUGGCGGCCAGAGGGGGAGAGAGGGGAGGCGCGCCUGGGGUGGGCCUUAGGGCCCAUCUGCCCUAGGGUUUGCCCCCUCCCACUCUCCCUUGCGCCUUGGGCCCCUUGUGGGGGGUGCACCAGCCCACAUGGGGCUGGUUACCUCCCACACUUGUCCCAUGCAGACCCCCGGGGUUGGUGGCCCCACUUGGUGGACCCCCGGAAAAACCCGAAACUUUUCCGGUGACCAAAACAGGACUUCCCAUAUAUAAAUCUUUACCUCCGGACCAUUCCGGAACUCCUCGUGACGUUGGGAAUCUCAUCUGGGACUCUGAACAACAUUCAGUAACCACAUACAAACUUCCUUUAUAACCCUAGCGUCAUCGAACCUUAAGUGUGUAGACCCUACGAGUUCGGGAACCAUGCAGACAUGACUGAGACGUUCUCCGGUCAAUAACCAACAGCGAGAUCUGGAUACCCAUGUUGGCUCCCACAUGUUCCACGAUGAUCUCAUCGGAUGAACCACGAUGUCAAGGACUCAAUCGAUCCCGUAUACAAUUCCCUUUGUCUAGCGGUAUUGUACUUGCCCGAGAUUCGAUCGUCGGUAUACCGAUACCUUGUUCAAUCUCGUUACCGGCAAGUCUCUUUACUCGUUCCAUAACACAUCAUCCCGUGAUCAACCCCUUGGUCACAUUGUGCACAUUAUGAUGAUGUCCUACCGAGUGGGCCCAGAGAUACCUCUCCGUCACACGGAGUGACAAAUCCCAGUCUCGAUUCGUGCCAACCCAACAGACACUUUCAGAGAUACCUGUAGUGCACCUUUAUAGCCACCCAGUUACGUUGUGACGUUUGGUACACCCAAAGCAUUCCUACGGUAUCCGGGAGUUGCACAAUCUCCUGGUCUAAGGAAAAGACACUUGACAUUAGAAAAGCUUUAGCAUACGAACUACGAUCUUUGUGCUAGGCUUAGGAUUGGGUCUUGUCCAUCACAUCAUUCUCCUAAUGAUGUGAUCCCGUUAUCAACGACAUCCAAUGUCCAUGGGCAGGAAACCGUGACCAUCUGUUGAUCAACGAGCUAGUCAAUUAGAGGCUUACUAGGGACAUGGUGUUGUCUAUGUAUCCACACAUGUAUCUGAGUUUCCUAUCAAUACAAUUAUAGCAUGGAUAAUAAAUGAUUAUCAUGAACAAGGAAAUAUAAUAAUAACUAAUUUAUUAUUGCCUCUAGGGCAUAUUUCCAACUGUCUCCCACUUGCACUAGAGUCAAUAAUCUAGUUCACAUCGCUAUGUGAUUAACACUGAUAGGUCACAUCGCCAUGUGACCAACAUCCAAAGAGUUUACUAGUGUCACUAAACUAGUUCGCAUCAUCAUGUGAUUAAGACUCAAUGAGUUCUGGGGUUUGAUCAUGUUUUUCUUGUGAGAGAGGUUUUAGUCAACGGAUCUGCAACAUUCAGAUCCAUAUGUACUUCGCAAAUCUCUAGGUCAUAUUGUAAAUGCUGCUUCCACGCUCCACUUGGAGCUUUUCCAAAUGGUUGCUCCACUAUACGUAUCCGGUUUGCUACUCAGAGUCAUUCGGAUAGGUGUUAAAGCUUGCAUUGUCGUAACCAUUUACGCCGAACUCUUUAUCACCUCCAUAAUCGAGAAACAAAUCCUUAUUCCUCUAAGGAUAAUUUUGACCGCUAUCUGGUGAUCCACUCCUUGAUCACCUUUUGUACCCUCUUGCCAGACAUGUGGCAAGGCACACAUUAGGUGCGGUACUCAGCAUAGCAUACUGUAGAGCCUAUGUCUAAAGCAUAGGGGACGACCUUCGUCCUUUCUCUCUUUUCUGCCGUGGUCGAGCUUUAAGUCUUAACUUCGUACCUUACAUCUCAGGAAAGAACUCCUUCUUUGACUGAUCCAUCUUGAACACCUUCAAGAUCAUGUCAAGGUAUAUGCUCAUUUGAAAGUAUCAUUAAGCGUUUUUGAUCUAUCCUCACAGAUCUUGAUGCUCAAUGUUCAAGUAGCUUAAUCGAGGUUUUCCAUUGAAAAGCACUUUUCAAAUAACCCUAUAUGCUUUCUAGAAAUUCUACAUCAUUUCUGAUCAACAAUAUGUCAACAAGAUAUACUCAUCAGAAAUUCUAUAGUGCUCCCACUCAUUUCUUUGGAAAUACAAGUUUCUCAUAAACUUUGUAUAAACCCAAAAUCUUUGAUCAUCUUAUCAAAGUGCAUAUUCCAACUCCGAGAUGAUUAGUCUAGUCCUUAGAAGGAUCGCUGGAGCCAGCAUACCUUUUAGCAUCCUUAGGAUCGACAAAACCUUUUGAUUGUAUCACAUACAACCUUUCCUUACGGUAACUGGUAAGGAAACUCGUUUUGACAUCCAUCUGCUAGAUUUCAUAAAUGCAGCUAAUGCUAACAUGAUUUCGACAGACUUGAGCAUCGCUACGGAUGAGAAAAUCUCAUCGUAGUCAACUCCUUGAACUUGUGAAAAAACUAUUCGCCACAAGUCGAGCUUCAUAGACGGUGACAUUACCAUCCACGUCCGUCUUCUUCUUAAAGAUCCAAUUAUCUCAAUGGCUUGCCGAUCAUUGGGCAAGUCCACCAAAGUCCAUGCUUUGUUCUGAUACAUGGAUCCUAUCUCGGAUUUCAUGGCUUCUAACCAUUUGUCGGACUAUGGGCCCACCAUCGCUUCUCCAUAGCUCGUAGGUUCAUUGUUGUCUAGCAACAUGACCUUCAAGAUAGGAUCACCGUACCACUCCGAAGCAGUAUGCGUCCUUGUCGUCCUACGAGGUUCGGUAGUGACUUGAUCCGAUGCUUCAUGAUCACUAUCAUAAGCUUCUACUUCAAUUGGUGUAGGUGCCACAGGAACAACUUCAUGUGCCCUGCUACACACUGGUUGAAGUGAUGGUUCAGUAACCUCGUCAAGUCUCCACCAUCCUCCCACUCAACUUCUCGAGACAAACUUUUCCUCGAGAAAGGACCCGAUUCAAGAAACAAUCCCUAUUGCUUUCGGAUCUGAAUUAGGAGGUAUACCCAACUGUUUUUGGGUGUCCUAUGAAGAUGUAUUUUAUCCUCUUUGGGUUCGAGCUUAUCAACCUGAAACUUUUCACAUAAGCGUCGCAGCCCCAAACCUUUAAGAAACGACAACUUAGGUUUCUCCAAACGGUGUCGUCUCAACGGAAUUACGUGGUACCCUAUUAAAGUGAGUGCGGUUGUCUCUAAUGCCUAACCCAUGAACGAUAGUGGUAAUUCGAUAAGAGACAUCAUGGUAUGCACCAUAUCCAAUAGGGUGCAACUAUGAUGUUCGGACACACCAUCACACUAUGGGGUUCCAGGCGGUAUAAAUUGUGAAACAAUUUCCACAAUGUCUUAAUUGCGUGCCAAAGCUCGUAACUCAGAUACUCAUCUCUAUGAUCAUAUCAUAGACAUUUUAUCCUCUUGUCACAAUGAUCUUCAACUUCACUCUGAAAUUACUUGAAUCAUUCAAUAAUUCAGACUUGUGUUUCAUCAAGUAAAUAUACUCAACAUCUACUCGAAUCAUCUGUGAAGUGAGAACAUAACGAUAUUCACUGCAUGCCUCAGCACUCAUUGGACUGCACACAUCAAAAUGUGUUACUUCCAACAAGUUGCUAUCUUGUUCCAUCUCACUGAAAACGAGGCUUUUCAGUCAUCUUGCCCAUGUGGUAUGAUUUGCAUGUCUCAAAUGAUUCAAAAUCAAGAGAGUCCAAACAAUCCAUCUGCAUGGAGUUUCUUCAUGCGUAUACACCAAUAGACAUGGUUCGCAUGUCUCAAACUUUUCAAAACCGAGUGAGUCCAAAGAUCCAUCAACAUGGAGCUUCUUCAUGCGUUUUAUACCAAUAUGACUGACAUGGCAGUGCCACAAGUAAGUGGUACUAUCAUUACUAUCUUAUAUCUUUUGGCAUGAAAAUGUGUAUCACUACGAUCGAGAUUCAAUAAACCAUUCCUUUAGGUGCAAGACCAUUGAAGGUAUUAUUCAAAUAAAUAGAGUAACCAUUAUUCUCCUUAAAUGAAUAACCGUAUUGCGAUAGACAUAAUCCAAUCAUGUCUAUGCUCAACGCAAACACCAAAUGACAAUUAUUCAGGUUUAAUACUAAUCUUGAUGGUAGAGGGACUGUGCGAUGGUUGAUCACAUCAAACAUGGAAACAGUUCCAACACAUAUCGUCAUCUCACCUUUAGCUAGUCUCCGUUUAUUCCGUAGCCUUUUAUUACUAACACUUAGCAACCGGACCGGUAUCUUAAUACCCUGGUGCCACUAGGAGUACUAUUAAAGUACACAUUAACAUAAUGUAUAUCCAGUAUACUUCUAUCGACCCUGCCAGCCUUCUCAUCUACCAAGUAUCUAGGGUAAUUCUGCUCCAGUGGCUGUUCCCCUUAUUACAGAAGCACUUAGUCUCGGUUUUGGGUUCAACCUUGGGUUUCUUCACUGGAGCAGCAACUGAUUUGCCGUUUCAUGAAGUGUCCCUUCUUGCCCUUGCCCUUCUUGAAACUAGUGGUUUCACCAACCAUCAACAAUUGAUGCUCCUUCUUGAUUUCUACUUUCGCGGUGUCAAAACAUCGUGAAUACCUCAAGGAUCAUCUAUCCCUGAUAUGUUAUAGUUCAUCACGAAGCUCUAGCAGCUUGGUGGCAAUGACUUUGGAGAAACAUCACUAUCUCAUCUGGAAGAUCAACUCCCACUCAAUUCAAGUGAUUGUUGCACUCAGACAAUCUGAGCACAAGCUCAACGAUUGAGCUUUUCUCCCUUAGUUUGCAGGCUAAGAAAAUCGUCGGAGGUCUUAUACCUCUUGAUGUGGGCACGAGCCUGAAAUCCCAAUUUCAGCCCUCGAAACAUCUCAUAUGUUCCGCGACAUUUCGAAAAACUUCUUUGGUGCCUCAACUCUAAACCGUUUAACUGAACUAUCACGUACUUAUCAAAACGUGUAUGUCCGAUGUUCGCAACAUCCACAAACAACGUUUGGGGUUCAGCACACUUAGCGGUGCAUUAAGGACAUAAGCUUUCUACUGUCCGCAUAAUCGCUACUAUCAACUUUCAACUAUGUUUUCUCUAGGAUCAUAUCUAAACAGUGGAACUAAAGCGCGAGCUUACGACAUAAUUUGCAAAGAUCUUUUGACUAUGUUCAGGAUAAUUAAGUUCAUCUUAUGAACUCCCACUCCGAUAGACAUCCCUCUAGUCAUCUAAGUGAUUACAUGAUCCGAGUCAACUAGGCCGUGUUCGAUCAUCACGUGAGACGGACUAGUCAUCAUCGGUGAACAUCUUCAUGUUGAUCGUAUCUACUAUACGACUCAUGCUCGACCUUUUGGUCUGUUGUGUUCCGAGGCCAUGUCUGUACAUGCUAGGCUCGUCAAGUCAACCUAAGUGUUUCGCGUGUGUAAAUCUGUCUUACACCCGUUGUAUAUGAACGUAAGAAUCCAUCACACCCGAUCAUCACGUGGUGCUUAGAAACGAUGAACUUUCGCAACGGUGCACAGUUAGGGGGAACACUUUCUUGAAAUUUUAAUGAGGGAUCAUCUUAUUUACUACCGUCGUUCUAAGCAAAAAAGAUGCAUAAACAUGAUAAACAUCACAUGCAAUCAAAUAGUGACAUGAUAUGGCCAAUAUCAUUUUGCUCCUUUUGAUCUCCAUCUUCGGGGCUCCAUGAUCAUCAUCGUCACCGGCAUGACACCAUGAUCUCCAUCAUCAUGAUCUCCAUCAUCGUGUCUUCAUGACGUUGUCUCGCCAACUAUUACUUCUACUACUAUGGCUACCGGUUAGCAAUAAAGUAAAGUAAUUACAUGGCGUUGUUCAAUGACACGCAGGUCAUACAAUAAAUAAAGACAACUCCUAUGGCUCCUGCCGGUUGUCAUACUCAUCGACAUGCAAGUCGUGAUUCCUAUUACAAUAACAUGAUCAAUCUCAUACAUCACAUAUAUCAUUCAUCACAUUAUUUUGGCCAUAUCACAUCACAUAGCAUACCCUGCAAAAACAAGUUAGACGUCUUCUAAUUGUUGUUUGCAUGUUUUACGUGGCUGCUAUGGGUUUCUAGCAAGAACGUUUCUUACCUACGCAAAACCACAACGUGAUAUGCCAAUUGCUAUUUACCCUUCAUAAGGACCCUUUUCAUUGAAUCCGUUCCGACUAAAGUGGGAGAGACUGGCACCCGCUAGCCACCUUAUUCACCAAGUGCAUGUCAGUCGGUGGAACCUGUCUCACGUAAGUGUACGUGUAAGGUCGGUCCGGGCCGCUUCAUCCCACAAUGCCGUCGAAACAAGAUUGGACUAGUAACGGUAAGCAUAUUGAACAAAAUCAACGCCCACAACUACUUUGUGUUCAACUCGUGCAAAGAAUCUACACAAUAGACCUAGCUCAUGAUGCCACUGUUGGGGAACGUAGCAGCAAUUCAAAAUUGUCCUACGUGUCACCAAGAUCUAUCUAGGGAGAAACCAGCAACGAGGGGAAGGAGAGUGCAUCUACAUACCAUUGUAGAUCGCUAAGAGGAAGCAUUCAAGAGAACGGAGUUGAAGGAGUCGUACUCGUUGUGAUCCAAAUCACCGGAGAUCCUAGUGCCGAACGGAUGGCACCUCCGCAUUCAACACACGUACAGCCCGGUGACGUCUCCCACGCCUUGAUCCAGCAAGGAGAGAGGGAGAGGUUGAGGAAGACUCCAUCCAGCAGCAGCACUACGGCGUGGUGGUGAUGGAGGAGCGUGGUAGUCCAGCAGGGCUUCGCCAAGCACCGCGGGAGAGGAGGAGUAAGAGAGGUAGGGCUGCGCCAAUAGAGGGAGAAACUCAUGUGUUGGGCAGCCCCCAAGCCUCAAGUAUUUAUAGGGGGAGGGGAGGGGGCUGCGCCCCCUCUAGGGUUGCCUCCCCAAUGGUGGUGGCAGCCCCCAGAUGCUAUCUGGGUGGCGGCCAGAGGGGGAGAAAGGGGAGGCGCGCCUGGGGUGGGCCUUAGGGCCCAUCUGCCCCAGGGUUUGCCCCCUCCCACUCUCCCUUGCGCCUUGGGCCCCUUGUGGGGGGCGCACCAGCCCACAUGGGGCUGUUUCCCUCCCACACUUGGCCCAUGCAGCCCUCCGGGGUUGGUGGCCCCACUUGGUGGACCCCCGGGACCCUCCCGGUGGUCCCGGUACGUUAUCGGAAAAACCUGAAACUUUUCCGGUGACCAAAACAAGACUUCCCAUAUAUAAAUCUUUACCUCCAGACCAUUCUGGAACUCCUCAUGACGUCCGGGAUCUCAUCCGGGACUCCGAAAAACAUUCGGUAACCACAUACAAACUUCCUUUAUAACCCUAGCGUCAUAGAACCUUAAGUGUGUAGACCCUACGGGUUCGGGAACCAUGCAGACAUGACCGUGACGUUCUCCGGUCAAUAACCAACAGCGGGAUCUAGAUACCCAUGUUGGCUCCCACAUGUUCCACGAUGAUCUCAUCAGAUGAACCACGAUGUCAAGGACUCAAUCGAUCCCGUAUACAAUUCCCUUUGUGUAGCGGUAUUGUACUUGCCCGAGAUUCGAUCGUCGGUAUAACGAUACCUUGUUCAAUCUCGUUACCGGCAAGUCUCUUUACUCGUUCCGUAGCACAUCAUCCCGUGAUCAACCCCUUGGUCACAUUGUGCACAUUAUGAUGAUGUCCUACCGAGUGGGCCCAGAGAUACCUCUCCGUCACACGGAGUGACAAAUCCCAGUCUCGAUUCGUGCCAACCCAAUAGACGCUUUCAGAGAUACCUGUAGUGCACCUUUAUAGCCACCCAGUUACGUUGUGACAUUUGGUACACCCAAAGCAUUCCUACGGUAUCCGGGAGUUGCACAAUCUCAUGGUCUAAGGAAAAGACACUUGACAUUAGAAAAGCUUUAGCAUACGAACUACGAUCUUUGUGCUAGGCUUAGGAUUGGGUCUUCUCCAUCACAUCAUUCUCCUAAUGAUGUGAUCCCGUUAUCAACGACAUCCAAUGUCCAUGGUCAGGAAACCGUGACCAUCUGUUGAUCAACGAGCUAGUCAAUUAGAGGCUUACUAGGGACAUGGUGUUGUCUAUGUAUCCACACAUGUAUCUGAGUUUCCUAUCAAUACAAUUAUAGCAUGGAUAAUAAACGAUUAUCAUGAACAAGGAAAUAUAAUAAUAACUAAUUUAUUAUUGCCUCUAGGGCAUAUUUCCAACAGUAUGUGGGUGCAGGAAUUAGUGGAGGACGGCCACCGUGGGCCCACGAGACAGGGGGCGCGCCCAGGGGGUGUGGGUGCGCCCUCCACCCUCGUGGCCAGGUGCUUGCCCCCCUGCAGUGUUCUUAGUGCCUAAAAUCCUUAAAUAUUCCAUAAAAAAUCAUACAAAAUUUGCAGGUAUUUGGAGCACUUUUAUUUUUGGGGUAUUUUUUAUUGCACGGAUAAUUUAGAAAACAGAGAGAUAAUACUAUUUUUGCUUUAUUUAUUCUAAAUAACAGAAAGGAAGAAGAGGGUACAUAAGGUUGUGCCUUCUAGUUUCAUCAAUCUCAUGAUCAUCAAAAUGAAUCCACUAACAAGGUUGAUCAAGUCUUGUUAACAAACUCAUUCCGAAUAACACGGAACCGGAGAAAUUUAGAAUAACACUAGGUUACCUCAACGGGGAUAUGAACAUCCCCAACAAUAAGAAUAUCAUACUUUUUCUUGACAGUAGGAAGAGGAAAUUCAAAACCUCCAAUAAUGAUAGUUGGAACUUUUCCAAUAGAAUUGAUGCUAUGAACUUGAGGUUGUUUCCUCGGAAAGUGUACCGUAUGCUCAUUACCAUUAACAUGAAAAGUGACAUUGGCUUUGUUGCAAUCAAUAACAGCCCCUGCAGUAUUCAAAAAGGGUCUACCAAGGAUAAUUGACAUACUAUCAUCCUCGGGAAUAUCAAGAACAACAAUGUCCAUUAAAAUAGUAACGUUUGCAACCACAACAGGCACAUCCUCACAAAUACCAACAGGUAUAGCAGUUGAUUUAUCAGCCAUUUGCAAUGAUAUUUCAGUAGGUGUCAACUUAUUCAAUUCAAGUCUACGAUAUAACGAGAGGGGCAUAACAGUAACACCAGCUCCAAGGUCACAUAAAGCAGUUUUAACAUAGUUUCUUUUAAUGGAGCAUGGUAUAGUUGGUACCCCUGGGUCUCCAAGUUUCUUUGGUAUUCCACCUUUAAAAGUUUAAUUAGCAAGCAUGGUGGAAAUUUCAACUUCCGGUAUCUUUCUUUUAUUUGUAAUGAUAUCCUUCAUAUAUUUAGCAUAAGGAUUUAAUUAAAGCAUAUUAGUUAAGCGCAUACGUAAGAAGAUAGUUCUAAUCAUUUCAGCAAAGCACUCAAAAUCCUCAUCAUCCUUUGUCCUGGAUGGUUUAGGAGGAAAGGGCAUGGGUUUCUGAACCCAUGGUUCUCUUUCUCUACCGUGCUUCCAAGCAACAAAAUACACUUAUCAUAACAUUGAUUCUUUAAUUGUGGGUUAUCAAGAUCAACAGCAGGUUCAGCCUCCACAUCAUUAUUUUUGCUAGGUUGAGCAUCAACAUGAACAUUAUCAUUAACAUUAUGACUAGGUUCAUGUUCAUCACCUGAUUGUGUUUCAGCAUCAGAGUUAGAAAUAUUAUUGAUAUUCUCAGGUGUGUCUAUAACAGGUUCACUAGAAGCAUGCAAAGUCCUCUCAUUUUCCUUUUUCUUCUUUUUAGAAGAACUAGGUGCCUCUAAAUUAUUUCUCUGAGAAUCCUGCUCGAUUCUCUUAGGGUGGUCUUCAGGAUACAAAGGUUCCUGAGUCAUUCUACCAGUUCUAGUAGCCACUCUAACAGCAAAGUCAUGUUUAUUAUUUAGUUCAUCAAGCAAAUCACUUUGAGAUUUAAGUACUUGCUCAGCUUGAGUGGUAACCAUAGAAGCAUAUUUGCUAAUGAGUUUAAGUUCACCUUUAACUCUAGCCAUAUAAUCACUCAAGAGUCCUAUCUCGAAAGCAUUAUUCUUUAAUUCUCUACCAACAUAAGCAUUAAAACUUUCUUCUCUAGCCAUAAAGUCAUCAAAUUCAUCUAAACAUGGGCUAUGAAAUUUAGUGGACGGGAUUUCCUUCAAUAGGGGGUAAAUUCUUAACAUCUUCAGCUUUAAUACCUUUUUCUUUCAUAGAUUUCUUUGCCUCUUGCAUAUCUUCAGGACUGAGAAAUAGAACACCCCUCUUCUUCGGAGUUGGUUUAGGAAUAGGCUUAGGAGUUGGCUCAAUUGGCUCAGGAAUUGGCUCUGGAAGAGUCCAAUUAUUUUCAUUAGUCAACAUAUUAUUCAAUAGUAAUUCAGCUUGGUCGAUUGUUCUUUCCUUGAAAACACAACCAGCACAACUAUCAAAGUGGUCCUUCAAAGUAUCGGUUAGUCCAUUAUAUAAAAGAUAUCAAGUAUUUCAUUUUUCUUAAGAGGAUGAUCAUGCAAAGCAUUAAGUAAUCGGAGAAGCCUCCCCCAAGCUUGUGGGAGACUCUCUUCUUUGAUUUGCACAAAAUUAUAUAUUUCCCGCAAGGCAGCUUGUUUCUUAUGAGAGGGGAAAUAUUUAGCAGAGAAGUAAUAAAUCAUAUCCUGGGGACUAAGCACACAACCAGGAUCGAGAGAAUUAAACCAAGUUUUAGCAUCACCCUUUAAUGAGAACGGAAAUAUCUUAAGGAUAUAAUAGUAGCGAGACUUCUCAACAAUAGUAAACAGGGUGGCUAUAUCAUUCAACUUGGUAAGAUGUGCCACAACAGUUUCAGAUUCAUAGCCAUAAAAAGGACCAGAUUCAACCAAGGUAAUUAUCUCAGGAUCAACAGAGAAUUCAUAAUCCUUAUCAGUAACACAAAUAGGUGAAGUAGCAAAAGCGGGAUCAUGUUUCAUUCUAGCAUUAAGAGAUUGCUGCUUCCAUUUAGCUAAUAACUUCUUAAGAUCAUAUCUAUCUAUGUAAGCAAAAAUAGCUCUAGCAGCUUCUUCAUCCAUAACAUAACCCUCAGGAACAACAGGCAAUUCAUAAUCAGGGGGAGAACCUUCAUCAUCACUAUCAUCAAUAAUUUCGUUCUCUCUAACCCUAGCAAGUUGUUCAUCAAGAAAUUCACCUAGUGGCACAGUAGUAUCAAGCAUAGAAGUAGUUUCAUCAUAAGUAUCAUGCAUAGCAGAAGUGGCAUCAUCAAUAACAUGUGACAUAUCAGAAUUCAUAGCAGUAGCAGGUUUAGGUGUCGCAAGCUUACUCAAAACAGAAGGAGAAUCUAGUGCAGAGCUAGAUGGCAGUUCCUUACCUUCCCUCGUAGUUGAGGGAAUAAUCUUAGUUCUUGCGUCUUUCAAGUUCUUCAUAGUGAUUAUCAUAUAUAAAUCCAAAGUGACUCAAAGAAUAGAGCUAUGCUCCCCGGAAACGGCGCCAGAAAUUAGUCUUGAUAACCCACAAGUGUAGGGGGUUGCAACAGCUUUCGAGGGUAGAGUAUUCAACCCGAAUUUAUUGAUUCGACACAAGGGGAGCCAAAGAAUAUUCUCAAGUAUUAGCAGUUGAGUUGUCAAUUCAACCACGCCUGGAUAACUUAGUAUGUGUAGCAAAGUAUUUAGUAGCAAAGUAGUAUGAUAGUAAUGAUAACAGUGGCAAAAGUAAAGAUAGCAGUUUUGUAGUAGCUGUAACAGUACCAACGGAAAAGUAAAUAAACGAAGCACUAUAUGUGAAAAGCUCAUAGGCAUUGGAUAAUUAUGUCGGAUGUGAUCCCUCAUGUAAUAGUUAUAACAUAGGGUGACACAGAACUAGCUCCAGUUCAUCAAUGUAAUAUAGGCAUGUAUUCUGAAUAUAGUCAUGCGUGCUUAUGGAAAAGAACUUGCAUGACAUCUUUUGUCCUACCCUCCCGUGGCAGCGAGGUCCUAAUGGAAACUAAGGGAUAUUAAGGCCUCCUUUUAAUAGAGUACCGGACCAAAGCAUUAACACAUAGUGAAUACAUGAACUCCUCAAACUACGGUCAUCACCGAGAAGUAUCCCGAUUAUUGUCACUUCUGGGUUGUCGGAUCAUAACACAUAAUAGGUGACUAUAGACUUGCAAGAUAGGAUCAAGAAGUCACAUAUAUUCAUGAAAACAUUAUAGGUUCAGAUCUGAAAUCAUGGCACUCGGGCCCUAGUGACAAGCAUUAAGCAUAGCAAAGUCAUAGCAACAUCAAUCUCAGAACGUAGUGGAUACUAGGGAUCAAACCCUAACAAAACUAACAUAAUUACAUGGUAAAUCUCAUCCAACCCAUCACCGUCCAGCAAGCCUAAGAUGGAAUUACUCACGCACGGCGGUGAGCAUCAUGAAAUUGGUGAUGGAGGAUGGUUGAUGAUGACGGCGACGAAUCCCCCUCUCUGGAGCCCCUAACGGACUCCAGAUCAGCCCUCCCGAGAGAGAUUAGGGCUUGGCGGCGGCUCCGUAUCGUAAAACGUGAUGAAACUUUCUCUCUAUUUUUUUCUCCACAAAACAGAAUAUAUAGAGUUGGAGUUGAGGUCAGUGGAGCGUCAGGGGGCCCACGAGACAGGGGGCGCGCCCAGGGGAGGGGCGCCCUCCCCCACCCUCGUGGACAGGGUGUGGGCCCCCUGGCCUUGAUUCUUUCGCCAGUGUUUUUUAUAUUUUCCAAAAGUUAUCUCCGUGGAUUUUCAGGUCAUUCCGAGAACUUUUGUUUUCUGCACAAUAAACAACACCAUGGCAGUUCUACUGAAAACAGCGUCAGUCCGGGUUAGUUUCAUUCAAAUCAUGCAAGUUAGAGUCCAAAACAAGGGCAAAAGUGUUUGGAAAAGUAGAUACGUUGGAGACGUAUCAGUGUGCUAUGGCGCCAGAGGAGACCGACAAAGGAAAACUUCCAGCAGAAGUGCAGGCAGUGCUGGAUGAAUUCCAAGUGGUCUUUACAGAACCAACAGGACUCCCUCAGCAUAGAGAUUCGGAUAACUCCAUCACACUGUUGCCAGGGGCCAAACCAGUGAACAUCCGGCAGUACUAUUACACCCCUGAGCAGAAGACAGAGAUCGAGAACCAAGUCAAAGAAAUGCUGAAAGAAGGACUAAUCACUCCAAGCAUUAGCCCGUUCUCAUCACUGGUGCUGUUAGUCAAGAAGAAAGAUCUUACCUGGAGAUUCUGCGUGGAUUUUCAACAUCUGAACACCAUCACCGUCAAGAACACAUACCCCUUGCCGAUCAUCGAUGAAUUGCUCGACAAACUAGCAGGAUCCAAAUGGUUCUCGAAGCUCGACCUGCAAGCAGGAUACCACCAGAUCAGGCUGCGACCGAAGGAUGAGGAGAAGACAGCGUUUAAAAUGCAUCAGGGGCACUUCCAAUUUCGAGUGCUUUCAUAUGGAGUGACAAGUGGACCAGCCACGUUUCAAGGAGGCAUGAACACAAUGUUUGGACCACUACUGUGCAAAGGAGUUUUAGUUUUCAUGGCUGAUAUCCUGAUGCACUCAUCCACCUUCUCCGGCCAUCUUAUUCUUCUACACCAAGUUCUUACAAUACUGAAGGCAGACAACCUGCAAGCAAAACCCUCCAAAUGCACAUUUGCGCAUAACAACAUCUCGUACUUGGGGCACCAGAUCAGUGAUGCAGGAGUCUCAACAGUGCCCGAAAAAAAUCAGGCAGUGACAACUUGGCCGCAGCCAGCAUUAGUGAAAGAGCUGUGUGGGUUUCUGUGGUUAGCUGGGUACUAUCGCAAAUUUGUGUGCAACUUUGGCAUCAUCAGCCGGCCCCUCAUAGACCUUCCCCGCAAGAACUCACCGUUCAUAUGGACGAACAUCGCCGAAGAGGCAUUCCAAGAACUUAAAAGAGCUCUAGUCCAGGCCCCGGUGUUGGCAUUACCGGACUUUGCAAAGCAGUUCAUGGUGGAGACUGACGCAAGUGCUACCAGAGUAGGGGCAGUCUUAAUGCAAGAGGCGCAUCGCGUGGCUUAUUUGAGCAAGGCCCUUUGUCCGCGGAGCCUGGGCCUCUCAGCAUAUGAGAGAGAGAGUUUGGCACUGUUGUUGGCAAUCGAUCACUGGCGGCCAUACCUCCAACACACAGAGUUCCUAUUCCGCACCGAUCAAAAAAGCUUGCUUAACCUCACCGAUCAGUGCUUGAAUACCCCAAUUCAACAGCGCGUGUUUACCAAAUUGGUGGGGAUGCAAUUUCGCAUCCAGUACAAAGCAGGGACAUUGAAUCGAGCCGCAGAUGCACUGUCGAGACUCACCGUUCAAAUUGGUGUCCCAAAAAUUGGUUCAAAUGGCUCUUUCUGGCUGAAUAUUGGUAUAACACUUGUUUUCACUCUGCCCUGGGGCGUACGCCGUCCGAAGUGAUCUACGGGCAUGUGCCUCGAGAAUUUGGUAUGAUCCAAGUGGAAGAGUGCACGGUGCCGGACUUGGCAGCAUGGCUGAAGGAGAGGGAUGUUAUGCACGAGCUACUACAGCAACAUCUCAAACAGGCUCAAGACAGGAUGAAGAAGCAGGCCGAUAAGCACAGGACAAACAAGCAGUUUGCUGUGGGAGAGUCGUUAUACUUACGCCUGCAACCUUGCAUCCAAACAUCACUUGCGCAACGACCGUACCAGAAACUGGCCUUCCGAUACUAUGGACCAUACAAGAUCAUAGGGCACGUGGGAGCAGUGGCCUACAAGUUGCAACUUCCGGAGGGGAGCAAGAUACACAAUGUGUUGCACAUAUCUCAACUCAAGCAAGCAGUCGGUGUGGACGUGCCAAUCGCAGGUUCGCUUCCUCCUGAUAACGCCACUCUUCGGGCCUUACAUGUUCCUUGCAGCAUCCUCGACGACCAGCACGGUGGCACAUCCGAUACCAGCACGCGUGUGCGGGUGCUCUAGGACAACCUGCUGGUAUCCAUGGCAACUUGGGAAGACCUGGACGAACUCCGUCGCCGUUUUCCAGCAGCACCAUCUUGGGGGCAAGCCGGCUCACAAGGAGGGGAGAAUGUAACGGUGUGACCCAUGGUCAGCGACCCAGAUCAGCCAGGAACCGAGCCAGACAAGAAAGGACCGAGCCAGGAGGAGUAUUUGAGUCGUGUGGUGUAUUAAAGGGGCCAUGUGUGGCCAGUUUUAAACUAUGACGUGAUUUAAUCGAACCAAACGGAGAGAAGCUAAUCUUCCUCCUCCUUAUCCCCUUCGUCUCCCUUCGUCCCACCUACUCCCUCCGCAUAUCCCCUCCUCAGAUCUGUAGGCUAGAUCAGUCCCGUUACACCUAGCCCUGGGCACCUAUAUAAAUUGAGGGGUGGCGCACGUACAAGACAAACAACGAUCUCAUGGGUACCUAUAUAAUUUGUACUAAAUCCCAAAUCAAUAUAACACAAGCAUGAUGUAAGAUUUUAUCUCAAACGAGAGCCCGACCAAAGGUAAAAACCCGUGUCUCUAUUAUCAUCGCCUCAAGGCUACUAGCUCGGGACCCCUACCCAACAUCCACCAAAUUCAACCCUAACAUUGGUGGCCCAUACAGAACCCAGGACAUAGUCGUAGUGAGUCGAUGGCACUGGAGCAGCAACGUCCUAUGCAAACGGGUUUUACCCCCUUUCUGUGAAUAGCUUUAAACCUUCGCCUUGCUAACAUGGGCGAUAGGGUGGGUCGAUCACACAUGACCCAAAUAAAUAGUCUGCGAUAGGGCGUAAGCACUCAUACGUUUGGUGGAAGAAAAGCGUAUGCGAUGCCUGAAACUAUUCCAAAUGAAACAGGUGAGUUACGUGAUUGUAAUAUACCAAAUUUUUAUAUGUUCGAUUUUGUUCUCUAAUUUCAGAAAAUGUUUGUGAGUUUGGAAAUUGUUCAAAAAUUCAAAACAUGUUCAUCAUUGCAAAAACAAAAUCAUAAAUCCAAACAAUGUUCAUGAAUUGCAAAGGAAAAUGCGAGUUUAAAAAGUAUUCUAAAAUUAGAAGAAUGGUCACAAAGUUUAACAAAUGUUCACAAUUUGCAGAAAAGUUCAUGAAUUGAAAACAAGAUUCAUGAUUUAAAAUAGUUUCUGAAAUUAUAAAAUUUGUGAAUUUGAAAACAAAAAAGAAAACUAAAAUAAAAAAUAAAAUAGAGAAGAAACAAAAAAUGAAAAAAAGAAAGAAAACAGAGAGAGAAAAAAGCAUAACAGAACAAUGGGCCAACCAAUUCGUACGAGCAGGGGUGCGCGUGUGGUCGGUAAGCCCCGACCCACACGGAGAACAGGAAUCGCUUUUAGCUCCCAGAAAACAGGAGAGGUUGGAAAAACAUCAGACAUUUAGUUGUGAUCUUUUAUCAUGUCUAGAAACUACAAUCUAUUAUCUUUUAUUAUUCCCAACAAAUCAUAUCAAAAUUAUAUGUAUAGUUGUUUUGUCGAAUAAAUUCUAUGUAGCAUUAGAGAAAUAGCAAAUUCGGCAAUGUGUAUCAUGAGCAUUAGUUAUCUAAGGUAGUUUGACUCUGUGAGAUAACAAUGAAUUGUACAAAUACAAAUACACACACUAACAAACACACACCCAUGAACUUAAGUCAAGUUCUUAUGAGUACAAAAGUCUUCUUCCUCUAACAUCCACCAUAGUGCGCCAUGAGCGAAGCUCGUUACCGCCUUUGGGCUUUCGUGUCGCGGAAGAAAACUUGUUGAAAUCUAGGAGCUUAUAGAAGUAGCGGCCUGGAAGUUUUCAAUGUAGAUCAGAAGACACCAGCAACCAUGAACGAGUUAGCAAAUCGUCGGCCUAAGAAGAAAACGCCCGAGGGAGCCUGUAGAAUGUACCAUGUUCGAACAGAGUUGGGGAAGGCAAAUCUCACAUGUUCCACAAUGAAGCCGAGGCUGGCCAACCUUUGUCGAUCGGACAUGGAGCGGAUAACAAAAAACACACAACGACAUGGUCCACCCCGCAGGACAAUGCCACCUGGACACAUCUACAAAAGAAAAAACUAUAAUGGGAGGACCAGAUCUGUGGACACAUCAUCCUCCACAUGCCUCCUGGCGGUACGAAGAAGCACCACUUAAACAAGAGUGAGUUGGGGAGACGAUAUUCCACAUCGAGGGAUGCCAUCGUGUCGCCAGCGUAGAUCGGAGACAUAACCUUUUUUUCGUAAACCUACCACCACCGAAGCAAAGUCCUAGGGUCCCAGGCCCCUCUGCACCAGAGGGAUAGACCGAGAAAGAGGGUGCCUUGUCUCGCCAGGGAGUCUUGGAAUAUUGGUCGUUGGAUCCUAGAUCAUGGGAUCCAUGGGAAGGCGAUGGCCCCUCUUUACAACUCAAAAGGUACACCAAGCACCAGCCGAGGAUAAUUGAGCAUACAUAUCAAUGUGCAGUUAGGAUAUGGUGCAUGGUCGAGAUAUGCCAGGAGGAGAUUCCUCGCAUAUAGGUAUAUGAUUAUGCAUACAUGAGGUCAUCACACUGGGGCUACAAGUGGGAGACGUCCCUAUCGAGAGUCUCAUCUUGCAACAUAACCUAUAUGUUCUCCACUGAGGCUGCAUUUUUGGAUUUUGCAGCAGCCGCGUAUGUGCCCUAUAUUUGCGGCAAAGGAGGCAUUUAUUAGGGCUCCCUAAAACUUGGACCACAAAAAUACAGAGAUAUGGCAGCCGUUGGAGCACAGUUUUUUGUCCAAAUGCCCUAAAAACCCAUUUUUUUAUGAAGUUGUCCUAUUUUAUAUCACCUGUUGGAGAUGCUCUUACAAGGUGGCAAGAAGGAGAUUUGCUAUGUUUACACGACACAAGUGCAUCGUAUUUAAGAUUUAUUUUCUUUUAGGUACGCAUGACUUCUGACUUUGGCAACGCGCAACGCGCAACCCUAGCAUAGUUAUGUUGUGUCUCUUUUUUGUUAAUGACCCAUUAACCUUAUCCAUUUGUGUGUAUCUCAUACAGUAACUUAGGGUAAUUAAGCAUUCACUUCAACAUGCAGUUAGGAGGUGGUGCGUGCUGGAGAUAUGUUAGGAGGAGGUUCCACGGAUAUAGGCAUAUCACACUGCAUAUGUGGGGGUUACCGAGGAUAUAAGACAGAGACGACCCUAUCUAAGGAGUCUCAUCUCGCAACACAACCCAUCGUUACCUCUACACUCGCCUCUGCCGACCCUUCCCCCGUCAGUCAGCAGGGCGAAGAAAGCAAUUGUCUCCGGACAUUCCCUGGUGAUUAGUAACCUGCACAUGUAAAAGGGCGAUGACGUUUCUAAGUGGUUCUUGUCAUGACUACGUCCACCAAUUGCUCCUUCAAAUCUCCAUCGACUACUAGAUUAUCUUCAUCUUCAUCACCAAUCGCACGGUAAGAAACUUUUCAUUGCGAUUGAUUACUUCUUAUGUGAUAUUACUACCAUUUAGUUUCUAAGGAACUGUGUUUUAUCUCAUUCGUAGAUGGCGUGCUAGUUACAUAUGCUAUAUUAAUUAUGGUUGACUUAGCAUUGUCAUCCAUAUUGUCGUACAUUCGGGAUUUUAUUAAUGCAAUCUUUUGUUUUUCGAUGAAAAAGAAAAUAGCGUUGCUAUUUAAUUCAAGGUUGACUUCCAGGUCGAGUUGCCUGAACGGGUUUGAAUGUGAUGGUGAACACGGUGACAGGUGACCCCUGAAGCUUUUUUCCACUUAGCACUGAUUCAUAUUGUUGGUUCAUUUUCACAACUUCUUUUCUUACACAUGCUUUUAGUUUGUCGGAUUGGUUUGAUCUUUUCUCUCUACUCAAAUGGUGCAAAUUAAAUUGAGCAUAAAUAUACUCUAAUAUAUAAACUUUGCGCACCGUGUAUUACAGAGGGUUGGAGGGAUGUUAUUUAUGGCGAAAUAAACCCUUGAAUACAUACAUGCUGCAAAUCUGUUUAUAAUGCAAAAUAUAGAUAUGUUGCUAAAAAUAGAAAUAACGAAAAUCUGUACAUGAGGGAAGAACAUUUAUAGAAAAAUGUUUGGAAACAAAUCAAUGACAAUAAUCCAAAUCCAGGAGCACCCAAACACAUUAAACGAGAUAUGUUUUAGAUACACCAAUAAGACACAAUCCAUUAGAGGGCCUAUAUCCAAAUAUAUACGUAUUUAAUGCAUAUCAUAUACUCUAAUAUAUAAUAUAUUUGGAGUGCCAUUACUUGCUAUUACUGCGAGAUAAAUGACACGGUCCAAGAUUCUAUAAGUGUAUGGUCUCUCCCGAACUUAUCAACAGCACCAUCACUUGCUAUUUUUUUCCUAACCAGAUUGCUUAUGAAAGUAUCCUGUUGGCCUCUGGUUGACGAAUCCAUGGCCUCGUCCACAUACACUCCAUCUGUAUGAGAAGCAAUAAUAGCGGCGCCAUACGUAGUGGAUAUUGCAAUACACCAGAUGGCGCCCGUGCGAUCCAGAACGAGGUCACCAUGGUAAUAUAUCUACUAUCCCUUUUGGAAGAAUAAUUUUACGUUUUUUGUAUAUUGGAUUCAGAAUCUGUUUCCACAACGUUAGCCACAGAUUAUGUGUAACCGGGCCAUGUCAGCUUUCAGGUACGUUAAUUCUAGGAGAAACUAUAUUCACUCGUCCGAUCUUAAAGGGAGGGCAAUGUGCAAACGAUUCAGAUUUCGAUCGUGAGACUCUCGGCAGUCCGCGGCUCUUAACAAGCGAUCUCUACGAAAAAGGCAAUCUCCACGGUACUAGGUACCCUGCAGAUCAAAUUGUUAAUAAAAAGGUAGCGUGCAGAUCAGAUUCAAAAGAAUACUACACAGUCUUGGCGAGUUGGGGCGAUGUUGAUGAGCGUGCCUUUGUCCGAUGAGNNNNNNNNNNNNNNNNNNNNNNNNNNNNNNNNNNNNNNNNNNNNNNNNNNNNNNNNNNNNNNNNNNNNNNNNNNNNNNNNNNNNNNNNNNNNNNNNNNNNNNNNNNNNNNNNNNNNNNNNNNNNNNNNNNNNNNNNNNNNNNNNNNNNNNNNNNNNNNNNNNNNNNNNNNNNNNNNNNNNNNNNNNNNNNNNNNNNNNNNNNNNNNNNNNNNNNNNNNNNNNNNNNNNNNNNNNNNNNNNNNNNNNNNNNNNNNNNNNNNNNNNNNNNNNNNNNNNNNNNNNNNNNNNNNNNNNNNNNNNNNNNNNNNNNNNNNNNNNNNNNNNNNNNNNNNNNNNNNNCGCUUUGGCAGCUACAUUCUGUACCUGAUCUAGAUGAGGCAAAGGUAAUUGUUUCCGCGAGGUUUGAUCUAUAUGUCAUACUACAUGCUAAAUAGUUCGGAACGUAAGAUUAUGACUUUGUGUGUGCUUUAGAUCUAGAUAUUGCAAAUUCCCUGCUACAGUAACUUUACUGCUUUUUGCAUGAAGCACACAUAUGGCUGAUGAUGAUGAAUCUAUAUUUCGUGGAUGCAUAUGAUUGACUGUAGGCAUGGGAUUUGCUUAUAAUUUGAAGCAAGGUGUGAUAACUACACAAAUGUCUCAACUUUAGGCAUAACUAGGAGGAAAAAAACUAAAAAUCAUUAUAUGCUUAAAUUCCCAUUCUAAUAUACUACUACAAGGUGAAUCAUCCACGAGAAAGAUCGCAUGCGCACACACAAUUAUCUAUCAUAUACUGAUGCAUAAGCUAUAAUCCCCACUUUCCCUCAAGUUUUUUUUUCUGAUUUAAUCAUUGAUAAGGAAAAAUAAUAUCCAUGUCAUCUAUCUAAUGAAUUUUAGUGGAGAAAAGUAAGAGAAAAGAACAACACACUUUUGAGGUAGUUUAGAGAAAACAUUUUUGCAUGAAUGCGUAAAUAUUAGCAUGAUAAAUGAUAGAGAUUUUAAAAUUCUAUUUACACAAAAUUGAAGCAUCUAGACUUAACAUGUGCAAAUAUAACUACAAGGCUAUUCAUCAUCUAUAUUAGAUAACAUACGGUACAAAUAGGAAAAGUGGUGGUGAAAGUUGUAUGUUUCAAAUCUUAUAUUAUUGUUAAAAUCAGAAGGUGGUUGAGCUUUGCAGUAUCAAGAUAGCAUGGAUUAUUACUUGAUGUCUUGCAAUUUCUUUUAUUUUAGUCCAUCUCAAAUAUAACCAUUUUAUAUUCCGCUCAAGAUUAUCAACAAUACAAACUCUAAGACUUCCAAGCCUGUGACUAAAGGUUGACAUGAGAAAUGCAAGUCGGCAAAUGGGAAAGAAACAUACCAUUAAAAACUAAAUUCUAUUUUCAUUAGAUUACUCAAUAAAGUAUAACGAUCUCUGUAUAACUACAGGUAUAUCUCUAUAUAUGUUAAAUGAGUGUACAAACAUAUACAUGCCUUACUAUGAGUUUAUUCAGUAUACUCUUACUGUUUAUUUUGGAUAAUCUUAGUAUUAACAUCUAAUUAUAAUUUUUCAUAGGAACUCUUGUUUAAUUAUCCUAUCCUCACUUUUCUUUGAUUUCACUCUAAUAACAUCCUGGAAUUUACUUACACAAUCUCCUGCUCACACAUGGAUUUAUGUCUGCGAUAGUACUAACUCGCAGUAAAUCAUAAUGUCCUUCAUAUGUUAUAAUGUCUAUUUGAAUGAAAGAAUAGUUAUGCAUACUCUCUUCAACAAAGUUGGCAUUUGUUUAGCUCUUUAGCUAUUAUACACGAUGAAGCAUGAGUAAUUAACAGCACAUGUGGGAAUGCACUAGUUGACGGCUAGUUAUUCAUAAUUCUGCUCAUUAGGGAAACUAAUACUUCAAAUAAUGUAUUAUGUUAGUUCAGUAAUAGAGUUAUGAUGGGAUUAUGAUGUUCCGACACAAUUUACAUAUUUCUCUUAAUUGUUCAAAGUGGACCUUUAAUUUAGUUUCAGAUUUUUUCCAAAAGGGGAAAACCCAGGCCUCUGCGUCAUACGACACAUACAGCCCAUAAUUUAGUUUCAGAAUAGAUUUGUUAGUUGAUUAGUGAAGAUUGAUACUUCUGCAUCACACUGUUAUAUUUGUUCAUGAUACAUCUGCUAACGCCCGCCUUGUUUGUGUUUGCAGGGCGCCUCUCACGGAACCCAAUGAUGAUGAUCUGCUCGCUUCGUCGUGCACUCUAGAUCACUUGCAGCCGCAGGUCAUUGGUAUCUCUCAUGAUGCUCUGUUGCCCCCACCAGCUCCACUGGAGGAAGUCACUCAGCCUACUGCUUCUACUCAUAUGGCACCACCUGCUAUUCCUGUGGUGGGGGAGUUGCCCAACAACGUGGUGGUGGCCGCGCCUGCGCAUGGGCCUCUGCGUCGCAGCUCCCGCAACGAGCAGCUGUACCAUGGGGCUCGGGUAGGCGCGGUGGAGCGUGCUUCCAAGCGCAAGGCUACUAUUAUGGACCUCCCUCUCAAGACCACCCCUAAGCCAAUGAAGAAGGGCAAGCUACUGCCUGAGUCUUCCAAGCUCGACAAGGAUGCCAUUAUCUCUGAGACUGAAGGAGCUGGAUCCACUUUGGCCUCGCGUAAGCACAUCCUGUCUGGCCCUUGUUGGUGCCGACUGCCAACCGUCUAGUCUGUUUCAUCUCGGAGCUUAGUUGUACCUGUCUGCAUGUUGUUAUCUUCUUUACGUGUCUUGGUUACCAAACAUUAUUGUACUUGUCUCGUUUUAGUUUCUCUCUGCAUUCGUUGUUAUGAUCAGUCACGUCAUCACUAUAUGAUGGUGUUGCAUGUAUUACUGUAUGAUGUUCUAGCCAUAAGCUCCAGCUUGCAUUAAUAUACACAUGUGCCUCUUUCUCGAUUUGCCUUUUGAUGUUUCUUCCUUGCUGCUUCCCUGGAGAUAUCUUUUUUGGUGCAUAUGAGAAUCCUUAACUAAAAAUUACGCGACUUGGACAAUGCUGGCAAAUGCAUGCUUGUCCGUGUUACGUUCAAGGCAUGCAAACACGGAAGUGUUUAUUUGUUCACCCCAAACUAAACUGAAAAAUGUCACUGUAUCCAAAGCGUCACGAUUGCUCUCGCCUAAUAUGUGAUCUUACAUGGCUAUGCCAGUGGAUGGCAAUCAUGGCAUCUGAGGUUUUAUAACUAUCGCAUGGGAUCAGACGCUCGUGCACUGCUCUCCUAAUGACAAACAUUGCUAUCAUGUUUCAGUUGUGCCGAACCUCUGUGUGCCGCACAAGUUGUUCGAGACAGUCACGACUUGAGCUCCCCAUCCCUGCCCGUCUGCUGUUACUUCCUCGCCGCUCGCCACCUGAGAUAGCAAGUUUUCUCAGCCGAAGCUCACCUGCAUCUGUCUCAGCUGAUGGCAGUAGUAGUUGUUUGUGGACUGACAAUGAAUCAUAUAUGCCUCGCUGAUUCCGCACAGAGAGAGGCCUCUGCAAUAUUCGGUGGACAAAAUGUAUUUCUAAUUUUCUAUAAAGGGAGGAGCUAUUUCAACUGGAUAAGAGGUUGACUGUGUUAUUCCUUUACUUAAAACAAAAUUCGUUGCAUUGUGUAGGGAGUCCGGUCUCGAUAUUUUUUCUUUUUUCAUAGGUUAGGGGUUGCAAAAUUCGUUGAAUGUUUGGCCCAGUAAUCAUUUAUUUUUGGAAGCAACGUUUGUUGAUUUGUGUGAUGCGUGCUUCAGCUCAAGAGGGAAGAACUUGCACCUGUUGGUUCGAUAUGAGCAAAGGAGUUGGUAUGGAAUGUUAAACAGAAUGCGUGCACUCAGGGACGUCUACGCCACCCACAAGUAUGGAAUGUUAAACAGAAUGCGUGCACUCAGGUUCGAUAUGAGCAAAGGAUUUGGUAUGGAAUGUUAAACAGAAUGCGAGAAGAAAUUCCCCUCCCCCGCAAGUAAAAACGGUGAACAUGAUCUAUGCCACCCACAUCCCCAAACGGGAGCGAAAGCGUGCACUCAGGGACGUCUAUGCGAUGGAGCCUGUCGCCCCGAAAUUCAACCCAUGGUCAUCCUGCCCGAUCACCUUUGAUAGUAGGGACCAUCCCACCAGCAUCCGCCAUGCCGGCUCAGCCGCAUUGGUCCUUGACCCAAUCAUAGAAGGAUUCCACCUCACACGAGUCCUCAUGGACGGUGGCAGCAGCCUGAACCUGCUUUAUCAGGAUACAGUGCGCAAGAUGGGCAUCGAUCCGUCACGGAUCAAACCCACCAAAACCACAUUUAAAGGUGUAAUUCCAGGGGUAGAGGCCCGCUGCACGGGCUCAAUAACACUGGAAGUGGUCUUCGGAUCUCCGGAUAACAUCCGAAGCGAGGAGUUAAUCUUCGAUAUCGUCCCUUUCCGUAGUGGCUACCAUGCACUACUUGGACGAACCGUGUUCGCUCGGUUCAACACGGUACAUCACUAUGCAUACCUCAAGCUCAAGAUUUCAGGACCUCGCGGGGUCAUAACGGUUAAUGGAAAUACAGACCGCUCCCUCCGUACGGAAGAACAUACUGCGUCCCUCGCGGCAGAAGUACAAAGCAGCCUCCUCCGACAAACAGCCAAUCCGGCAAUGACAUCUCCGAACACCGUCAAGCGAGUUCGGAGUACCCCGCAAUAUGACAGCCAGGCACGCCUGGAGCUCGAUUAGCAAUUCGGCCUCCACCCCAGCUCUAGUCAAGCGGCGUCUGUACCAUGCAUGCACAAUUACGCGCUCAAAAUACCAUGGGCAUAGGUGGAGGUGAAAUGACAACGCGGCCGGAGUGCGGUUCGGCCGCCAGGAGGCCCGCAUACCUUUUUCUUUUUUUUUCAGGACCCUACUUUCGGGCAGCUCCGCCAGAAGAGAUCGGAUGACCGGACUCAUCAUGGAGGAGGCACCAAGGAGGCAAGAGGCUGUUUGCAUGCAAGGGAAUACCAAGGUGGUCUUCUUCAAUGAUCGUUAUACCUGUUCUUGCAUACCCGCAUGUAGCCUACCCUUGGAUAGGACACAUCAAACAGUCCUAUUUAUUUCUGCUUAAUGCAUCAAUUGUACACUUACGUCUUGCCGUAUUGUCCAAAUAAAUGGGAAGUAAUACGGAGCGUCAGCUUCUUAUCACUACCUCAUAUUUUCUGUUGAAUAUUUAUUCAAUACUGCAUCCGUAUGUUUUGGUACGGUCAUUUUUGCCAGGGGCUUCUUAUCGAGCCCCAUACUAUGGCAAGGAAAGUCCGAAUACUUUCAACAGUGCGGCACCCCGAACUUAUAGCAUUAUAUCCAUCAGCUCCGAAUCAUGUCUUGGGUCAAUAGUUGGGUUAGCCCGGCUCCCUUGUCUUCGUACCUUACGUUCCGUUAUAUCGGCUAAGGUAGCGCAUGGAGAACUACUGCGAUUGUGUCCCGGUUCUUCCGGACGAGCACCUCAGUAGAGAAAGCCGAAAAUUGACCGUCAUGAUGUGGCGAGAGCUGGUCGCUGUUCGCGAGGUAUCAAAAUCCCUAAAGAUUUUUUCCGCUUAUGGCGAGGAAUCGGCUUGGUCCGAUUUAGGCGUGCAUAGCGCCCCAGUUCGGCCUUCCGAAUACUUGGGGCUUUGCCGAAAUUUAAAAUUGUAGACUUCUAUGGUCAAGUGAGAGUUAUAAAGCCGAGUAAUCCGAUUGCCUGGUUCAUUGCGCCAAAUACCUCCUUAAAGGACCAAAACUUUGGAUAAAGAGUGUUUGGGUUUCCACGAACACCCCAGUACUAGUUACAAGGGGGCGGAAGCCGACGACUGGCCUACUUUCAAGAUUUUGAUAAACGACCUUAGAGCAGGUAAGAUUUUAAAUCCAACAAAGUGUUGCAUAGCACAAAUAAACCCGUUCUCAUAUUACACGGACGACAUGAGUACAUUCACUCAAAAAUUAUGUUGUUAGGACAUUCAUUCGCCACAAGACGAGCGCCUUUCAUAACGCCAUCAUAAUAUUUCUCGGGGCAGCGAUGCUCCUUGCCCUCUGGGGGUCCAUCCUUCACGAGCUUUUCAGCGUCAGCUUGCCCCAAUGCACCUUCGCGCGGACAAAGGCCCGUCGGGCACCCUCAAUACAUGCGGACUGCUUGAUAACUUCUAGCCGUGGGCAGGCAUGCACCAUCCGCUUCACCAGGCCAAAGUAGCUGUCGGGCAGGGGCUCCCCAGGCCACAUCCGGACUAUGAGGCCCUCCAUGGCCUGUUCGGCCGCAUUGUGGAGUUCGACCAACUGCUUUAGUUGGUCACUCAAAGGCAUCGGGUGUUCGGUCCCAGCAUAUUGGGACCAGAACAGCUUCUCCGUAGAGCUCCCCUCUUCAGCGCGAUAGAACUCCGUAGCAUCCGAAACGCUGCGUGGUAGAUCUGCGAAUGCCCCUGGAGAACUCCGGAUUCGUGUAAGUAAAAGAAAUGAUUCCUCCACAUGCUUGCUUUGCAUAAAGAAUGCCUUACCCCCCCCCAUUAACUUUUUGGCCGCCUGGAUUUCCUGGAGGGCCUUUUGGGCUUCGGCCUUAGCGUCGGCCACGCUCUGGAGGGCCUUUUCAAGCUCAGACGCUUGCGUCUUGUAGUCAUGCUCCAGGGAGCCUAACUUCUGACCGAGCUCCUGUACCGAAGACAAAACCUUCUAGUAGCAUCUGGUGUUCGGCCGGGUUGAACUCCCACAUAUCAAACGCUCGUCUUUGACACGGGAGAAUCCGGUGUAUGAGCAUGACCUGGACCAUGUUGACAAGCUUGAUCUUCUUUUCCCUCAUAUUUCUGAGGCACGUCUCGAGUCCGGUCAGCUCCGUGGGCUCGCCCCAGGCCAGGCCCUUCUUCUCCCAGGAGGUGAGCCACGUGGGGAUUCCGGAUCUGAACUUGGGGGCCGCCACCCAGUUGGCAUUGCGCGGCUCGGUGAUGUAGAACCACCCUGAUUUCCACCCCUUUAUGGACUCCGCGAAGGAGCCCUCGAGCCAUUUAACAUCAGGCAUUUUGCCCACCAUGGCGCCUCCGCACUCCGCCUGUUGGCCGCUCACGAUCUUCGGCUUCACGCAGAAGAUUUUCAGCCACAGGCCGAAGUGAGGUUUGAUGCGGAGGAAGGCCUCGCACACGACGAUGAACGCCGAGAUGUUGAGGACGAAAUUAGGGGCCAGAUCGUGAAAAUCUAGCCCGUAGUAGUACAUGAGCCCGCAGACGAAAGGGUGGAGUGGAAACCCUAGUCCAUGGACGAAAUGAAGGAGAAAUACCACUCUCUCCUGAGACUUCGGCAUGGGGGUAAUCUGUCCCACCGGUUGAAGCCUGUGCGUGAUAUUAGCGGCCAGGUAUCUGGCUUCCCGAAGCUUGCUUAUGUUCUCCUCUGUGACAGAGGAGGCCAUCCACUUGCCUCCCGCUCUGGACAUGAUGCGGUCCUAAGGAGAAGGUAAGAACUUGAGCGCUGGAGCUCGAGGGUGCGAGAACGGAUGAGCGAAGGAAGAAGAAGGCGUGGGUGAAGAUGGGAGAUUUCUGCCCCCUUUAUAAAGGCGAUGCGAAUUUGCACCUCCCCACUUGCCUCUCGAAAUAUCUUAUUUUUCCAGGCGCCUCACUUACUGGCGCUGGUUGGGUUACCCAUACCCGCAUUGAUGGAGAUCCUGCGAUAAGGGGACACGAUCUUUGCUUUGACAAGACCUGCCAAAGAAACCGCCUCGCGAUGUGUGCAGAAGCAGAUUGUAGAAAACGGUUCGAAUAAAAACCUAACCGUGGCGUGAUGUCACUUUUCUAAGAAUUGUCAGCGGAUUAGACUCGUGGAUUAUUAUUAUUCUCUCUAUGGUGGUAUAUAGAAUGUUAUCUUGAAGAGCCGGACACGGUCCUUGUGUUUGGAAGUUAUCUUGGAGUACUUGGAGAUGGAACCCGCCUCGCAAUGCCGAAGACAAUCUACGCGCCGGGCUCAUCGUCAUUGAAGCCUGGUUCAGGGGCUACUGAGGGAGUCCUGGAUAAGGGGGUAUCCAGACUGCCGGACUAUAUACUUUGGCCGGACUGUUGGACUAUGAAGAUACAAGAUGGAAGACUUCGUCCCAUGUCAGGAUGGGACUCUCCUUGGCGUGGAAGGCAAGCUUGGCGAUUCGGAUGUAGAUCACCUUCUCUGUAAACCGACUUUGUGUAACCCUAUCCCCCUCCGGUGUCUAUAUAAACCAGAGGGUUUAGUUCGUAGGACUGAUCACGAUCAUCAUCAACAAUCAUACCAUAGGCUAGCUUCUAGGGUUUAGCCUCUUUGAUCUCGUGGUAGAUCAACUCUUGUAAUACUCAUAUCAUCAAGAUCAAUCAAGCAGGAAGUAGGGUAUUACCUCCAUCGAGAGGGCCCGAACCUGGGUAAACAUCGUGUCCCCAGUCUCCUGUUACCAUUAGCCUUAGACGCACAGUUCAGGACCCCCUACCCGAGAUCCGCCGGUUUUGACACCGACAGCGAGCUCAGGUUCUUCCUCCUCUACGCAUUGCCGGAGCUACGGGCUACGUCGACGGCACCCUCCCAGCCCCUGCCAAGCUCCUGGAACCCAAUGACAAGGGUGAGCGCGCUCCAAACCCUGCGUAUGCCAACUGGUACCGUCAGGACUAGAUUGUUCUCAACUAUCUCCUCGCCUCUCUCUCAGAUGAAGUGCUGCAGCAGGUGCAUCGGUUUGAAACUUCUUGCGCCAUCUAGGCGCAUGUCGAGGAGAUGUAGAACAUCCACUGCCGUGCCAACAUCAUCUAGAUCAAGCUGGACAUGGCGGUCUUCCGGAAGGGCAACCUCUCCAUGGCGGACUAAUUCGCCAAGACCCGCGCCAACGCCGACCAGCUUGCUGCCGUCGGCCGCACCAUGCGUGAUGAGGACAUCAUCGCCGCCGUCAUCACCGGUCUCGACACCGACUACGAGCCACUCAUCACUACUGCCAUGACUUGCCUUGAUGGCAUGUCCCUUGGGGAGUUUUACUCCCACGCCAUCGCCUUCGAACGCCGUCGUGAGUACAACGCCACUCGUCUUCAUCCCAACGGCUCCUCCGUCCACUUCGCCGCUCAGGACUCCAAUGGAAACACCAACAACAACCCUCCCAACCGGGGCAAGGGCAACUACCGCAACAAGUGUCGCGGCAACGGCGGUGACCGCGGUGGCUACAACAACUCUCGUGGAGGUGAUCGCGGGAACCGUGGCGGUGGUGGUGCACGCCAGCAAGGCGACUUCGCCGGCAACUGAGGCGGUGACCGCGGCGACUACGACGAUUGCGGUGACAGCCGCGUCCAGUGCCACCUCUAUCGCUAUCCUGGGCACUAUGCCUGGGAGUGCGGCCAGCGCUACAACCACGCCUUCCAACCCCAACAAUCCAAGAUGGCUGGUCUCACUGCCGCAUCUCCUCCUUCCAUCUUAGGAGAUCCCGCCUAGUUCACUGACACCGGCGCCACCAACCACAUCACAGGCGACCUCGAUCGCCUCACGAUCCGGGAUAAGUAUCCAGGGAGGGAUCACAUCCACACAGCUGACGGUUCAGGUUUGCACAUAGCUCAUCGUGGUCAUGCAAUUCUUCCUACUCGCUCUGCAAAUCUGAAACUUCACAAUAUCUUGCAUGUCCCUAAUGCUGACAAAAAUCUUCUUUCCGUUAAUCAUCUUUCCGUUGAUAAUCAUGCUUAUCUAAAGUAUUACCCUACUCAUUUUCUUAUGAAGGAUUUGAUCACCAAGAGGGUUCUACUUAAACGCAGAUGUGAGAAUGGGCUCUAUCCCAUUAGGCCAUCACCUCCUCGUGCUUUGUCUUCGGUUAGUUUAUCUGCUGAAGAUUGGCAUGCAAGACUUGGCCAUCCCUCCACGCAAGUUGUUCAGCACGUUUUAUCUUCAAAUAAGCUAGCUUCAUCUAGUCGGUCUUUGACCCAUGUUCAACUGUUCUUUGUGAUUCGGUACCGCUUGAACUAAUUGGUCCAAUUCUUGGUAGGUACUUAUUAGGGGGAGGGCCAACCACCAAAUGAACAACGAUCUCCCGGUCCCACUUGAUUCCUGGGGAAUUUAGGAACCCUGCGGACUUGACUCUUUUAAGAGUGUAAUGCUUGUCAGCAAGGAAAAACACACCAACUACCUUUCCCUAGAUCAUCAAGUGUUUCUUCUUUUCCCUUAGAAAUUAUUUUUUCGGAUGUGUGGGGACCUGCCAAAACCUCUUCUGGUGGGUUCCAGUACUAUGUCUCAUUCGUUGAUGAUUAUAGUAAGUUUGUUUGGAUUUAUCUUCUCAAACGGAAAUGUGAUGUGUUUGAUGUCUUUCGUGACUUUCUUGCUCACGUUGAACGCCUCUUGUCUCGUAAAAUUGUAUGUGUUCAGUCUGACUGGGGUGGUGAGUACGAAAAACUCAACAACACAUUUUUUUCGUCAACUUGGUAUUAUGCAUCACGUUUCCUGUUCACACACACAUCAACAGAACGGUUCUGCCGAAAGGAAACACCGUCACAUUGUUGACACGGGGUUAUCUCUGUUAUCACAUGCGUCUAUGCCCCAUCAUUUUUGGGAUGAGGCAUAUCUUUCAGCUUGCUACCUCAUAAAUCGACUUCCUAGUCGUGUCAUUGGCAACACAAGUCCUAUGCAAAAAUUGUUUAACACCAAACCCGACUAAACAUCUCUUCGAAUGUUUGGUUGUGCUUGUUGGCCCAACUUGCGCCCCUACAACACACACAAACUUGCUUUUCAAUCUCAACAAUGUGUCUUUGUCGGGUACAGCAUUCGUCACAAGGGCUACAAGUGCUUAUACUUGCCCACUGCCCGAGUGUACAUCUCUCGCGAUGCCACGUUUGACGAAAUGGUUUUUCCAUUCGCUAGUCCUCUUCCCUCCCCCAUACAACCCAGGGUAGUUGAACAUGCCAUAUUGUUAUUUCCGCAUGACCACAUGAACUAUUGUACAACUCGUUUGCGUGCUGACUUGGAUGCAGGAUCUUCCAUGGCGCAGAAAAUCCCAGGCAAAACCACCACGGGAUCCCAGGAGGAUCCUGGUGACCGGUUCGAGGCUGAUCCGGUCUUGGAUCCCGCGCUGUCGGCGGACAGCGGCGCGUAGUCCCCAGUGUCAGGCAGCGGCAGUGAAGGGCCUCCACAGUGGGCCGCGUGGCGGCCACUGUCGGGCCGACCUCCCCUCCACCCGCGCCAGGGGCGGGGUCCACACCUGGGCCGGCUUUCCCCCAGCCUGACAUGCCUCGAGCCGAGCCACACGUGGAUUCAGGGUGGGCCGCUGCUGCAGUUCCUGCCACCCCGCCAGCUACCGACUCGGGAUCCCAUGCGGAUCUCGGUCCCGUUCGCCCUGCCACUGGUACGGGAUCCCAGGAGGAUCUCUCGCCUGGAUCUUCUGCUUCGCGCGGAUCCGAUGCUCCACCCGGCCACACCAUGGUGACUCGCCUACGUGACAACACACGCAAGGCCAUGCAACACACUAAUGGCACGGUCACGUAUGACCCGUCUCGACGUGCGUUUCUCGCGUCGCAAGAACCUACUGAUCAUCGUGAAGCUCUACAUUCUCUCGCGUGGCGUGCGGCCAUGCAACUCGAGCUUGCGGCCCUUCAUCACAAUGGCACCUGGUCUUUGGUUCCACCACCAUCUAAUGUCAACGUGAUCGACUGCAAAUGGGUUUUCACAUUCAAGCACAAGGAGGAUGGAACAGUUGAUCCUCAUAAGGCACGACUCGUUGCCAAGGGGUUCAAACAAUGAUAUGUCUUGGACUAUGAUGAUACGUUCAGUCCCGUCGUCAAACUGGUCACUGUUCGCUUGGUUCUCUCCAUUGCAGCCUCUCGUGGGUGGUGCUUGCGUCAGCUGGAUGUCCAAAACGCCUUUCUUCAUGGCGUUCUUCAAGAAGAGGUGUACAUGCGACAGCCCCCUAGUUUUGUGGAUCCCAGGGCUCCACGACAUCUUUCCAAGCUCAGGAAAGCAAUCUAUGGUCUUAAACAAGCUCCUCGAGCGUGGUAUUCCAGGCUCAGUUCUCGGCUUCUUCAACUUGGUUUUGUGGCAUCUAAGGCUGACACCUCCUUGUUUGUCUUUCAUCAUGCUCGCGUCACCAUGUUUAUGCUUGUGUAUGUGGAUGAUAUCAUUGUGGCCAGCUCGUUUCCUACUGCUACCACCAAGUUGCUGGAUGAUCUUCAAGCCUCUUUUGCCAUCAAAGAUCUCGGUCCUUUGCAUUAUUUCCUUGGAUUUGAGGUGAGAUCGUCGCCAGGGGGAUUGUACUUUCUGAACAGAAGUAUAUUGGUGACAUUCUUCAUCGAGCAAAUAUGGAGAAUUGCAAUAUCUCCACCACACCCAUGUCUUCGGCCGAGAAGCUCACCAAGGAAAGUGGGUCGCCAUUGUCUCAAGAUGAUAGCACCAAGUAUUGUAGUCUGGUUGGUGCUCUUCAAUAUCUAACACUUACCAGGCCAGAUAUAUCCUUUGCAGUAAACCGUGUUUGCCAGUUUCUUCAUGCACCUACAAUUACACAUCUCUCUGCAGCUAAACGGAUUUUGAGAUACAUAAAGUAUACUCGGAGCAUGGGCCUCUCUAUAAGGAAAUCCCCUUCAAUGCUGUUAAGCUGUUUUUCUGAUGCAGAUUGGGAAGGGUGCAGUGAUGAUCGGAGGUCUACUGGUGGUUUUGCUGUAUUUCCUGGUCCUAAUCUUGUGUCCUGCAGUUCGAGGAAACAAGCCAUGGUUUCUCGCUCAAGCACAGAGUCUGAGUAUAAAGCACUUGCAAAAGCUUACAUAAUCUGGAUCCAGUCAAUCCUUGGUGAACUUGGUGUUUUCAUGGCAAGACCACCUGUGUUGUGCUGUGAUAACUUGGGAGCUACUUAUCUAUCUGCUAAUCCAGUAUUUCAUGCCAGGACUAAGCACAUAGAAGUAGACUUUCACUUUGUUUGAGAGAGAGAGUUGCAGCCAAGGCAUUGGAUGUUCGGUUCAUCUCUUCUAAAGAGCAAGUUGCUGAUAUAUUCACAAAGCCAUUGGCUGAGACGAUGUUUGUCUCAAAUAGAUACAAUAUGAACCUUCUUGAGGGAAGUUUAGAUUGAGGGGGGAUGUUAAACAUAAUGUUGUUAUAGAUUAGGAGGCUGUUAAUAUAUGUAGUUAUCUCCUUAUCUCUUGUAACAACCUAUGUAAUCUCGGCCGUGCCAUGCCCUAGAGGCUGCAUAUAUAAAUACUCCCCCGGCCGCCCUAUGGGUUGUGUUGAAUCCCAAUCUCCUUCUUCUGUCUCACAACGAAGAGUUCUUGGACAAGAAUUCUAGUAAUGAAGAAUUGGCUAAGGAAAGAGGACAUGCAAAUUGAGAUGAUGUUAUUAGUGAAGGAUGCUGGAAACUGUAUUACUCCAUCAACUGAUGUUAUUUUCAUUGGUAUUGCUUGAAGUUUCUCCGAUAUUCACAUUCUUAGGAGUUGGACCUACUUCUUGUGCUGCGCUUUCUCUUACCCACGGAGCUUUCUGUGAAGGUUAAGUUGUGCACAAAUGCUAAUAAGUUAUAUUAAAAAAACAAGACAGGAAUAACAUGCUGACAAGGAAAAUGUUUCAAAAUAAUUUGGGCUGAAGAAGGUGCUCUUGUUGGGGUAGAACUAGGUUCUCUCACAGAGGCUGAACUAGGUACUCUUAUUGGUGGUUGAGACAACUGACAUGAUGCUACAUUGGUACAAUUGUGCCAGAAGGAUUUCCUUUUAGACAAGAUGUCCCAGCUUAUUUGCAUAUUCCAAGUCUUAUGACAGUCCCAUGCUUACUGACCCUAGUGUUUUUUGAUUUCUCCUCAGGUUCUCCUGUCCUAAUUGUCUUUGUUCUAUCUAACAGAUGUGGAGGUUCUGGCUUUGGUUUGUCUGAUACGCACCAUGAGGACAUGCCCUCCAUAUGCUGAAGGAGCCCCGUUUGAGUAAGCAUUAUAGACAUUUAGCAAAUCGUUGACACUUUCUUAUGUAUACUAGAUGAAUUCCCCGUGCAGCGGAAAUUUGUAGUACUCAACCUAGCUAGCAUCUUUAUGGUUUCUCCUUUAGCAAAAUAAUUUGUUUACCAAUAUUUUUAAAAAUAAAUAAAUGUAUGUCUUUGCGUAAGUCCGAAAUGGAGCAAAAUGAAACAAAAUGUACAUGCAUCAAUUUUCUUUCAUGAACCACCGUAGUGUGAGCUACAUGCAUGUGUCAAGAGACUUUUCAGUAAUUUAAGAGCAACUCUAGCAGACCCCGCAAAAGGCCUCGACCCGCAAAAUAGCCGCCAAAAUGCGGGCCGGCGGUGAAAAUCCCGCCCGAACAUAUCGUGCAAAUGCGGCCGGCCCGCAAAAAUUUUUGAGAGGCGCUGCUAAAACUCGACCCUAACCCGCGUAUGCGCCCCCCCCCCUCCCUCCUGCCCGUCGGUGCCCUGCAUAUAGCUCGUAGGGGGGACAUUUCAGCCCGCGCUUUUCCCCACCAACCACCUCCCCUCUCCCCCUCGCCCCGCCGCCGCCCAUAUUCCGCUGGAAGUUGCCGGCGGUAGCAUGCCGAAAAGCCUCCACACGCACGAGGUUGCCCUCCGCCCCCCUCCCCCUCCUCCUAUGUGGGCGGGCCGCGACCUUGUGGAUCUGCGGCGCUUCAUCGCGGGCGGCCGGAUUUGGCCUUUCCGGGCCUCCGCCGGCUGCGCCAAGCUAUGGAAUGGUCGGGGAGCACCUCGCACGGCCCCGACAAAGGUGCAUCUCCGCUCGCCGCCGCCGACGGUUUGCCGGGAUGGAUUCUGCCGUCCGUCCGUCGGGCUCAGCCCUCGCGCAAAUGCUUUGUGGCUCGCCAAUGCCGCUCAUACAGUGUGAUUACUGCCCGCGGACAGUGCUACGGCUGACUUCGGGCACGCCGAAACACCCCGGAUGGGUGUUCUUCAAAUGCGAAAACGACGGGGUUCGUAUUGUUUUUGAUUUGGCUCAUUUCAAUAGCUCAUUAUGUUUGCUCAUUUCGAACAUCAUCAUGCAUGUAGGAAGAUGGAUGCUCAUUUUGGUUUUGGGAAGGCGAAUACAUUGAUUUAGUGAUAGAAAGAAAACUGAUAGACGUUCAUGCACUCCUUAGUGCAAUCGAAGGCAAUGAAACGCAUGCAUGUGCAACUAGAGGGGAAGCAACGUCUACUUCUUUCUUAGAACCAAAGAUGAAGAAUGAAGAAUGCAAGAUCAAGAAUCUGCAAAUCAACAAUGAGUGCAUGGAGAAGAUAUUGCUUCAACUAGUGGGAGCUGUUAUGGAAGUUGGAAAUGUUCUAAAAUGCAUACUUGUGGUUCUUGUUUUUUUUGGUCUUGCUUUUCUAGCAAAGAUUUGGUGAUGUCUUAUGUAUUCAGUGUGGUUGAAAAUGCAAAGAAAUGCAAAUUGAGAUGCAAAUUUACAUUUUGGGGGCCGGGGGGAGGAUGGUGGCAGAAGCAGACUCCGCAAAGCCGAUCAGUAAAACAUGAUGCGGGUCAGCUUUGCGGGGUCUGCCUCUUCCGCUUUGCGUUGCGCACUACAAAACAGUUUUUCCGCAAACUGCAAGCGUGAAAUGCGGGUCAGCGAGAUGCAGGGUCUACUAGAGAUGCUGUAAGCAUCAGUUUUCUGCAUGCAUGUGUCAGCUACCACAUCGCUUGGUGCAUCUUCUCUCAACGUGUAGAUUGGAUGGCUAUUAUAGACUAAUCUAGUAUAUCCAACGGCUAAAUUAAUUUGGGUGACCGUGAGGCACUCACUCUUGAUUAUCCUUGAUCAAUAAACCAUGACAUUCCCUAAAAAAGUCUAUCCUGAUCAGGCACUGCGAUGGAUUAUUGCAGCAUCAGGCAAGUAAUAGCUUCUAGAAAUAAUUAUAACACUAAAAUUGCACCAAUAUAUACAGCAGGCAAACAUCCAUAUAUUCAGCUGCGCUAAUAAGUGGAACACCUGCUGCGGGCCUCCCCGCUCCUCCCCCUCGCCUCCCCGCCCCUAACCCUAACCGCGCCGCCAGCCGCCCCUCCCCGCUCCUCCCCCGCUUCACAACCGCUGGAGGGGACACCGGUGAAGCCCACGUGGUCCCCAGGGAAGGUGGCGGCGGGGGCUGGCGCCUGCUGCCCGUGAGGCGGCGUCCCUCACAGUGGCGGGGCUGCCCCUGAACGACGCUUGGUGGUGGCCACAUGGCGGCGCGCGGGUGGGUCGGAUCUGGGCUUCCAGUCUGCGUCCUCGUCGUGGCAGCGCUUGCUGGUGCUCUCAGCCAUGAGGCGUGGUCUGGGACGGGCCUAGCGUCGGUGGUGCUGGCCAGGUCGCACGCUGGCAGCGCCCUACUUCAUCUCGCGUCAUCUCAUUGGCCCAUGGUGGUGGUCAUCUUCGUCGUCAAAGAUGGCCGGGCAGAGGCUUGGUGAUCGGAUCUUGAGAUCCAUCAUCUAGUCCUGGCCGCGAGUUGGGGAGACAUGGUUACCGGUGAAAACCGAGUCGUUGGUAGGCGAUGGCGGCGUUCUACGCCGUUACCUUGAUGGAGGCAUUGUCGUGUAACUACUGUCGACCCACUCGUGCUGCUCUUGGGGAAAUCCUAGGAUCUGGUGUUCCAGAUCGGAUGAUGGCGGGACUGCGGUGUCCUUUCUCUCUUGGGAGUAUCGUUUGUGGAGCAGCGCUGGAAGUUGGAGGCAGGAGGUGGAGCGGCUUCGUCUUGCACGGUGCUUCGGUGGAAAUGUCAAGUCAUGCCUGACCGACAGGUGCUACGCUUUGUCAUGCCUGGUCGGCAGGUGCUACGCACGACUGAUCUUCCAAAGAUUUCAAGCUGUGUCGGCUGGUGGUACUUGGCAGCAUGGUGUUGAGGUGUAUCAGUGGCGACCGUGAUGUGCACAGCUGUUUGCGCGCAGGGAGGAGGUGCCGUUGGGCGCCGUGGUGGCGUCGACGAUAUCUAGACCGACCAAGGUUGAUGCAUCGGUACAGUUCUAAAGAUGGAGCGGUGGCAGUUGGUGGCGGCGGCCUCUGAGAGCACGCCGGACCGGCGAGAUCCAUGCCCGGCAGGCGUCCUAGAUGGGUCCUCAGGUCUUCGAUGUUAGGUUUGGCUGUGAUGUCUAUUUGGUAUUAGGCCCAGGCUAUCUGCGCCCCUUCAUCAACUGGAUAGGUGUAGCGACAGUUUGUUGCUUAGACGGCGGCUUUAGUCUUACUGUGGUAUUACUUUCUAAGGUCUUGUGAGAAUAAUUAAUAAAGUGGCCAUAUGCAUCGUCCAGAUGCAGAGGCCGGGGGUCAUCCUUUUAAAAAAUAAUAAUAAGUGGAACACAUUUGCUAAAUAAAUAUAGUGGACAAAUCACCUGUAGUGGGCAAGGAACACGUCCAAAAUAAAUGUAGCAAAAAACACAAUACAUCUAGUCACUUUGUCCAUUAGAAUAUUGUGCCAACUGCACUGGAAUUUGUACCUUUGGUAAGCUUGACGCAAAUGAUUGAUUGGCAGCAUCAAUACUCUGGAUACCUACGCACGGAGAAAGAAAAUAUUUUAAUCACUCGUACAGAAUCAUGAACAUAGGCAAACACAUUUGAUGCCACACAGAACAUAGGACAAUUAGAGGAUGGAAUGACAUAAAAUACUCCCUCCGUUUCCUAAAUAUAAGUAUUUUUAGAGAUUUCACUAUGAACUACAUACGGAGUAAAAUGAGUGAGUGUACACUCUAAAAUAUAUACUCCCUCCGUCCGGAAAUACUUGUCAUCAAAAUGAAUAAAAAGGGAUGUAUCUAGACGUAUAUUAGUUCUAGAUACAUCUCUUUUUAUUCAUUUUGAUGACAAGUAUUUGCGGACGGAGGGAGUACUUUACAGUGGAAUAUCUAAAAAGACUUAUAUUUAGGAACGGAGGGAGUAUUUAACAGGAGAGGAGAUUCAGAACAUAACGACGAAAGUUAAACAGUAGAAGGAUUACACAACUAACAUUAUUGUGUGAGCACAUGAUGGUGGCAACCAUCACUUCCAUGUUUUAUAGCGUGAAUAUGUAGGUCGUGCAAAAAUAUCCGGUCAUCUUUGACCACAAGAGAAAAGUAAAUUCAAAUGGAAACAAAAGGAUGAUAAGCCUUCUCUAAUAAAAUUCUAUAUUAUAAAACACAACACAAUAAAAUACUACUCCCUCUGUAAACUAAUAUAAGAGCAUUUAGAUCACUAAAGUAGUAAUCUAAAUGCUCUUAUAUUAGUUUACGGAGUACUUAUAAACAGGAGUGGCUGUGAAAUGAACCCCUAAUUAGUGCCUACUUCGAAGUCCCAUGCUUAUAUUUAAAAGCAUUGUUGGAUGAAGCAUUAAUGAAGUUGAAACGAUACUGCACAUUGCUCAAAUGUUACUGUGUACAUGGAUUACCACAAGUAAUCAACAUAUGCUUCAGGUAUUGAACAACUAAAAUGAAUUAGCAAGGGAUGGCAUAGAUAUGGUGUGCUGCCUUAAUGACAGAGUCAAGUAUUUGUUUAUUUCACACAAUGCGACGUAAACCUGAGAUGAUCUUCAAGGUCUAGUAGCUACCAAGGCUAUGUAUUAUCUCUCAGCCUUAAUCAAGCUAGCUGCAAACCUAUAGCCAAGCAGUAAGCAUGUCUCGACAAUUAUAUGUCUUCAAAAGAUACGGUAGACGGAAAAGUAUAUACCAGGCCAUAAUCACUAGCAAGUGGAUUUACUUCAUGUUUUUUACAACGAAGACGCCCAAGGUAUCCGGCUUUAAAUUAAUAAAGCCCACGAACAGGCAGAAUCCAACAAAGUUCAACACAGAACAACAACCAAAAAAGUGGCCGCAGCCAAGGUACUAAACAUGCCACCGGCCGAAGCCUGCACAAUAAGGAAAAUAAGCAGCAGCAGCUCGCAUACGGCCAAUCCAAAAGACAGCAUCCUGCCGACAGCUAGUGGCGGGCGCCCAUCUGGAUCAAAUGAAUCUGCUCCAUAGCCUCCGUGAUCCGGUCUGCAUCAUGCCGUUUCCCCAACAGUGUCCAUGUCUGGAGGAAAAACGAACAAGUGGCAUUUGAAAAUAAUGUCAGCAGGAUGAGAAGGAAAUUUGUGCUCAAUAGUCAUCUUGCUGCGUGUAGUCCAGAUGGCCCACAGCAAAGCACCCACGCAUCUCCAGAGCACACGCCCGAAACUACCCCUAUGAGCGACCAGAAUUCCACGAAGAUCCAAAGAUGAAAGCGGGUUCCAAUUAUGAUCAAACGCCUCCCUAACCGCACUCCAAGAAAAGUGGGCAAGGUGGCAUUUGAAAAAGAUGUGGUUGGCAUCUUCGUGCUGACCGCAGAGCGCGCAAGAGCCAUCGGAAGGUCCGUUCCUAAUAGUGAUGUUGUUAGAGGAGGGAAAGCGGUCGCGAAACAUUUUCCAUAGGAAAAUAUUGAUUUUCAGGGGAAUAGACUCUUUCCAUAGCCCCCUAGCUAUGUCCAGGGUCGGUCCCUCGGUCAGCUUGUUGUAAAGGGAUUGGACAGGAAACUUCGCGCAGCGCGAGAAGGAACAAGAGACUGUGUCGGCCUCAGGGCGAAGAACCACUCCAUUCAAAGCAGCAACAAGCCCGUCCCAACGGGCUCGUUUGCUAGCGAGGAGGGAUCUUUUGAAGGAGAUGGCGGGCGGGUUGGAGCUAAGCGCGUCGGCCACAAGAAUAUCUACGUUAGUGGCUAACUGAUAGGCAGCGAAAUGGCUCCUCCACAAGGGUUCCGAUCCAAACCAAUGAUCUAGCCAAAAGCGCAUAGAGGAACCGUUAUUGACGCAGAACUUGGCGCCUAACGUGAAGGCUGGCAUAACUUUCUGGAUCCCAUUCCAGAAAGGAGAUCCCUUAGCUUUGGAGGUGAGAAAAUUCCCAUCAGGGAAAUAUUUGGCGCGGAGGAUGUCCGCCCAAAGCCCCUGCUCGUUUUGGGAAAGUUUCCAAAUCCACUUGGUGAGGAGCGCGACAUUCAUGAGUUUGGAGUUAAGGAUCCCAAGGCCCGCAUACUUCUUUGGGCGGCAUAGCGCGGCCCAUUUGAUCAAGUGGUACUUCUUUUUCACAACAGUUCCUUCCCAAAAGAACUUGGACCGGGGAGUGUCAAGCUUGGCAUGAACCCCAUCAGCCAGCAAGAACAUGCCCAUUGUGAACAGAGGAAGGGAAGAGAGGCUGGAGUUAGUCAGGAUCAGCCUGGCCGCCGAGGAGAGGAACCGGCCGCGCCAAGGGCUAACCCGGUUCGCCACCUUGUUGUACAAGGGUUCCCAUUAUUCAAGGAUAGAAAUGUGUUUAUCCGAGAUAGGGAGGCCCAAGUACUUAAUUUGAAAGCUCCGUAGCUUGCAAUUAAGCAGGUUGGCGAUACGGGCAGCGAGGAGAUGGUCCAUCCCAAUGGCAAUCACCUCGCUCUUAAGGAAAUUGAUCUUAAGGCCUGAGAUGAUCUCAAACGCAAGGAGAAUGAGCUUGAUCAAAGCUACACUAUGAUCGUCGGGCUCAAAGAACAACAAAGUGUCGUCCGCAUAUUGAAGGUGAGUAAGACCACCCGGGAUAAGGUGAGUAACAACACCGCGGAUGUGGCCGGCGUCCUUAGCCUUGUGUACCAUGGAUGAAAGGGCCUCCGCAACAAAGUUAGAGAUCAAAGAAGAAGAGGGAUCUCCCUUCCUGAGGCCUCAUUUGUUGUGGAAGAAGUUCCCAACCUCUCUAUUAAUAGACACAGUAGUCUGGCCUCCCAAGAGCAAGUGCAUAAUACGGUGAACAAAGCCUGGUUCGAAACCCUUCCGAAUCAGGACCUUGCGAAUGAACUCCCAGUUCACGCGGUCGUAGGCUUUCUCAAAGUCUAGCUUAAGGAGCACGGCCGGCUGCCGUGUGCGUUUAAGCUCGUGAAUAAUCUCCUGCAACACUACCGGCCCUUUAAGAAUGUUGCGACCUUUGAGGAAACCGGACUGACUACAGUCGAUAACGCGCUGAGUAACCGGGGCAAGUCUGGUCGCAUAAGCCUUAGAGCAGAUCUUGAAUGGAUCGUUAAUUAGGGUGAUCGGACGGUACUGCUUGAUAGUGUCGGCCCCUUUAACUUUGGGGAUGAGGCUGAAGACAGGGAAGUUGAGGCGCGAAACGUCUACCAUACCUAACGUGAAAACCAUUAAUAAUCUUGUAAAAAGGCUCUUUAAGCGCGGGCCAGAAGCGGCGAAAGAAAGCGACCGGCCAGCCAUCCGGGCCAGGCGCAGUGUCUAUCUUCAUGGCUCCCACCGCUUCAUCAAUCUCCUCCAUGGAGAAGGACAGGGCCAAGGAAUCAUUCUCGGCUUGCGACACUUGGGCAUUUUCUCCCCAAAAGUCAGCACGAAGUUGCAAGGGCUUCUCCUCUGCUAUUCCCAGCAGGUUGAGGAAGAAACAAUAAAUGUGUGCAGAGAUCUCAGUCUGACUAACCAACACCCUUGAUCGGAUUGCAAUCUCAGAAUCAUGCAUUUCCGUUUACGGCCGUUGGCAAAGGCGUGGAAAUAUCCCGUAUUCGCGUCACCCUUGGUAAUCCACUUCACACCGCCCCUACGGCGCCAGUAUUCCUCCUCCUCCCUUAGGAGAGCAAGCACGUGGUUUUCUAGAUCAUAUCGAUUGGCCCAUUCAGCUUCCAAAAAGGGUCUUGAGUCAGCUUGAACGUCUAGGGUUUUUAUUUCAGCAAUAAUAGCUUCCCUAGCACGUUUCACAUUGCUCCCAUGGUUUGCACCCCACCCACAGAGGAAACAACAAAGGGCACUAGCCGCCGAAAUCCAAGUGUCAAGGGGACCACUGGAGUGGCCGACCGCAGCCCUUGCGCGGUCCCAGCACGCAAUGAGCAUGGGGUCGAAGCCAUCUACCUCAAACCACCCUGUUUCAAAGUAGAAACGAGGGCUACGCUUAAUCUGGUCCUCCCCAGAGGCCAAGAUCAGCGGCACGUGAUCCGACCCAAUGCACGUUUCCGCCACCAACGUACGCAUGGUAAAGAGCACUUCCCAAUCGAAGGUCACAAACACACGAUCGAGUACACUACGCACCGGGGAGAGUUCACUAGUAGAAAAAGGGUCAAACGUGAAGCACAUUAGUGCCGAUUUGUAUUAGAGCCGGCACAAAUGUAUACAUUAGUGCCGGUUCCAACGGCUAGCCGGGCCGCUCUCGUUAGUACCGUUUCGUGGCUAACCUUUAGCACCGGUUCGUGCCACGAACCGGUACUAAUGAGGGUGGUGGCAGGAUGUUGUCAGUCUGGGCCCCCUCCAGCACCUUUAGUACCGGUUCGUGCCACGAACCGGUACUAUAGGUCCUCUUGCAUAUGAACCCUUCGUCCAGCUCGGUCUGUUCUUCCCCCUUUCCCCUCUCCUAUCUCCUCUCUAUUCUUCCUCUUCCCCUCGAGCUCAUCACACAUUUUGCCCAAAAUUUGUCAAGAUUUGAAGGCCCCCAUCCAUUCAAGUGAUCACAAAGGUUAGCAACUUUGUCCUUUCAUCUCUUAUUGCUCGAUUAGCUCUUGCAAUGCUUUAUAUAGUUAUUAAUUUGUGAGUUUAGUAAUUUGGGAGGAAAUAUAUAUAUGUGCUAGUAUUUGAUUUAUAUGCAAUUUGAGGUAAAAAAUAACACUUAGUUUGCAUAUGUAGGUGUGGUUUACUUAGUGCCUUCUAAAUCUCCGUCGUAACCACCGUCGAUCGCCCGCACCGUCCCGUCGCCGGCACCACCUUGUGGUGAGCCUCUUGUUCAUGAAAUUUUAUAUAAAAAAUUGAUGUUUGUGUGAUUUGGAUAUAUAGUUAAUCAUGUAAUAAUUAUCUUACCCGUACGUUGUUUGUUAUACAUAGUGCCAUGGUUUUGAUAUCCGUCCCCGUCGGCCCUCGUCCUUGUUAUGAUUCGGAUGUGGUAUAUUCUCUUUUAAAACUAUUUGUUGCAUUUUGUGUUUAUGACAAAUUAUGCCCAUCAAGUUGACAUAGAUAUUUUUAUCUAGGAGGUAUGUGAACCGGAAAUUCCAACCGACCCUAUUGUCGAGAGGAUAAAUUUAGUUGAAAGAGAAAACGAGUACUUGAAAGAAAAAUUGAAAAGAAUUGAGGGGGAGAAGAUGGAAUUGGAGUUGCAUGUUGCCGAUGUCGUCGAUGAUCACAAGAUCAAGAUGGAGAAAAUGCGCUUGAAGAUUAGAAAGAUUAGAAAAUAUGCCAUCGAUAGUGAGGCUUGGUAUCAUUAUGUUGUUGGAACAAUUGUUACCUUAGUUGCGAUCUUGAUCUCAUUUGUUGUUGCAUUUAAAUGCUUUAGCUAGAGAGUUAUUUGUUUGUUGCAUUUAAGUGUUGUAUGAACUUUAUGUAUGAACUUGUAUUAAUUUGGUCUAUUCGGUGUUGUGUAAUGAAGAUGAGCCGGCAAUGGAUGUAUGAUGACCGAUGCUCUCCCCAGUUCGUUGAGGGCGUGCAUACUUUUCUGCUUGCGGCUGAGGCAAACAAGCAGGCGGAUGGUUUUAUGCCUUGUCCAUGUGCUAGUUGUAAGAAUGGUCACAAUUACUCUACGUCAAGAACCAUUCACGUCCACCUGUUUGAGUCCGGUUUCAUGCCCCACUAUAAUGUUUGGACCAAGCACGGAGAAAGAGGGGUUAUGAUGGAAGACAAUGAAGAAGAAGAGGACAACGACAGCUAUCCUGGCCAUGGGUUCCCUGAAUACGAUGAUACAACAAUGGGGGAAGAAGCUGAGCCGGUAAUGCGGGAAGAAGCUGAGCCGGAAAUACGGGAAGAAGCUGAAGAAGAGGCAUCAGAUGAGCUCGUUGAUGAUCUAGGUCGGGCCAUUGCUGAUGCAAAAAGAAACUGCGCAAGUGAUUUGGAGAAGAAGAAGUUGCAGCGCAUGUUAGAGGAUCACAAAAAAUUGUUGUACCUGAAUUGCGUAGGUGACAAGAAAAAGCUGGGCACCACACUGGAAUUGCUGCAAUGGAAGGCAGAGAAUGGUGUAUCUGACAAGGGAUUUGGAAAGUUGCUGGUAAUGAUAAAGGAUAUGCUUCCAAAGGACAACGAAUUGCCCGAGAGUACGUACGAAGCAAAGAAGGUUGUCUGCCCUCUAGGGUUAGAGGUGGAGAAGAUACAUGCAUGCCCUAAUGAUUGCAUCCUCUACCGCGGUGAGUACGAGGAUUUGAACGCUUGCCCGGUAUGCGGUGCAUUGCACUAUAAGAUCAGCCGUGAUGAGCCUGGUGAUGUCGAGGGCGAGCGCCCCAGGAAGAAGAUUCCUGCCAAGGUGAUGUGGUAUUCUCCUAUAAUACCACGGUUGAAACGUUUGUUCCAAAACAAAGAGCAUGCCAAGGCGAUGCGAUGGCACAGAGAAGACCGUAAGAAAGACGGAAAGUUGAGAGUACCCGCUGACGAUUCGCAGUGGAGAAAAAUCGAAAGAAAGUACGGGAAGGAAUUUGCAGAUGACGCAAGGAGCGUAUGGUUUGGUCUAAGCACAGAUGGCAUUAAUCCUUUUGGGGAGCAGUGCAGCAACCAUAGCACCUGGCCUGUGACUCUAUGUUUGUAUAACCUUCCUCCUUGGUUGUGCAUGAAGCGGAAGUUCAUUAUGAUGCCAGUGCUCAUCUAAGGCCCUAAGCAACCCGGCAACGACAUUGAUGUGUACCUAAGGCCAUUAGUUGAAGAACUCUUACAACUGUGGAAUGGAACAGGUGUACAUGCGUGGGAUGAGCACAUGGGGGAAGAAUUUGACCUAAAGGCGUUGCUGUUCGUGACCAUCAAUGAUUGGCCUGCUCUCAGUAACCUUUCAGGACAGACAAACAAGGGAUACCGUGGAUGCACGCACUAUUUGGAUGAUACCGACAGUAUAUAUUUGAAGAGUUGUAAGAAGAAUGUGUACCUGGGACAUCGUCGAUUUCUUCCGAGCAGGCAUCCCGUAAGAAAGAAAGGCAAGCAUUUCAAAGGUGAGGCGAAUCACCGGACGAAGCCUCGCCACCGUACUGGUGCUGAUGUACAUGAUAUGGUCAAGGAUUUGAAGGUGAUAUUUGGAAAGGGUCCUGGCGGACAACCUGUUCCGAAGGACGCGGACGGACGCGCACCCAUGUGGAAGAAGAAAUCUAUAUUCUGGGACCUGCCAUAUUGGAAAGACCUAGAGGUCCGCUCCGCAAUCGACGUGAUGCACGUGACGAAGAAUCUUUGCGUGACCCUGCUUGGCUUCUUGGGCGUGUAUGGGAAGACAAAAGAUACACCUGAAGCACGGGAGGACCAGCAACGUAUGCACGGAGAAGACGUCAUACAUCAGGGUCAUGCAAGCUACGCUCUUACCAAAGAAGAGAAGGAAAUCUUUUUUGAAUGCCUGCUCAGUAUUAAGGUACCGUCUGGGUUCUCGUCGAAUAUAAAGGGAAUAAUAAACAUGGCAGAGAAAAAGUUCCAGAACCUAAAGUCUCAUGACUGCCACGUGAUUAUGACGCAACUGCUUCCGGUUGCAUUGAGGGGGCUUCUACCGGAAAACGUUCGAUUAGCCAUUGUGAAGCUAUGUGCAUUUCUCAAUGCAAUCUCUCAGAAGGUAAUCAAUCCAGAAAUCAUACCAAGGUUACAGAAUGAUUUGGUGCAAUGUCUUGUCAGUUUCGAGUUGGUGUUCCCACCAUCCUUCUUCAACAUCAUGACGCAUGUCCUAGUUCACCUAUGCGAAGAGAUUAACGUUUUGGGUCAUGUAUUUCUACACAAUAUAUUCCCCUUUGAGAGGUUCAUGGGAGUCUUAAAGAAAUAUGUUCAUAACCGUGCUAGGCCAGAAGGAAGCAUCUCCAAGGGCCAUCAAAAUGAGGAGGUCAUUGAGUUUUGUAUUGACUUUAUUCCUGACCUUAAGCCGAUUGGUGUUCCUGAAUCGCGGCAUAAGGGUAGACUGGAUGGAAAAGGCACGCUAGGAGGGGAACAAAUAAUAUGUAUGGACGGACAUUCUCUCACUGAAGCACACUACACAGUUCUACAGAAUUCCACCUUGGUGGCUCCGUAUAUGGAUGAACACAAGAAUUUGCUACGCUCCAAACACCCGGAGCGGUCUGAUGACUGGAUUACACGUGAACAAACCAGGAGUUUCGCCAACUGGUUGCAGACAUGUACCAUGCAUGACACCUCUAUUGAAGAUGACCUGUACUUGUUGUCCCAGUUACCAUCUUCGAAUAUAAUGACUUUCAAAGGGUACGAGAUAAAUGGUAAUACAUUUUACACGAUCGCCCAAGAUAAGAAGAGCACCAACCAAAACAGUGGUGUCCGCUUUGAUGCAGAAACCAAGACGGGAAAGGAAACAUAUUAUGGUUAUAUACAGGACAUAUGGGAACUUGACUAUCAACGUGGUUUAAAGGUCCCUUUGUUUCGGUGCAAAUGGGUCAAUAUGACACGAGGCGGGGUAACGGAAGACCCGCAGUACGGAAUGACAACAGUGGAUCUCAACAAUCUUGCGUAUGCAGACGAACCAUUCGUCCUAGCCAAUGAUGUGGCACAGGUUUUCUAUGUGAAGGACAUGUCUACCAAGCCAAGAAAAAGAAAAGAUAAGGAAGCGAAUGCAUCGUACGAUGAGCCAAAGCGGCACAUAGUUCUUUCUGGGAGGAGAAACAUCGUGGGAGUGGAUGACAAGACAGAGAAGUCAGAAGAUUAUGAAAAGUUUGAUGAAAUUCCUCCAUUCACAGUGAAUAUUGACCCGAGCAUCCCGUUAAAUGAUGAGGAUUUUCCAUGGUUACGGCGCAAAGGGACACACGCGAAGAAAAAGUUUCACACCCAAAGAUCUGGGAUGUGAUCGGCUUUACUAUCAUCACUUUCUUCUGUGUUUCACACCCAGGAGGGAAUGUCUGUAAUAGUUAGGGUAGUUAUGUGUUUUGGCAUUUGAAACGCGAAGAAAUUUUAUGUGCAAACAAAUUCUUUUCAUGCAUUUACUGAUUUUUUUCCAGCUAAAUGACCCUGAAAUUGAAAAGCAAUUCAAAUGAACUCAGAAAAGGUUGAAAGUUGGCAUGGUAUUAUAAUUUCAUACAAAUAGCAUGUGCAAGAAAGUAGAGAGGGUUACGGCAAAAACUGGAUGCACUUCGUGUACAAAAUGGACAAUCUCUUUCGAAGUAUCAGGGUUUUCGACGAAAACUGAACUCUUACAAAGGCAUUUCAUUUUUUAAAUAACCUAAGCAUUACUAAAUUGAAUAUAAUGAUAAAACACACUAAUAUUAAACAUAAGAAAAAAGAAUCACUGAAAAAACUUUUUUCAAAGUUAAGUUAUUCACAAACUAGUGAUUCACACAAAUUUCAAAUAAUUCAAAAUUUAAACUAUUCAAAUUUGAAAUCUACCGGCACUAACAGAAAGUUUGUAAUUUUUUGUACCUAAAGCAAAAAUAUUCACAAAGAAACUCUAAAUACAGCAAAAAACAACUCAAAAAUAAAUAAAACAAAAAAAUAAAGCAAAAAAAUAAAGCAAAAAAAAUUAAGAAAAAAAAGCCCGCCUACUGGGCCAAAGCGGCCUGCAUACGACUAGCGACACAACCUUUCGUUGGGCCAGGAUGCAGGCCCGCGAAGGCCCAGUAGGCCCACUAGGCGAAGAGGACAGGUAGGCCCAGUAGGCCUGGUUAGGAGAGGAACUCGAGAGAGCUACCGCACUGGGGCUUAUAAACCAGUGCGGUAGCCCCUCGACUAGCGAGGUGGGACUAAACUUGCCGCACCGCACCUGCGCCAGCGCACCCCCUUUAGUACCGGGUCGUGGCACAAACCGGUACUAAAGGGCGGCCUUUAGUACCGGUUUGUGCCACCACCCGGUACUAAAGGGGGUAGCUUCCCGCCGCUUGGCCUGGCCAAAACAGGCCUUUAGUACCGUUUGGUGGCUCCAACCGGUACUAAAGGUGCCUUUUAUAUAUACAACGGCUACGAAAAUUUCAGUUUCCCUCUCUGUUCGUUUCUCUGUUUCCGGCUCCGUCGCCGUCGCCGCCGCCCUCGAUCGUCUCCGUCGCCGCUCGUCUUUGUCGCCGCCCCCGUCCCUGUCGCCGUCCUCGUCUCCGUCGCCGCCCCGGGCCCAUCCCCGUCGCGCCGUCCCCGUCCCCGUCGCGCCGUCCCCGCCGUCGCCGCCCCGGCCGUCACCUCGCCGUCGCCUCGCCGUCGCCUCGCCUCGCCGUCGCCCUCGCCCGCUGUGAGCCCUCCCCGAGCCCGUACACACACACAAGCAUGUUUAAUUAGUUUAGGUAAUUAAUCUUUAAUUAGUUUAGAUUAUUUAGAUUAUUAUUUUGUAUGUUUAAUUAGUUUAAAUAAUUAGUGUUUAAUUAGUACACACACACGUAUUUUGUAUGUUUAAUUAGUUUAGAUUAUUUAGAUUAUUAUUUUUUCACUAUUAUAUAUGUAUGAAUGCAUGUUAGAUGGAUAUAAUUAGUGUUUAAUCAGUUAGAAAUUAGUGUUAUAUAGAAAUGAUAGAAAUUAGUGUUAUAUAGAAAUGUUAGAAAUGUUAGAAAUUUUAGUGUUAUUUAGAUUAUUUAGAUUAGCAUAAUUAGUGUUAUAUAGAAAUGUUAGAAAUUUUAGUUAUCAAAAUCCAAUCAUUAAAAAAAUGUUACUUUUUGCGGGCAUAUAGCUAGUAUUUGUUCUCGACGAUGCCCGGCCCGCAUCCUCGUCGUCGACCCGUCCGCGACGACGUCCAGCCGACCCAUGUCUGGGACUGGGCUCCGCUGGGCUGGCACUAGGAGGUGCUGCCUGGAGGGGCGCGCCGCUUGAUGAGGAACCCGGCCCCGGGUCCCGUCGUCGACCCUGAUCUCGUUUGGUGGCGUUCGCGUGGGCCAGUUUUGGUGCGGAGGGACCCGGCCCCGCCGGAGGUGGUACGUCGCCGUGUCAGGGAGGAAGACGAGCACGUCCAUCGCUACAUGGUUGCGUUAGAGGGCGGCAGGUUCUCCAAUACAUGGCAGUUUCUUCGGGGAUCUCACUUCAGCUAUGAUCCUGUGAGGGUUCCUUCUCUUUGGGUGUCCAGCGCCCGCGCCGGAGGAACCGCGAGUGUCCUAGAUUCUUCUGUAGUAUUCGAUCUUUAUUAGCUAAUAGCCAGUGAUGUACUAUUCAAUAUUAUAUGAAAUUCGAGACGAUGUAUUCGAGAUUAUAUCUAUUAUUCUAGACGAUGUAUUCGAGAUUAUAUCUAUUAUUUGAGACGAUGUAAUUUGAAUACUAAAUUGUUUUAUAUUUUUUUUGGAUUAGUUAAACAAAAGCUAUGGCAGACAAUACCGACAGAGAGGGAGAACAGACCAUGUUCGAUAUGAUACGCGGGCCAGAUGAUAAUCAGAAUGAAGAAGAUUAUGACGGCUCCGAAUUUCUAAACAACACCGGAGAGGGUGAUAUGAUAUUCGAUCGCGACGACCAAAUUGAUGAAGUCAUGAACUAUGAUUAUGACGAUGACGAAGAACAUGUUGAUCCUGAAACAACAAAGACCGGCGAGGUAUAUAUAUUUAUAUAAGCAGGCAUCUGGUGAUCAUCACAUGUCUUAAAUGACUUGAAGAUAUAUUAACGAAUCAAUCUUUGUUCUUUCAGCCAUCCGGAUCGAGCAAAUCUUCAGGCAAAAUGACGAAAUGAGGCCCGAACAAAAAGUUGAAGGCGGGCAUAAAGUACAAUAUCGAGGCAUGCAGCCCUACUGGCAAACCGUUAGCGCCUAAGAAGAUUGCGGACAAGUUCGUUCGUCAGUGCGGAGUUCUUGUGAAGGACCAACUCCCGAUCUCCCUUCAAGAAUGGAGAGAGCCAGCAAAAGACAAAAGAAAAAAAGGCAAAGAGGACGCUGCUCCACGUCCAGAUGUUACUUUUGUCGACAAGAAUCAAAAAGAUCUGCUUUGGGAUACUCUCAUGGAACAUUUCACCCUACCAGAUCAUUUCACAGAAGCAGAUGUGCAGAAGUCAAGGAGGCUGCUCUUAGGAUGAUGGCGAUUGCAUUCAAGAACCACAAGAAUCGUGAAUGGAAGAAGUACGUCAAGGGAGAAAGGAAGACUCCAGUAUUCAAGGGAACACUAGAGAACCAACGUGAUCAUUGGGACGAUUUCGUGAAAUUCAAGGAUUCGGAAUGGUCGAGAAUAAACAAGAAGAAUGCCGAAAAAAGGAUAUGUUCCAUAAGCUGGGGCCAGGUGGCUAUGCGGUGGCAAUGCCUAAGUGGGAUAAGUCUGAGAAAGAGAUGGAGGAUGCAGGUGUCACUCUGGCUACUAAGAGCUGGCCCCCCAGGGUCAGGACUUGGUUCUAUGCGCAUGGGGGGGAGUUGGACCUGGAGACAGGCAAUGUUUCGACGAGGGCAAGUCUGAAGGGAGCCGACGAUGCGAUACUUGUUGCAAUAGAAGAGGCACGAUCGGGGGUGUUCCAUCCCAACAGAGAGAACGACGAGCUUACGCGUGCCCUGGGAAAUCCUGAACACCCGGGAAGAACACGAGGCAAGGGCGCUAUUCCGUGGUAUGAGGGGUUUCCAGAAUGGAACACCGACUACAGAACCCAUGCGAGAAAGAAGAUUGCGGAGGAGAAGAAGAGGAAGAUGGAGGAGGAGCAGAGGAAGCGGGACUAUGAACGCCUUCAAGGCCUAGAAGCAAGUCAAGCGAAAUUGGCAGUCAAAUUCCAGCGGCAGCAGGAGCAGAUCGACUCACUUACCCAUCAAAGGGGGUCUCAGCAGUUGCAGCAGCUAGCGGAUGAUCCAGCAUUGGAUAGCACCGGCCCAUCCAUGCCGAGAAGCAGCGUGGGUUCCGUCCCGGACGACGCAAUGCUGGGUAGAUACCACGUGGAUGACAUCACAGAGAACACUAACUGCAAGCUACACGUCAAAAUGAAGAACAUAUCUAUGAAGGUGGCGGACGGCUUUGCUUUUACAAAUCCCCCCGAGGCAACCUUCCAUUGCAACCCGAUUCCAGCGGGCUAUGCUCAUGUCUUUGUUGAUGAGGUGGUGGACCCACCAUAUUCGGAGCUACAGCUUGACAUUGCUGGAGGUUACGGCGAGCGCUUUCUCAGAGAGGCCAAACAUCGUAUCCUCCUAUGGAAAAAGGAUUGCAUCAUCUUUCGAAGGCCACCGACACCGCGUAAGCCGAGUCCUCGUCGAAGUCCGCCACCGAGUCAGCAGACUCCCGCUCCUGCAAGUUCGGCAAAGUGUCAGGCCACUCCUCCUCCUCCAAGUCUGGCAAAGUGUCAGGACAAUCCUCCUCCUCCAAGUCCGCCACAGUGUCAGACAUCCACUCCUCCUCCAAGUCCGGCACAACCUCAGGCCACUCCUCCUCGUCCAACUCAGCCCCGUCAGCCGUCUCCGCCGCCUCAGCAAUCGCAGAAGAGACACCCCGCAUCUAUGGUGCGUAGCGGUACGAGUCGAGGUAGUACAGGAAGUACAGGCGGAGGCAAGCGAUAUAAAUAUGGUCCAAGCCUCAAGCCUCUUCCGCAGAGGUCUUAUGACAGGUCCGAGGAGGAAAUCACAGCCAUAUCGAAGGCCGAGGUGGAAGCCCAUUUUGCACCGAAACCGCCAUCGUCGCCAAGGGAGAAAGUGCCUGAGGAAACGAUUGACCACUUCAUUCGUAUGGCUCAACCACCAGCUCCCAAGCCUGUUGACACAGACUAUGAGCGCCACAUUAGGAAGUUAAAUCAAGCACGUCUACAAAGGGAGGCGAGCACGUCUACAUCGGGAUCAAGCAAACAAGAAGCAGCUGCGAAAAAAUGCGGGAAAACCAUUCCCCAGCUGGGAGAACAGGCGGCGCAAUCGAUCCCCUUGCUUGUUGUGCCAACAACAGGUGACAGUACGCGUGCCCAAUAUUAUUGUGGGCAAACAGUGCAUGUUCCCGAGGUGGGCAAUGUGGUAAUAACGGAGGAGCAUAUAAUGCAGGCUGAAGUUCUCAACAUCACUGUUGGACAACUCCUCGAGAUCGAGCCCAUGCCUUUGCUUAGAGAGGAUGAAAUAAAACGGAAAUAUGUCUGGGGCCAACCUUUGGUCGCGCCAGACAAGGUCAAGAACCUACCAACGAGAAUGUAUGAAUUGCAUCAAUGGUACAUGAACAUUAUCAAGAUUUCCGAUGGAGUGUCCCUCAUGGUGAAUGUCAAGGAGGGGCAUUACUACCAUGAGAAAGCUCUGUCCGUUGAGUAUUCUGAACUGUUUCAGUUAUACAAUCAAGACGCACUCGACAAAUCUAUCGUCAGUUGCUAUUGUCUGUAAGUGAUUUCUUUCUGUAAUUUAAGUCUCAAGCUAGCUGUAGUGAUCCUUUUGAUCAAUCAUUACCUGUAAUUAUCCUCACUAUAUUCUUUUCUGUGGUAUUAUAUGCAGGAUGAAGAUGUAUGAAAUGAGAAAAGGUGGACGCUAUGGCAUUGGGUUCAUUGACCCAAACACCAUUAAUGAAUACACAUGGAAAAUAGAUGCACGUCAUCAAAAGGCCGUAGAGGACAGCAUGCUAGAGUUCUUGAAGCGCCUCAAAUACAAUGAAGAUAUACUACUUCCUUACAACUUCCAGUGAGUCACACUGUCUUGUACUACAAAUUCUCUGUUUUUGCCUACUAGCUAGCUACAUGUUUUUGAAUACAUAUGCCGCUUAAUUAAGACAUGCAAACGUGUGUGCAUGCAGAUUUCACUGGGUCUUGUGUAUCAUUAAAGUUGACGCCGGAACAGUUGAAGUACUGGACUUACUAAUCUCAGAAAAAACUGACUAAUCUCAGAAAAUCUUGUAUGGGAUAGUCAACAGGUAAUUUCAAUCAUUAUUAACUAUAUAUCUCGUCUAUUUAGUUCGUCAUUUCAUGAUAUGAACUAUUUAAUAACCCCUUUAUUCAUUUUCUUUGUCGGCGGGCAGGGCUUGGGCAAGGUUCAUCACCGUCACGGAAGGCGAAUGGAAACAAAAACUUCAAUGGUUUCGACCCUAGGUAAGUAGUACUAGCUAGCUAGCUAGCUGCCAUCUCUUUAAUUAUCAUGCUUGAUUAAUUAUUAUCUGAUCAAAUUCCAUUCUCGUCAAGGCCCUGAAGCAGGCGCAGGGGACUGAUCUGUGUGCAUUCUGCGUUUGCGAGAAUAUUCGCAUGAUGGCGUCCGAAAGGAGCAGAUCUCAAAGACAGGAAUGGGUACGCUUGUCAAAACACUAUUCACAAUUUUUACACCAUUAUCGAUAUUUAGUCACACAACUAACAUAUUGAUCUCCUUCUUAACAGUUCAGAAAGGUGCGCGGGAAGCUCCUAGAAACGGAGCGCAUAGAAGCACUUCAAGAGGAAAUAGCGGGAUUUUUGCUCGACCAGGUCAUAAAUCCGAAGGUAGAAUACUAUUACCCGCUACCGCCCCCAUGAAAACCACUUCCAAUUGUCAUCGUGUUCCGAAGGCACCAAUAUAGGCUAAUGCCACUGGCUCCGAAGGCAACAUGCAUAUGUAGGAGAAAUUGUAUAUAGCUAUACAUGUGUGUAUGUGUGAAUUAAUUAAUAUGAUGGUUUGUGAGACAUUGAUGAUAUAUAUAUGCAUNNNNNNNNNNNNNNNNNNNNNNNNNNNNNNNNNNNNNNNNNNNNNNNNNNNNNNNNNNNNNNNNNNNNNNNNNNNNNNNNNNNNNNNNNNNNNNNNNNNNNNNNNNNNNNNNNNNNNNNNNNNNNNNNNNNNNNNNNNNNNNNNNNNNNNNNNNNNNNNNNNNNNNNNNNNNNNNNNNNNNNNNNNNNNNNNNNNNNNNNNNNNNNNNNNNNNNNNNNNNNNNNNNNNNNNNNNNNNNNNNNNNNNNNNNNNNNNNNNNNNNNNNNNNNNNNNNNNNNNNNNNNNNNNNNNNNNNNNNNNNNNNNNNNNNNNNNNNNNNNNNNNNNNNNNNNNNNNNNNNNNNNNNAUAUUCAUAACGUGUACAAUGUGUAGUAUCAUAAAAUACCAGCAAACGAAAAAGAAUUAAAAUGGAAACACAAAAUUAAAUGAAAAAGAAAUCAUAAAACUAAAAACCCCCCAAACAUUAUAGUACCGGUUGGUCUUACCAACCGGUACUAAAGGGCUCCAGGCCCCCGGAGCUGGCUCGUGCCACGUGGUUGCCCUUUAGCACUGGUUCGUGCUGAACCGGUACUAAAGGGGGGGGGCCUUUAGUGACCACAAUUUAGUGCCGGUUAUGUAACCGGCACUACAGGGCCUUACGAACCAGUGCUAUUGCCCGGUUCUGCACUAGUGGUUGUUUGUUGGUCCACGUAAAUCUAGCACCUGUCCUAGCAAUUUCUCGCAAGGCACAGGCCGCAAUAGGAUUAUUGAACAAGGUCAUUCUAUGCCAGUAUAUGUUGCGGUUGUUCUUAUCCGCUCCCGAGCGGAUAAGGUUAAAAUCGCCCCAAGGAAAAUGGGAAUAUUGGCAGCUUGUUUGGCCCCAAGCAAGCUUUGGAUUUCACCCAAGAAAUUAGCCGCACGAGAGUGAUAAGCCGGUCUGUACACGCAUACAAUCGCCCAAGAAGCAAAGGAAAUCCUGUGUUUGAUCAUGAACAAAAUGAAAAAGACACCUGCAUCCCAACUUACAACAUCACAUACAUCACUAUUACAUCCCAGAAGAAGACCACCCGAAUGACCACAGGAGGGAACCCAGCCCCACACAAAAUCAUUUCCUGAAGCGCGAUGAUGUCAAUACGCUCACGGGCAAUGUACUCUUUGAGUUGGGUGCGACGACCAGAAUGUUCGCAACCCCGAAUGUUCCAGAAAAGAUAACGCAUCAGAUAAUUCAAUUGCGAAGGCGCACCCCUCUGGAGGUCACCGGUUUUGCUACACGUUUUAUAGCCGGGGCACACCUCGUCGCUGGAGUUGCCUUCACCUCCCUGGUUUCAGCAUACCCACCCGACACUACAACAGUCCCGACAGGGACGGGCACAGCCAGGGCCGUGGCGGAGGCUUCCCUGGCCUUUGCCAACGCGGCUGCCUCAGCCAAAGCCGCUCGGGCUUCCUCGCGAGAACGAAUCAUUGAAACUAACUCAGCGCUCUCCGCACCUACUUUAAAACAGCUAUCGUCUAGGAUCAAGACAAGUUCAGGAUCUGAACAUGCAUUCAGAAUCUUAAAGGAGGGGGGGCUUACCUGAAGUUUCGAGGUUCUUCUCCGCCAGACGCAGCUGCGCGCUCUCCAUGGAAAGCAGCUCACCCAGUUGGGCCUUGGCCCGGGCACUCGGAGCGCGUUGAGACAUCGGGGAUGCCCGAGAGCGCCGAGCCUUGGCCGACGUGCGGGCAGAGCCCAAUGCGGCCUGUAGGUCCACGCACACCGGCGCAUUAGGCGAAGGGAGGGAAAGCUCGGCGAGGUUGGACGAAGGUUUCCGCCUAGCCAUCUUCUUGGAAGCACGCCCAGAGCCCCCCGAGCUGCGGCGACUAGACAACGAGGUGUGCAUGAGUGGUUUGUUGAGCACCAUACCCGUGUCGGAGCCAAGCAUGCUGGGCGAGGCCGGAGCGACCAAAAGCAUAGAGCCAACAUCAGCCAACGCCUUAGGACCCACCUGGAUACUUGCCCCCAUCAGCGCACACGACGGGGACAGACAGCUCCCAGUCGUGUCUGCAACCGCAAGCACCCUAGGCUCCACGGCGUCUUUGUCCUCGUCAAGAGCGAGAUAUUUGACUCCCAACUGAUACCAUGUCUCCUUAUCAAUCAAUGUAUCCGGCAUGCUAUCCUCAUGCUCCUCCUUGCGGCAGGCCAUCUCCACAUCCUUCUGUUGGCUGCCAAUGGUGAUGCCCGACCCUCCCUGAGCCCCGGCAUCAGCCAGCAGCUGGCCUGCCACACCCCCAGUCCCCGAACUAGGCUGGUCCCCGUGAUUGCCGCAAGGGCGGGGAGGACCCUUGUCAGACCCUGGCACAGCAGGCCCCUCACCAGUGCGCUUCGGGAGACGCUCCACUUCCACUUUGAUGUCAUAACCCUCAUGAUUGAACAAAACUUGCACGAAUCCGUUCAGCUUGUCCGGGGCUUUGCAGCCAAACUGCAUCCUCACCUGUCCCAUACGGAUGAGAGAGAGCUCGUCCACCACGAUAGGCCUGCCCAACAUCUUGAGUCCUGCCAUCAGAUGAUCGACAUGGCGGUGCUUCUUGGGGAUGCCAUGGAGGCGAAGCCACACCUCCGGCAUGGAGAGAGGCAAAAUGGGUUCCUGGAUAGCGUCACACACCCGCACCGUAAUGUCAUUGAUGGACAGGAACAGUUACCACUCAAUUUGGCCAUGUGCAGCAGAUCCGCACAAGGGAAGAUAACCGCAAAAUCAUCACCACCCACUUGAGUAAUCUUCCAAUCCCAAUCCCCAGCCACCAUGUGCUUCAGCUCCUGCUUGAGCACGUGCAGCGAGAGCCUCCCUGGCUCCGUCGACAAGAUAGCACCAUUAGCAGCCACCGGGUCCGAGCCCUCCACCUCCUCUUCUUCCUCGAACUCCAAGCAGGAAAAGCCUUCGCCCGGAAUAGCACUGCCCAUGAUCUGGAGGUGCAGAUGCUUGCCCCACGACGGGCAAAAGGCCGAGGCACAACCUUCCUACUUACAGAUCACGCAGAGGGGGGGGGGGAGGUGCACUUGGCCUGGAAAUGCCCUGUUCGGCCGCACUUGAAACAUUCGCCCCCCUCUUCUUAGACCCAGAUGGGCGCGGCCCCCGACCCUCGCAGCGCGUCCGGCAGCACCAUCGCCAGCGGGACGGCCGACGACCGCGGCUUCUUGGCCAGUGGAUCCCCGUGGCCCCCACCACAGAGGGGGUGCUCCCGAGGCUUGCGCUCCAGCUCGCGCCGCCUCGCCCCAUGCUUGCGCUUCUCCUUUCGCUCCUGCUGGCCUCACCAAGGGGGAGGAGGACCCCAAUCCCCCUUGCGCCCGCGAGAUCCAGAGCCAAAACUUUUACCAUGGCCACCCCCAUAAUCCUGGCCGAAGCCGCAACCUGGACCUUGCUCAAAACCACCUCCACCAUCUUCACGCCCCGACGACCUGGCCCGCUGGCCGCGCUUCGCCUGCUCCCGUAGCACCUUCUCACGCCACCGCUCCUCGUCAGGGAUCGGAGAAUCCAUCAGCCUCUUCUUUGCACGCCGAUCUGCCAUGGCUGCCACCGCAGUGAAGGAGCGGGUGAGGGGGGAGGAGGGUGAAGUGGAGAGAGAGAUCUGGCAAAACGCCUGAAACGCUGCACCUCACUGGGACGAGCCUGAAACACUAGGGAGGGGUCGCGCACGCCCCUGCGCAGCCAUAUAUAGCGCCACGACCCGGGCUCACGGGCUCCAUCCUCGGCAGGCCGAGAGGUACUGGGCACAACUGGGCCAGGCCCAGCAGCAGCGGUCACUUGUCCCUCCGCUGCCCCGCAGGAUGCCGCCCUAGAGAGCGGUUGGGCCCCAAGACAGCCUGAGGCCGGCCCAGGCCCAACAGGCGGAAACAGGCCCAGGGUAGGUGCCACGCACGUCAGCGGCAACCCUAGCGUGACGGCCGUCUCCGCCACCCGCGCCGCCACCGCCGACAGCAUCGCUGGAGCGGGCACGAGAGGGAGCACCGGCCUCUCCUCAGCCGACAUUGGGGCCGCCACAGGGCCAGGGGGCGGCGAGGCAGCGGGGGGCACCCGCAGGCACGUCACCGAGGGCACCGGCGGCCACCAGCACCGCACCACCGUCGCACGAGAUCCACUGCCACCCGGAGCGAACCGACAGCGACGGUCUCCCCGAGUGGCGCCGGCCGCCACCGCCACCUGCAAGAACUCGCCAAGGGUCACACCCGCCGGCGGAGGAGCCAAACGCGGCGAAGAGAACCCGUCCUCCUCGUGGGACUCGUCCUCCGCCAGAGCCCAGAAACGGCCACCGCACGCCCCCCGCCCCACCUCCGAGGAGCCCACCUGAGCAGGGCACGCCGGGGUGCCGCUGGGCCCCGCCACACCUGCUCCCACGCAUCGGCCGCGACGAGAUCGCCGGAGGGGACGGAGGCGCCGCACGCGACGCCCAGGGCCACCCCUAACGGCUCGCAUGAUUCGAAACUCAUCCUCCUCUCCCGAUCCACCGUUGUUAAACUGUAACUCAGCCCCUCCAGCAGUCCCAUUUCAACACAUGACGGGAACUCGAUCAGCUGAGCAGUUCACGACGGAACUUCCAAAAGGAUAGUUUGUUACCUGUUAUCACCAUGUCAAAAGAAAAAAGUUACAAGUUAACACGUACAGGUGUGUUAGUAGUCUAGUAAGCUGACACGAUCUUCAAGAUCGAACUUUGACCACCAAUUGUAUUGAAUGAAUUAAAAAAGGAAUAACAGUUCUGGUUGUCAGAGGAUCCUAGGAAGAAAAAAGAGGAAAAACAAACAUAGUGCUAGUACCAAUAAAAAUAAGUCCUUACAAAAAAAAACUUCCUGCUAGAAAUCAAUCUGAAUUUGUUAUGAUCAACGUACAUCUGUCAUGCUAGCUUAGCCCGCGCGGCGGCACGCCGCGCCUGUCGAUCAGUCGCGACUAUGUAGACUAUGGUCGAAGCAAUAGAGUAAUAAAUAGUUAUUCCCUAUUAAUUAAAGAGAUGUACAAUACGUUAUGAUGAAAUUUGUUGUAUAACUUGAGGCUUUUAAGCAAAUUGUUUUGUUCACGACAAUUUAUAGACACGCGUAUCUAUUUUUAUGUAAACUUUUAGCUUUCCGUCCACCAAGUUGAAACAAAUACACAACAUGGCCAAAAGUAAGGAACUUCAGAACAAUGCUUUCGGUAGCUAAACUUUAACAAACUUACACAUUUCAUAACAAAAAAAAACUAAAACGUACAUCUGAUCCAAAGUACAACCAUUGAAACAGUAAAAAUAUCAACUAUUUUGAUCAUCACAAAAGAAUUAAUGUGCAUUUCUUGGACAAAAAUUAGAGAUAAAAUAAUUUAGCAAGAAAAAACUAUUUCAGAUCACAAAAGUUGCUCCAAAGAGUAAUUGUGUAUCUCUAUUACCUAAAAGAAACGGAGUGUUCCCUCUCUCGUCUUACAUGAAUUGUCUCGUCGACACCCCCAACCUCAGACUUUCCCUUCGUGCAACAUAUCGUCCCUCCCGAUUCGCUUAUUUAUUCGCUCGCGAAAUUCCAGCUCAGUUUCGUGUUUUUAGUCCUCCCAAACCCGUAUCCCGGUCCCCUUAUUUAAUUGCUCCCGUAAUUCUCGUUUUGUUUCCUGUUUUUUCGUGCUCUUAAAGCCGCCCAGCCCGAUCUUCCGCCCCCGCAUCCCGUCCUUUCUCUUGCUCCGCCCAUGGAAGAUGCUAAGCAGGAGAAUGAGCAACAACAGCGAGCAGAUCAGCCGCGGUGCUUGCUGGUAGAGGCGCGGUCGAUCGGUGUGCAAGGCGAGCGCCUGUACACCCUGCAGCUGUGGAGAACUGGAGAUAUGUAGAAUCGGUGAAAUCCCAUGCACGCACCCCCACACACGAUCUCAUCCAAUCCCACCAACGAUCCGCUUCUCCCGGCUGCCGUUACGCGGCCUUUCCCAUCCUCACAUUCACCCGCUGGUGAUGCCGCGACCGGUGUGGCGAUAUGCCUUCGCUCGCUCUAGGUUUUUUUUUAUCGAGGAAGUCAUAUCCUGAGGCCGGGAAGAUCUCAUCCUUCCAUGCUUCUUCCCUACGCGGCAUCCUGCUGCAUGCCAGUUGUGUGCAGGUACAAUUCUUCAGCAUGCAACCUGUUCAAUAGAAUGUUUACCAUGCCUUUGGUAGAAGAUAGACUGUAGUAUAGUCUUUAUUUUGUCCCUCCCUUGGUUAGUCUUUCGAUCUACUGGUCUUUUAUGAGGCUUGGCUUUUUGAUAUAGAAAAUUUGGCAUAUAUUUUGACUGUUGUUGUAUGUCUUACGACAGACAGAAGCUAACUUUUGUUUUUCCAGCUCGUGCACUGAGAAAGGCUUUUGAUGUAGCAAUUGUAACAUAUCGAAUAUAAUUAAUUUCUUUUUAACUAUUUUUGUGCCGUUUCACCUCUUACAUGCUCUGUUAUUGGCAACACAAGUCCUAUGCAAAAAUUGUUUAACACAUGCGUCUAUGUCCCAUCGUUUUUGGGAUGAGGCAUAUCUUUCAGCUUGCUACCUCAUAAAUCGACUUCCUAGUCGUGUCAUUGGCAACACAAGCCCUAUGCAAAAAUUGUUUAACACCAAACCCGACUAAACAUCUCUUCGAAUGUUUGGUUGUGCUUGUUGGCCCAACUUGCGCCCCUACAACACACACAAACUUGAUUUUCGAUCUCAACAAUGUAUCUUUGUCGGGUACAUCAUUCGUCACAAGGGCUACAAGUGCUUACACUUGCCCACUGCCCGCGUGUACAUCUCUCGCGAUGUCACGUUUGACGAAAAGGUUUUUCCAUUCGCUAGUCCUCUUCCCUCCCCCAUACAACCCAGGGUAGUUGAACAUGCCAUAUUGUUAUUUCCGCAUGACCACAUGAACUAUUGUACACCUGGUUUGCAUGCUGACUUGGAUGCAGGAUCUUCCAUGGCGCAGAAAAUCCCAGGCAAAACCACCACGGGAGCCCAGGAGGAUCCUGGUGACCGAUCCGAGGCUGAUCCGGUCUCGGAUCCCGCGUUAUUGGCGGACAGCAGCGCGUAUUCCCCAGUGUCAGGCAGCGGUGGUGCAGCGGCCUCCACAGUGGGCCGCGUGGCGCCCGCUGACGGGCCGACCUCCCCUCCACCCGCGCCAGUGGCGGGGUCCACACCUGGGCCGGCUUUCCCCCAGCCCGACAUGCCUCGAGCCGAGCCACACGUGGAUUCAGGGUGGGCCGCUGCUGCAGUUCCUGCCACCCCGCCAGCUACCGACUCGGGAUCCCAUGCGGAUCUCGGUCCCGCUCGCCCCGCCGCUGGUACGGGAUCCUAGGAGGAUCUCUCGCCUGGAUCCGAUGCUCCACCCGGCCACACCAUGGUGACUCGCCUACGUGAAAACACACGCAAGGCCAUGCAACACACCGAUGGCACGAUCACGUAUGACCCGUCUCGACGUGCGUUUCUCGCGUCGCAAGAACUUACUGAUCAUCGUGAAGCUCUCCAUUCUCUCGCGUGGCGUGCGGCCCUUCAUCACAAUGGCACCUAGUCUUUGGUUCCACCACCAUCUAAUGUCAACGUGAUCGACUGCAAAUGGGUUUUCACAUUCAAGCACAAGGAGGAUGGAACAGUUGAUCGUCAUAAGGCACGACUCGUUGCCAAGGGGUUCAAACAAUGAUAUGUCUUGGACUAUGAUGAUACAUUCAGUCCCGUCGUCAAACCGAUCACUGUUCGCUUGGUUCUCUCCAUUGCAGUCUCUCGUGGGUGGUGCUUGCGUCAACUAGAUGUCCAAAAUGCCUUUCUUCAUGGCGUUCUUCAAGAAGAGGUGUACAUGCGACAACCCCCUGGUUUUGUGGAUCCCAGGGCUCCACGACAUCUUUGCAAGCUCAGGAAAGCAAUCUAUGGUCUUAAACAAGCUCCUCGAGCGUGGUAUUCCAGGCUCAGUUCUCGGCUUCUUCAACUUGGUUUUGUGGCAUCUAAGGCUGACACCUCCUUGUUUGUCUUUCAUCAUGCUCGUGUCACCAUGUUUAUGCUUGUGUAUGUGGAUGAUAUCAUUGUGGCCAGCUCGUUUCCUACUGCUACCACCAAGUUGCUGGAUGAUCUUCAGGCCUCUUUUGCCAUCAAAGAUCUCGGUCCUUUGCAUUAUUUCCUUGGAUUUGAGGUGAGAUCGUCGCCAGGGGGGAUUGUACUUUCUGAACAGAAGUAUAUUGGUGACAUUCUUCAUCGAGCAAAUAUGGAGAAUUGCAAUAUCUCCACCACACCCAUGUCUUCGGCCGAGAAGCUCACCAAGGAAAGUGGGUCGCCAUUGUCUCAAGAUGAUAGCACCAAGUAUUGUAGUCUGGUUGGUGCUCUUCAAUAUCUAACACUUACCAGGCCAGAUAUAUCCUUUGCAGUAAACCGUAUUUGCCAGUUUCUUCAUGCACCUACAAUUACACAUCUCUCUGUAGCUAAACGGAUUUUGAGAUACAUAAAGUAUACUCGGAGCAUGGGCCUCUCUAUAAGAAAAUCCCCUUUAAUGUUGUUAAGCUGUUUUUCUGAUGCAGAUUGGGCAGGGUGCAGUGAUGAUCGGAGGUCUACUGGUGGUUUUGCUGUAUUUCCUGGUCCUAAUCUUGUGUCCUGCAGUUCGAGGAAACAAGCCAUGGUUUCUCGCUCAAGCACAGAGUCUGAGUAUAAAGCACUUGCAAAAGCUGAGAUAAUCUGGAUCCAGUCAAUCCUUGGUGAACUUGGUGUUUUCAUGGCAAGACCACCUGUGUUGUGCUGUGAUAACUUGGGAGCUACUUAUCUAUCUGCUAAUCCAGUAUUUCAUGCCAGGACUAAGCACAUAGAAGUAGACUUUCACUUUGUUUGAGAGAGAGAGUUGCAGCCAAGGCAUUGGAUGUUCGGUUCAUCUCUUCUAAAGAGCAGGUUGCUGAUAUAUUCACAAAGCCAUUGGCUGAGACGAUGUUUGUCUCAAAUAGAUACAAUAUGAACCUUCUUGAGGGAAGUUUAGAUUGAGGGGGGAUGUGAAACAUAAUGUUGUUAUAGAUUAGGAGGCUGUUAAUAUCUGUAGUUAUUACCUUAUCUCUUGUAACAACCUAUGUAAUCUCGGCUCUGCCAUGCCCUAGAGGCUGCAUAUAUAAAUACUCCCCCGGCCGCCCUAUGGGUUGUGUUGAAUCCCAAUCUCCUUCUUCUGUCUCACAACGAAGAGUUCUUGGACAAGAAUUCUAGUAAUGAAGAAUUGGCUAAGGAAAGAGGACAUGCAAAUUGAGAUGAUGUUAUUAGUGAAGGAUGCUGGAAACUGUAUUACUCCAUCAACUGAUGUUAUUUUCAUUGGUAUUGCUUGAAGUUUCACCGAUAUUCACAUUCUUAGGAGUUGGACCUACUUCUUGUGCUGUGCUUUCUCUUACCCACGGAGCUUUCUGUGAAGGAUAAGUUGUGCACAAAUGCUAAUAAGUUAUAUUAAAAAAACAAGACAGGAAUAACAUGCUGACAAGGAAAAUGUUUUAAAAUAAUUUGGGCUGAAGAAGGUGCUCUUGUUGGGGUAGAACUAGGUUCUCUCACAGAGGCUGAACUAGGUACUCUUAUUGGUGGUUGAGACAACUGACAUGAUGCUACAUUGGUACAAUUGUGCCAGAAGGAUUUCCUUUUAGACAAGAUGUCCCAGCUUAUUUGCAUAGUCCAAGUCUUAUGACAGUCCCAUGCUUACUGACCCUAGUGUUUUUUGAUUUCUCCUCAGGUUCUCCUGCCCUAAUUGUCUUUGUUCUAUCUAACAGAUGUGGAGGUUCUGGCUUUGGUUUGUCUGACACGCACCAUGAGGACAUGCCCUCCAUAUGCUGAAGGAGCCCCGUUUGAGUAAGCAUUAUAGACAUUUGGCAAAUCGUAGACACUUUCUUAUGUAUACUAGAUGAAUUCCCCGUGCAGCGGAAAUUUGUAGUACUCAACCUAGCUAGUAUCUUUAUGGUUUCUCCUUUAGCAAAAUAAUUUGUUUACCAAUAUUUUUAAAAAUAAAUAAAUGUAUGUCUUUGUGUAAGUCGGAAAUGGAGCAAAAUGAAACAAAAUGUACAUGCAUCAAUUUUCUUUCAUGAACCACCAUAGUGUUAGCUACAUGCAUGUGUCAAGAGACUUUUCAGUAAUUUAAGAGCAACUCUAGCAGAACCCGCAAAAGGCCUCGACCCGCAAAAUAACCGUCAAAAUGCGGGCCGGCGGUGAAAAUCCUGCCCGAACAGAUCGUGCAAACGCGGCCGGCCCGCAANNNNNNNNNNNNNNNNNNNNNNNNNNNNNNNNNNNNNNNNNNNNNNNNNNNNNNNNNNNNNNNNNNNNNNNNNNNNNNNNNNNNNNNNNNNNNNNNNNNNNNNNNNNNNNNNNNNNNNNNNNNNNNNNNNNNNNNNNNNNNNNNNNNNNNNNNNNNNNNNNNNNNNNNNNNNNNNNNNNNNNNNNNNNNNNNNNNNNNNNNNNNNNNNNNNNNNNNNNNNNNNNNNNNNNNNNNNNNNNNNNNNNNNNNNNNNNNNNNNNNNNNNNNNNNNNNNNNNNNNNNNNNNNNNNNNNNNNNNNNNNNNNNNNNNNNNNNNNNNNNNNNNNNNNNNNNNNNNNNNNNNNNNNNNNNNNNNNNNNNNNNNNNNNNNNNNNNNNNNNNNNNNNNNNNNNNNNNNNNNNNNNNNNNNNNNNNNNNNNNNNNGCUUCAUCGCGGGCGGCCGGAUUUGGCCUUUCUGGGCCUCCGCCGGCUGCACCAAGCUAUGGAAUGGUCGGGGAGCACCUCGCACGGCCCCGACAAAGGUGCAUCUCCGCUCACCGCCGCCGACGGUUUGCCGGGAUGGAUUCUGCCGUACGUCCGUCGGGCUCAGCCCUCGCGCAAAUGCUCUGUGGCUCGCCAAUGCCGCUCAUACAGUGUGAUUAUUGCCCGCGGACAGUGCUACGGCUGACUUCGGGCACGCCGAAGCACCCCGGAUGGGUGUUCUUCAAAUGCGAAAACGACGGGGUACGUGUUGUUUUUCAUUCGGCUCAUUUCAAUAGCUCAUUAUGUUUGCUCAUUUCGAACAUCAUCAUGCAUGUAGGAAGAUGGAUGCUGAUUUUGGUUUUGGGAAGGCGAAUACAUUGAUUUAGUGAUAGAAAGAAAACUGAUAGACGUUCAUGCACUCCUUAGUGCAAUCGAAGGCAAUGAAACGCAUGCAUGUGCAACUAGAGGGGAAGCAACAUCUACUUCUUUCUUAGAACCAAAGAUGAAGAAUGAAGAAUGCAAGAUCAAGAAUCUGCAAAUCAACAGUGAGUGCAUGGAGAAGAUAUUGCUUCAACUAGUGGGAGCUGUUAUGGAAGUUGGAAAUGUUCUAAAAUGCAUACUUGUGGUUCUUGUUUUCUUUGGUCUUACUUUUCUAGCAAAGAUUUGGUGAUGUCUUAUGUAUUCAGUGUGGUUGAAAAUGCAGAGAAAUGCAAAUUGAGGUGCAAAUUUACAUUUUGGGGGCGGGGAGAGGAUGGCGGUAGAAGCAGACUCCGCAAAGCCGAUCAGUAAAACAUGAUGCGAGUCAGCUUUGCGGGGUCUGCCUCUUCCGCUUUGCGUUGCGCACUACAAAACAGUUUUUCCGCAAACUGCAAGCGUGAAAUGCGGGUCACCGAGAUGCAGGGUCUACUAGAGAUGCUGUAAGCAUCAGUUUCUGCAUGCAUGCGUCAGCUACCACAUCGCUUGGUGCAUCUGCUCUCAACUUGUAGAUUGGAUGGCUAUUAUAGACUAAUCUAGUAUAUCCAACGGCUAAAUUAAUUUGGGUGACCGUGAGGCACUCACUCUUGAUUAUCCUUGAUCAAUAAACCAUGACAUUCCCUAAAAAAGGCUAUCCUGAUCAGGCACUGCGAUGGAUUAUUUCAGCAUCAGGCAAGUAAUAGCUUCUAGAAAUAAUUAUAACACUAAAAUUGCACCAAUAUAUACAGCAGGCAAACAUCCAUAUAUUCAGCUGCGCUAAUAAGUGGAACACCUGCUGCGGGCCUCCCCGCUCCUCCCCCUCGCCUCCCCGCCCCUAACCCUAACCGCGCCGCCAGCCGCCCCUCCCCGCUCCUCCCCCGCUUCGCAACCGCUGGAGGGGACACCGGUGAAGCCCACGUGGUCCCCAGGGAAGGUGGCGGCGGGGUCUGGCGCCUGCUGCCCAUGAGGCGGCGUCCCUCACGGCGGCGGGGCUGCCCCUGAACAACGCUUGGUGGUGGCCACAUGGCGGCGCGCGGGUGGGUCGGAUCUGGGCUUCCAGUCUACGUGCUCGUAGUGGCAGCGCUUGCUGUUGCUCUCAGCCAUGAGGCGUGGUCUGGGAUGGGCCUAGCGUCGGUGGUGCUGGCCAGGACGCACGCUGGCAGCGCCCUACUUCAUCUCGCGUCGUCUCAUUGGCCCAUGGUGGUGGUCAUCUUCGUCGUCAAAGAUGGCCGGACAGAGGCUUGGUGAUGGGAUAUUGAGAUCCAUCAUCUAGUCCCGGCUGCGAGUUGGGGAGACAUGGUUACCGGUGAAAACCGAGUCGUUGGUAGGCGAUGGCGGCGUUCUACGCUGUUACCUUGAUGGAGGCAUUGUCGUGUAACUACUGUCGACCCACUCGUGCUGCUCUCGGGGAAAUCCUAGGAUCUGGUGUUCCAGAUCGGAUGAUGGCGGGACUGCGGUGUCCUUUCUCUCUUGGGAGUAUCGUUUGUGGAGCAGCGCUGGAAGUCGGAGGCAGGAGGUGGAGCGGCUUCGUCUUGCACGGUGCUUGGGUGGAAAUGUCAAGUCAUGCCUGACCGACAGGUGCUACGCUUUGUCAUGCCUGGUCGGCAGGUGCUACGCACGACAGAUCUUCCAAAGAUUUCAAGCUGUGUCGGCUGGUGGUACUUGGCAGCAUGGUGUUGAGGUGUAUCAUUGGCGACUGUGAUGUGCACAGCUGUUUGCCCGCAGGGAGGAGGUGCCGUUGGGCGCCGUGGUGGCGUCGACGAUAUUUAGACCGACCAAGGUUGAUGCAUCGGUACAGUUCUGAAGAUGGAGCGGUGGCAGUUUGUGGCGGCGGCCUCUGAGAGCACGCCGGACCGGCGAGAUCCAUGCCCGGCAGGCGUCCUAGAUGGGUCCUCAGGUCUUCGAUGUUAGGUUUGGCUGUGAUGUCUGUUUGGUAUUAGGCCCAGGCUAUCUGCGCCCCUUCAUCAACUGGACAGGUGUAGCGACAGUUUGUUACUUAGACGGCGGCUUUAGUUUACUGUGGUAUUACUUUGUAAGGUCUUGUGAGAAUAAUUAAUAAAGUGGCCGUAUGCAUCGCCCAGAUGCAGAGGCCAGGGGUCAUCCUCUUUUUAAAAAAAAAAUAAUAAGUGGAACACAUUUGCUAAAUAAAUAUAGUGGACAAAUCACCGGUAGUGGGCAAGGAACACGUCCAAAAUAAAUGUAGCAAAAAACACAAUACAUCUAGUCACUUUGUCCAUUAGAAUAUUGUGCCAACUGGACUGGAAUUUGUACCUUUGGUAAGCUUGACGCAAAUGAUUGAUUGGCAGCAUCAAUACUCUGGAUACCUACGCACGGAGAAAGAAAAUAUUUUAAUCACUCGUACAGAAUCAUGAAUAUAGGCAAACACAUUUGAUGCCACACAGAACAUAGGACAAUUAGAGGAAGGAAUUACAUAAAAUACUCCCUCCGUUUCCUAAAUAUAAGUAUUUUUCGAGAUUCCACUAUAGACUACAUACGGAGUAAAAUAAGUGAGUGUACACUCUAAAAUAUAUACUCCCUCCGUCCGGAAAUACUUGUCAUCAAAAUGAAUAAAAGGGGAUGUAUCUAGACGUAUAUUAGUUCUAGAUACAUCUCUUUUUAUUCAUUUUUAUGACAAGUAUUUGGGGACGGAGGGAGUAGUUUACAGUGGAAUAUCUAAAAAGACUUAUAUUUAGGAACGGAGGGGGUAUUUAACAGGAGAGGAGAUUCAGAACAUAACGACAAAAGUUAAACAGUAGAAGGAUUACACAACUAACAUUAUUGUGUGAGCACAUGAUGGUGGCAACCAUCAGUCCAUCACAUCCAUGUUUUAUAGCGUGAAUGUGUAGGUCGUGCAAAAAUAUCCGGUCAUCUUUGACCACAAGAGAAAAGUAAAUUCAAAUGGAAACAAAAGGAUGAUAAGCCUUCUCUAAUAAAAUUCUAUAUUAUAAAACACAACACAAUAAAAUACUACUCCCUCUGUAAACUAAUAUAAGAGCAUUUAGAUCACUAAAGUAGUAAUCUAAAUGCUCUUAUAUUAGUUUACGGACUACUUAUAAACAGUAGUGGCUGUGAAAUGAACCCCUAAUUAGUGCCUACUUCGAUGUCCCAUGCUUAUAUUUAAAAGCAUUGUUGGAUGAAGCAUUAAUGAAGUUGAAACGAUACUGCACAUUGCUCAAAUGUUACUGUGUACAUGGAUUACCACAAGUAAUCAACAUAUGCUUCAGGUAUUGAACAACUAAAAUGAAUUAGCAAGGGAUGGCAUAGAUAUGGUGUGCUGCCUGAAUGACAGAGUCAAGUAUUUGUUUAUUUCACACAAUGCGACGUAAACCUGAGAUGAUCUUCAAGGUCUAGUAGCUACCAAGGCUAUGUAUUGUCUCUCAGCCUUAAUCAUGCUAGCUGCAAACCUAUACCCAAGCAGUAAGCAUGUCUCGACAAUUAUAUGUCUUCAAAAGAUACGGUAGACGGAAAAGUAUAUACCAGGCCAUAAUCAAUAGCAAAUGGGUUUACUUCAUGUUUUUUACAACGAAGACGCCGAAGGCAUCCGGCUUUAAAUUAAUAAAGCCCACGAACAGGCAGAAUCCAACAAAGUUCAACACAGAACAACAACCAAAAAAGUGGCCGCAGCCAAGGUACUAAACAUGCCACCGGCCGAAGCCUGCACAAUAAGGAAAAUAAGCAGCAGCAGCUCGCAUACGGCCAAUCCAAAAGACAGCAUCCUGCGGACAGCUAGUGGCGGGCGCCAAUCUGGAUCAAAUGAAUCUGCUCCAUAGCCUCGGUGAUCUGGUCUGCAUCAUGCCGUUUCCCCAACAGUGUCCAUGUCUGGAGGAACAAGUGGCAUUUGAAAAUAAUGUCAGCAGGAUGAGAAGGAAAUUUGUGCUCAAUAGUCAUCUUGCUGCAUGUAGUCCAGAUGGCCCACAGCAAAGCACCCACGCAUCUCCAGAGCACAUGCCCGAAACUACCCCUAUGAGCGACAAGAAUUCCACGAAGAUCCGAAGAUGAAAGCGGGUUCCAAUUAUGAUCAAACGCCUCCCUAACCGCACUCCAAGCAAAGUGGGCAAGGUGACAUUUGAAAAAGAUGUGGUUGGCAUCUUCGUGCUGACCGCAGAGCACGCAAGAGCCAUCGGAAGGCCCGUUCCUAAUAGUGAUGUUGUUAGAGGAGGGAAAGCGGCCGCGAAACAUUUGCCAUAGGAAAAUAUUGAUCUUCAGGGGAAUAGACUCUUUCCAUAGCCCCCUAGCUAUGUCCAGGGUAGGUCCCUCGGUCAGCUUGUUGUAAAGGGAUUGGACAGAAAACUUCGCGCAGCGCGAGAAGGACAAAGAGACUGUGUCGGCCUCAGGGCGAAGAACCACUCCAUUCAAAGCAGCAACAAGCCCGUCGCAAUAGGCUCGUUUGCUAGCGAGGAGGGAUCUUUUGAAGGAGAUGGCGGGCGGGUUGGAGCUAAGCGCGUCGGCCACAAGAAUAUCUACGUUAGUGGCUAACUGAUAGGCAGCGAAAUGGCUCCUCCACAAGGGUUCCGAUCCAAACCAAUGAUCUAGCCAAAAGCGCAUAGAGGAACCGUUAUUGACGGAGAACUUGGCGCCUAACGUGAAGGCUAGCAUAACUUUCUGGAUCCCUUCCAGAAAGGAGAUCCCUUAGCUUUGGAGGUGAGAAAAUUCCCAUCAGGGAAAUAUUUGGCGCGGAGGAUGUCCGCCCAAAGCCCCUGCUCGUUUUGGGAAAGUUUCCAAAUCCACUUUGUGAGGAGCGCGACAUUAAUGAGUUUGGAGUUAAGGAUCCCAAGGCCCCCAUACUUCUUUGGGCGGCAUAGCGCGGCCCAUUUCAUCAAGUGGUACUUCUUUUUCACAACAGUACCUUCCCAAAAGAACUUGGACCGGGGAGUGUCAAGCUUGGCAUGAACCCCAUCAGCCAGCAAGAACAUGCCCCUUGUGAACAGAGGAAGGGAAGAGAGGCUGGAGUUAGUCAGGAUCAGCCUGGCCGCCGAGGAGAGGAACCGGCCGCUCCAAGGGCUAACCCGGUUCGCCACCUUGUUGUACAAGGGUUCCCAUUAUUCAAGGAUAGAAAUGUGUUUAUCCGAGAUAGGGAGGCCCAAGUACUUAAUUUGAAAGCUCCUUAGCUUGCAAUUAAGCAGGUUGGCGAUACGGGCAGCGAGGAGAUGGUCCAUCCCAAUGGCAAUCACCUCGCUCUUAAGGAAAUUGAUCUUAAGGCCUGAGAUGAUCUCAAACGCAAGGAGAAUGAGCUUGAUCGAAGCUACACUAUGAUCAUCGGGCUCAAAGAGCAACAAAGUGUCGUCCGCAUAUUGAAGGUGAGUAAGACCACCCGGGAUAAGGUGAGUAACAACACCGCGGAUGUGGCCGGCGUCCUUAGCCUUGUGUACCAUGGACGAAAGUGCCUCCGCAACAAAGUUAGAGAUCAAAGACGAAGAGGGAUCUCCCUGCCUGAGGCCUCAUUUGUUGCGGAAGAAGUUCCCAACCUCUCUAUUGAUAGACACAGUAGUCUGGCCUCCCAAGAGCAAGUGCAUAAUACGGUGAACAAAGCCUGGUUCGAAACCCUUCCGAAUCAGGACCUUGCGAAUGAACUCCGAGUUCACGCGGUCGUAGGCUUUCUCAAAGUCUAGCUUAAGGAGCACGGCCGGCUGCCGUGUGCGUUUAAGCUCAUGAAUAAUCUCCUGCAACACUACCGGCCCUUCAAGAAUGUUGCGACCUUUGAGGAAACCGGACUGACUACGGUCGAUAACGCGCUGAGUAACCGGGGCAAGUCUGGUCGCAUAAGCCUUAGAGCAGAUCUUGAAUGGCUCGUUAAUUAGGGUGAUCGGACAGUACUGCUUGAUAGUGUCGGCCGCUUUAACUUUGGGGGUGAGGCUGAAGACAGGGAAGUUGAGGCGCGAAACGUCUACCAUACCUAACGCGAAACCAUUAAUAAUCUUGUAAAAAGGCUCUUUAAGCGCGGGCCAGAAGCGGCGAAAGAAAGCGACCGGCCAGCCAUCCGGGCAAGGCGCAGUGUCUAUCUUCAUGGCUCCCACCGCUUCAUCAAUCUCCUCCAUGGAGAAGGACAGGGCCAAGGAAUCAUUCUCGGCUUGCGACACUUGGGCAUUUUCUCCCCAAAAGUCAGCACGAAGUUGCAAGGGCUUCUCCUCUGCUAUUCCCAGCAGGUUGAGGAAGAAACCAUAAAUGUGUGCAGAGAUCUCAGUCUGACUAACCAACACCCUUGAUCGGAUUGCAGUCUCAGAAUCAUGCAUUUCCGUUUACAGCCGUUGAGAAAGGCGUGGAAAUAUCCCGUAUUCGCGUCGCCCUUGGUAAUCCACUUGACACCGCCCCUACGGCACUAGUAUUCCUCCUCCUCCCUUAGGAGAGCAAGCACGUGGUUUUCUAGGGCAUAUCGAUUGGCCCAUUCAGCUUCCAAAAAGGGUCUUGAGUCAGCUUGAACGUCUAGGGUUUUUAUUUCAGCAAUAAUAGCUUCCCUAGCACGUUUCACAUUGCUCCCAUGGUUUGCACCCCACCCACGGAGGAAACAACGGAGGGCACCAGCCGCCGAAAUCCAAGUGUCAAGGGGACCACUGGAGCGGCCGACCGCAGCCCUUGCGCGCUCUCAGCACGCAAUGAGCAUGGGGUCGAAGCCAUCUACCUCAAACCACCCUAUUUCGAAGUAGAAACGAGGGCUACGCUUAAUCUGGUCCUCCCCAGAGGAUAAGAUCAGCGGCACGUGAUCCGACCCAAUGCACGUUUCCGCCACCAAUGUACACAUGGUAAAGAGCACUUCCCAAUCGAAGGUCACAAAGACACGAUCGAGUACACUACGUACCGGGGAGAGUUGUUUGUUUGUCCACGUAAAUCUAGCACCAGUCCUAGCAAUUUCCCGCAAGGCACAGGCCGUGAUAGGAUUAUUGAACAAGGUCACUCUAUGCCAGUCUAUGUUGCGGUUGUUCUUAUCCGCUCCCGAGGGGAUAAGGUUAAAAUCGCCCCAAGGACAAUGGGAAUAUUGGCAGCUUGUUUGGCCCCAACCAGGCUUUGGAUUUCACCCAAGAAAUUAGCCGCACGAGAGUGAUAAGCCGGUCCGUACACGCAUACAAUCGCCCAAGAAGCAAAGGAAAUCCUGUGUUUGAUCGUGAACAAAAUGAAAAAGACACCUGCAUCCCAACUUACAACAUCACAUACAUCACUAUUACAUCCCAGAAGAAGACCACCCGAAUGACCACAGGAGGGAACCCAGCCCCACACAAAAUCAUUUCCUGAAGCGCGAUGAUGUCAAUACGCUCACGGGCAAUGUACUCUUUGAGUUGGGUGCGACGACCAGAAUGUCGGCAACCCCGAAUGUUCCAGAAAAGAUAACGCAUCAGAUAAUUCAAUUGCGAAGGAGCACCCCUCUGGAGGUCACCGGUUUUGUUACACGUUUUAUAGCCGGGGCACGCCUCGUCACUGGAGUUGCCAUCACCUCCCUAGUUUCAGCAUCCCCACCCGACACUACAACAGUCCCGACAGGGACGGGCACAACCAGGGCCGUGGCGGAGGCUUCCCUGGCCUUUGCCAACGCGGCUGCCUCAGCCAAAGCAGCUCGGGCUUCCUCGCGAGAACGAAUCAUUGAAACUAACUCCGCGCUCUCCGCACCUACUUUAAAACAGCUGUCGUCUAGGAUCAAGACAAGUUCAGGAUCUGACCAUGCAUUCAGAAUCUUAAAGGAGGGGGGGCUUACCUGAAGUUUUGAGGUUCUUCUCCGCCAGACGCAGCUGCGCGCUCUCCAUGGAAAACAGCUCACCCAGUUGGGCCUUGGCCCGGGCACUAGGAGCGCGUUGAGACAUCGGGGAUGCCCGAGAGCGCCGAGCCUUGGCCGACGUGCCCGCAGAGCCCAAAGCGGCCUGUAGGUCCACGCACACCGGCGCAUUAGGCGAAGGUUGGGAAAGCUCGGCAAGGUUGGCCGAAGGUUUCUGCCUAGCCAUCUUCUUGGAAGCACGCCCAGAGCCCCCCGAGCUGCGGCGACUAGAAAACGAGGUGUGCAUGAGUGGUUUGUUGAGCACCAUACCCGUGUCAGAGCCAAGCAUGCUGGGCGAGGCCGGAGCGACCAAAAGCAUAGAGCCAACAUCAGCCAACGCCUUAGGACCCACCUGGAUACUUGCCCCCAUCAGCGCGCACGACGGGGACAGACAGCUCCUAGUCGUGUCUGCAACCGCAAGCACCCCAGGCUCCACGACGUCUUUGUCCUCUUCAAGAGCGAGAUCUUUGACUCCCAACUGAUACCAUGUCUCCUUAUCAAUCAACGUAUCCGGCAUGCUAUCCUCAUGCUCCUCCUCGCGGCAGGCCAUCUGCACAUCCUUCUGUUGGCUGCCAAUGGCGAUGCUCGACCCUCCCUGAGCCCCGGCAUCAGCUAGCAGCUGGCCUGCCACACCCCCAGUCCCCGAACCAGGCUGGUCCCCGUGAUUGCCGCAAGGGCGGGGAGGACCCUUGUCAGACCCUGGCGCAGCAGGCCCCUCACCAGUGAGCUUCGGGAGACGCUCCACUUCCACUUUGAUGUCAUAACCCUCAUGAUUGAACCAAACUUGCACGUAUCCAUUCAGCUUGUCCGGGGCUUUGCAGCCAAACUUCAUCCUCACCGGUCCCAUACGAAUGAGAGAGAGCUCGUUCACCACGAUAGGCCUGCCCAACAUCUCGAGUCCUGCUAUCAGAUGAUCGACAUGGCGGUGCUUCUUGGGGAUGCCAUGGAGGCGAAGCCACACCUCCGGCAUGGAGAGAGGCACAAUGGGUUCCUGUAUAGCAUCACACACCCGCACCGUAAUGUCAUUGAUGGACAGGAACAGUUACCACUCAAUUUGGCCAUGUGCAGCAGAUCCGCACAAGGGAAGAUAACCGCAAAAUCAUCACCACCCACUUGAGUAAUCUUCCAAUCCCAAUCCCCAGCCACCAUGUGCUUCAGCUCCUGCUUGAGCACGCGUAGCGAGAGCCUCCCUGGCUCCAUCGACAAGAUAGCACCAUUAGCAGCCACCAGGUCCGAGCCCUCCACCUCCUCUUCUUCCUCGAACUCCAAGCAGAAAAAGCCUUCGCCCGGAAUAGCACUGCCCGUGAUCUGGAGGUGCAGAUGCUUGCCCCGCGACGGGCAAAAGGCCGAGGCACAACCUUCCUGCUUACAGAUCACGCAGAGGGGGGGGGGAGGUGCACUUGGCCUGGAAAUGCCUUGUUCGGCCGCACUUGAAACAUUCGCCCCCCUCUUCUUCGACCCAGAUGGGCGCGACCGCCGACCCUCGUAGCGCGUCCGGCAGCACCACCGCCAGCGGGACGGCCGACGACCGCGGCUUCUUGGCCGGCGGAUCCCCGUGGGCCCCACCACAGAGGGGGUGCUCCCGAGGCUUGCGCUCCAGCUCGCGCCGCCUCGCCCCAUGCUUGCGCUUCUUCUUUCGCUCCUGCUGGCCCCACCAAGGGGGAGGAGGACCCCAAUCCCCCUUGCGCCCGUGAGAUCCAGAGCCCUGGCCGAAGCCGCCACCUGGACCUUGCUCAAAACCACCGCCACCAUCUUCACGCCCAGACGACCUGGCCCGCUGGCCGCGGUUCGCCUGCUCCCGUAGCGCCUUCUCACGCCGUCGCUCCUCGUCGGGGAUCAGAGAAUCCAUCGGCCUCUUCUUUGCACGCCGAUCUGCCAUGGCUGCCACCGCAGCGAAUGAGCGGGUGAGGGGGGAGGAGGGCGAAGUGGAGAGAGAGAUCUGGCAAAACGCCUGAAACGCUGCACCUCACUGGGACGAGCCUGAAACACUAGGGAGGGGUCGCGCACGCCCCUGCGCAUCCAUAUAUAGCAUCGCGACCCGGGCUCACGGGCUCCAUCCUGGGCAGGCCGAGAGGUACUGGGCACAACUGGGCCAGGCCCAGCAGCAGCAGUCACUUGUCCCUCCGCUGCCCCGCAGGAUCCCACCCUAGAGAGCGGUUGGGCCCCAAGACAGCCUGAGGCCGGCCCAGGCCCAACAGGCGGAAACAGGCCUAGGGUAGGUGCCGCGCACGUCAGCGGCAACCCUAGCGUGACGGCCGUCUCCGCCACUCGCGCCGCCACCGCCGACAGCGUCGAUGGAGCGGGCACAAGAGGGAGCGCCGGCCACUCCUCAGCCGACAUUGGGCUGCCACAGGGCCAGGGGGCGGCGAGGCAGCGGGGGGCACCCGCAGGCAUGUCACCGAGGGCGCCGGCGGCCGCCAGCACCGCACCGCCGUCGCACGAGAUCCACUGCCACCCGGAGCGAACCGACAGCGACGGUCUCCCCGAGCGGCGCCGGCCGCCACCGCCACCUGCAAGAACUCGCCAAGGGUCGCACCCGCCGGCGGAGGAGCCAAAUGCGGCGAAGAGAACCCGUCCUUCUUGUCGGACUCGUCCUCCGCCAGAGCCCAGAAACGGCCACCGCACGCCCCCCGCCCCAGCUCCGAGGAGCCCACCUGAGCAGGGCACGCCGGGGUGCCGCUGGGCCCCGCCACACCUGCUCCCACGCAUCGGCCGCGACGAGAUCGCCGGAGGGGACGGAGGCGCCGCACGCGACGCCCCGGGCCACCCCUAACGGCUCGCACGAUUUGAAACUCAUCCUCCUCUCCCGAUCCACCGUUGUUAAACUGUAACUCAGCCCCUCCAGCAGUCCCAUUUCAACACAUGACGGGAACUCGAUCAGCUGAGCAGUUCACGACGGAACUUCCAAAAGGAUAGUUUGCUACCUGUUAUCACCAUGUCAAAAGAAAAAAGUUACAAGUUAACACGUACAGGUGUGUUAGUAGUCUAGUAACCUGACACGAUCUUCAAGAUCGAACUUUGACCACCAAUUGUAUUGAAUGAAUUAAAAAAGGAAUAACAGUUCUGGUUGUCAGAGGAUCCUAGGAAGAAAAAAGAGGAAAAACAAACAUAGUGCUAGUACCAAUAAAAAUAAGUCCUUACAAAAAAAAACUUCCUGCUAGAAAUCAAUCUGAAUUUGUUAUGAUCAACGUACAUCUGUCAUACUAGCUUAGCCCGCGCGGCGGCACGCCGCGCCUGUCGAUCAGUCGCGACUAUGUAGACUAUGGUCGAAGCAAUAGAGUAAUAAAUAGUUAUUCCCUAUUAAUUAAAGAGAUGUACAAUACGUUAUGAUGAAAUUUGUUGUAUAACUUGAGGCUUUUAAGCAAAUUGUUUUGUUCACGACAAUUUAUAGACACGCGUAUCUAUUUUUAUGUAAACUUUUAGCUUUCCGUCCACCAAGUUGAAACAAAUACACAACAAGGCCAAAAGUAAGGAACUUCAGAACAAUGCUUUCGGUAGCUAAAAUUUAACAAACUUACACAUUUCAUAACAAAAAAAAAACUAAAACGUACAUCUGAUCCAAAGUACAACCAUUGAAACAGUAAAAAUAUCAACUAUUUUGAUCAUCACAAAAGAAUUAAUGUGCAUUUCUUGGACAAAAAUUAGAGAUAAAAUAAUUUAGCAAGAAAAAACUAUUUCAGAUCACAAAAGGCGCUCCAAAGAGUAAUUGUGUAUCUCUACUUCCUAAAAGAAACGGAGUGUUCCCUCUCUCGUCUUACGUCAAUUGUCUCGUCGACACCCCCAACCUCAGACUUUCCCUUCGUGCAACAUAUAGUCCCUCCCGAUUCUCUUAUUUAUUCGCUCGCGAAAUUCCAGCUCAGUUUCGUGUUUUUAGUCCGCCCAAACCCGUAUCCCGGUCCCCUUAUUUAAUUGGUCCCGUAAUUCUCGUUUUGUUUCCUGUUUUUUCGUGCUCGUAAAGCCGCCCAGCCCGAUCUUCCGCCCCCGCAUCCCGUCCUUUCUCUUGCUCCGCCCAUGGAAGAUGCUAAGCAGGAGAAUGAGCAACAACAGCGAGCAGAUCAGCCGCGGUGCUUGCUGGUAGAGGCGCGGUCGAUCGGUGUGCAAGGCGAGCGCCUAUACACCCUGCAGCUGUGGAGAACUGGAGAUAUGUAGAAUCGAUGAAAUCCCAUGCACGCACCCCCACACACGAUCUCAUCCAAUCCCACCAACGAUCCGCUUCUCCCGGCUGCCGUUACGCGGCCUUUCCCAUCCUCACAUUCACCCGCUGGUGAUGCCGCGACCGGUGAGGCGAUAUGCCUUCGCUCGCUCUAGGUUUUUUUUUAUCGAGGAAGUCAUAUCCUGAGGCCGGGAAGAUCUCAUCCUUCCAUGCUUCUUCCCUACGCGGCAUCCUGCUGCAUGCCAGUUGUGUGCAGGUACAAUUCUUCAGCAUGCAACCUGUUCAAUAGAAUGUUUACCAUGCCUUUGGUAGAAGAUAGACUGUAGUAUAGUCUUUAUUUGUCCCUCCCUUGGUUAGUCUUUCGAUCUACUGGUCUUUUAUGAGGCUUGGCUUUUUGAAAUAGAAAAUUUGGCUUAUAUUUUGACUGUUGUUGUAUGUCUUAUGGCAGACAGAAGCUAACUUUUGUUUUUCCAGCUCGUGCACUCAGAGAGGCUUUUGAUGUAGCAAUUGUAACAUAUCGAAUAUAAUUAAUUUCUUUUUAACUAUUUUUGUGCCCUUUCACCUCUUACAUGCUCUGGUGAUUUCUUAGAUGUCUGCAAGUGACAAGAACAUGUCAUGAUGGUUGUCUUAUUGCCCUCUGUAGGCCUUUAAAAACAUGUCGUGAUUGAUCUGUUCCCCACUGGUAUAUUGAAAGUUCUAGGUCUAUACAUGUAUAUUGAUUAGAAAGAUCUUGCAAAUUUGGAAGCAAAAACGAGGUAUAAACUAGACAUUAGUUUUUAGGUUAAUUCUGUAAUGCAAUUUCAACUUCCUGUGGACUUUUAAAAUAAUUGUUUUGUUUGCCUGCAGUAUGUUCGUCCAGCGAAAGGGAUGCUCUUUAGUGGAAAAUUCUGAAAGCUUAUUCAGCUUUGAUGUAUAGCGGGCAUAGUUUAUUAAUAAUCUCUAUGAACACUUGUACAAAUGGUGACAAAAAAGUUUUUUAUACCAUGAAAUCAUGACAUAGAAUGUAUUAUUCACGUGUAUACCUUCAAUGUGGAUUAUAACAUGAUGUACCUUGUCAGGAACUUUCCUUCUCGGAGACUAGUUUCGUUUCAUAUUCAUGCACUAGCUUCUCUGGGGAUAUUGAAAUUUUUGCUUCUACUAUCUUUUUCUGGAUUCAUUGAAAUAUCCCCUUGCACGGAAAAUUGAUUUCUACUGAAGUUUUGCCAAGAUAAUCAGACUUCUUGUACUAAAAUUUACCAUGUUACUGUUGUAUUAUAAUUUACUGAAAUUUGGUAUUUUUGUACUAAAAUUUGCCUUUUUUUACUCUGGUACUAACAUUUAACUAAUUUUGUCGGAAGGAAGAGCUCAAGGGAGCAAAAGGUACAAGGAGAAAGGAGCGCUCAAGAGAAGUUAACUCAAAAUCCAAGAUGCGAUCUUCACAUAGCUCACAAAUCUUGAACAGUAAACACGUACUACUUGAUUCGUGAUGGCAUUGGACCAGACGACACACAACAUCCAAUUCUAUAAUAACUUUACAAGUUGAGUGUACUUGAUUCCUAUGUUGUUCCUCUUUAACUUGUUCGUUGAACUGGUUUGGUUUAAAUUAUAUAUGAUAAAAUUUAGUUCUAAUUUUAUUUUGAUAGUGAGCUUUUUUGAAAUUCAGUCAUUAGUUUUCACACCAGUUGCUUGGAUUUGAGAGGAGAAAAUAGAGGGUGGAAGAAGACAAUAGUGAUUUUGUGGUACAAAAAAAGUUGGCUAUAAUUUACUUUGUAUUAAAUAUGGUAUAUCUUUAGAAUGUGCAUCCUAUCGAAGAUACAUAUUUCACACAUUCAUGUUGAACCACCGGAAUACUUAUGUCCCCGUUGCAACGCAUGGGCAAUUUCCUAGUAUUAUUCAAAAGAAGACUUUGUUACCUUCAGGUUUUAAUUAGCCGACUGUAUCUUGUGCAUGCAGUGAUAUAAAUUCUUACCAUAAACAGCAAAAUUAAGCAGGUCUUAAUAUAGAAACAACCAUAUCACUCGGAGUCAAGAAUGAUGUGAUGAACUGAUGAUGGGAAAUCUAUGGUAGCAUGCAUAUACCCAGGAAGCAAUGUUCAUGGAAACUUUGUUAAACAACCCAUGAUCAGCUUAAAAGCAUUCCUUCCCGUGUCUCCACUGAAACAAAGCAAUAUUUAUACACCCACAGAUCAGAACAAUAUGAGCCAUUGUUUGAUAUUAAACCAAUAAUGCUUGAACAUAUUUGUUUUUCUACCUCACUAUGUGGCGGCCAGAAAAAGCUUUAACAAAUUAAAAACCACAUGCAACUUGAACUUGAGAGCCUCUUCUUAUUUCUCAAAAUGGCAGGAGGAAGGGACCUUAAUUUUUCCUAGUAACCCCAUGAAUAUAAUUAGCCAAAUAUUCUGCAUUUCAUCUCAUUACACCAGUCAUGCUGAUGGAGGGAACAUCAAUAAAAUUAGGCAUAAGCAAUCCAUCAAAUGAAGAGAGAUGUAUUUAGAAAUAAGAAUAACGAACUUUCUCAGAUACUAUGUACCUUAUCCUACCAUUAAGAAUCUGUUCAAGAAGGUGAAGCAUUCACUUUUAUGUUACAGUUGCUGACAACGGACAACCGGGAAUGGAAAUAAAAUUCUUAGCAAUGCAUAUAUGAAUCUGAGUAACAUGACUUCGAAAAUAUAAUGUAAAAGAUCAUAAUAAACCACUGCUAUGUAUGUUCAAUAGUAAUACAACCUCGGUUUGUACCCCAGAAGUUUCUAUCACCAAAACAUCUUAGAAGGUUCAGUACCAGUGAUGUGCCCACCAUAAAACCGAAUGCCAAUUUUCAGUUAAAAAGGAAGCGCAAGACCAUGUUCUUCUGCCCCCAAGCGUAUAUGACGGAAUGGGGCCAACUAAAGACUGGCCCCAGGAUUCCAUUUUUAAUGUAUGUUGUUGCAUAAUGAAUGAGGGGCUUGUAUGCUUAGAUUACUAUUUGGUUUUUGAUGUGAUGAAAACUGGAGGGAAAAAUGCUGGACGGACUAAUUUGACCAAUCAUGUGAGUAGAAGUAUUAGAGUUUUGGCCAUCUCGUCCAUUAAAUUUGGAUGGAGGGAAUACAUGUUAAUAUGAUAAACAUAUAUGCAUAUUGUAUAUGGGUUAUAUACAUAUCAAAAUCACUUUUUUCUGAAACUAAACAUCUUGGUGAAGAGAAGUAUAUUGCGGAGUUCCAGUGUGAAAAUAUUGGUUUUAGUCCCUGGUCAAAUGGACCGAUGCAUAUUAUGUUUGGUUGUACCAUGAAAAAUAAUUUGGUUGCUUGAAGAUAUUCAACUGAGGUAGAUGAUGUAAUUUUGGCAGACAUGAAGUUCUACGAUCAUCAAUACAGCAGAAUAUGCGAAAGAUGGGGUAAAGCAAGUCCAGCAUAAUAUCUAGUUUGUUUAUUUGCUUGAGGAACACUUAUUUGCUUGGGGAAUAAUGAAGUGUGCUUGCACCGUUAGACAUGAGAUGAACUUGAACAAACGAUCUGCAUUCAUAUAUGCAUUGCACCAGAAAUCAGUGCUGCUCUGACUUGCCUUUGCAUUGCCUCUGAACCAGUGCUGCUCUGUACCAGAAACCGGGAAUUUACUCUUCAGGUCACUGCAUCUACUUUGUCGCGGUUAAACUACCAAACCCAAAGAAAUACCUGCAAUUUAUUUAAUAGUUGUAUCAGAUUUUUUGUUCAGAAUGUGUUAAGCUAUUUCUUUUGCCGAGCUACAUUCUUGUGCAUUGGAUUCUCAAGGAGCAUCACUUGGGAGACAUGUCUUCACAUACUACCAUUUCAUAACACCACACUCCCUUCACGCACAGGACAUACAGGUUCUACAUCCACCCCUCACACUCCUAAUUUACAACCUGAGUUGGCAGGCUAUUGUAAGGCAGGUAAGUAGCUUUCUAGAUGGAAUGUUGGAUUUCACUCUGGCAAGGUAGGUCUUAAACAGAUUAUCAUCUGGCUAUCUAUUGUUUGAGCUCCCCAUGCUGCUAACACCAUCAGAUAUUGUUUGAGCUCCCUAUGCUGCUAACACCAGCAGAUAUUGUUUGCUCCAGACAUCUUCAUAUGCCAAUUUGACGUUUUUUUGGUAGACACAGUACCUAGAACAUCCAAAUUGACUGCUUGCACAGGCCUCUGAUUUGACACAAUCAGAAGGAUAAAACACCCUCUAGAGCUCUUAUAGGCAGUCACCCAUCAUUUGACUUAGACUGAAGAAGGUGUCUAUAAAAAAAGGAAAAAAGGUAAAUGUAAAGAAACACAUAUAGGGUUGCACAUAAUUUGUAAGAGAUGAUCAAGGCAUAUAGUUGCAGCAAGUAGCAAAUGGCAUGAAUUUAUUCAUGAUGCACUCACGUAACAAGAGUGUAAAUCUUCUUUAGCUAGGUCCAAAUGCUCAUACAUGCAGUAUAGGAAUGAUGUGUGAUACGCAGUAUGUCAUUGUAGGUUUCAGACCUGAUGAAAAGUUUAUUACAGUACAGGAAAAACUAUCAUGGAACGAUUAUACAGUAUAGAAAUGAUGAGAAAUCGGAAAUUUCUGUAUAGGAAUGAUGUGUAAUAAAAUUCAUGAAAAAAUUAAUGUUGAAUUUGCAUUCAGAAACAUGCAGCAAGCUAGAGAAGAAUAAAGAAGAUGCAGAAUGUCUGAAACUUCUCAAAACUGGAAACAAUUAUACAAAAGCUACCUGAUAGAGCAUACAGGUCUAGGAAUCUGCCUAAUUCCGUGUCUCUUAUAGCCCAACGACCACGGCGUAAUCACCAUCACUGCCGCUCAACCAGAAUUCGAUCGAAUAAUACAGAGGGAAAUGCAGCAGUUAAUACGGCAUAAGGGCACACUAACUUGGCAGCAAGAUGGGUCGUAAGCGCCUUCAAUGAUCCUACGACCUGCAAAUGACAGUGUAUAGACGACACGCCUUUACUCUGAAUAACCGAGGAGGAGCUGUUUUUGUCAUCCACUCAAGCUACUUACAAUGUUAGAAGUCUAUAAAGUAUUGAAGCGUAGCGCUGUGAAUGGAUCACUAGUCCAGCAGCCUUAUGACACAUAAAAUAGGCAGAGGGAGCAUUAACAGGUCCCAUAACUCGGGGUCAGGCUUCUCGAGCACGAUGACGCCUGGUAGUAGAGCGCGGGCCUCUCGCACUGGUUGUGCGCCAGGGGCUUCGUGUUGAACGCGCGCGCCUUGUAGUCCGUGCAGGUACCAGUUCAUGAACGUCCGCGCCGGCAUCUCCAUCUCCCGCGCCAGCACGUCGCUCUCGCCACCGUCACCACGAACCCCUACGGCAUUGACACCGUCCAUUGUUUCACCGCGAUGUAGCAUAUUGACGGUUGCAUCACCCCCGUCGAACAAACUCCGCAGAGACGACGGUCGACGUGUAGGGGAAACUGGAGGUAUCCGAUAAGAUCUUAAUGACCGGCAGCUCCUCCGGCAUGCUCGACUCCCGCACCCAUCAGUCCAUCCACGCGAACCCGGCGCCACCAAAUCUUUAUGUACUCCUUCCGCUUCUCCAUCAGGCACGCCAACGCUGUGAAGCCGAACACUGCAGCGUUGUCGUCGUCAUCGAGACCGUGGCAGUGGCAGGUGGUGGUGGUGGUGGCACACUCGCUGUCGACACCACCGUCACUGUGGCAGGUAUUGUGGUGGUGGCAUCCUCACCGUCGACACCACCGUGGCCGUGGCGGGUGUUCGCACACGAACACGUCACCGUGUACCCUCGAUGCCGGGGGUGAUGCACGCAGCUCAUGUCGAAUGAGACCCACCGGAAGCUUGGUACGCAAGACAAUCCGGCGGGUGCUUUUGAGGAUCCGAUAAACCCCGCACGCCCGAGAGGGACCCCGUCAGGGGGCGCGGCGGCUAUGGGCUGCCCUAGAUCGACCUGAUCGCCCCUAGGGCCUCGAGGUUCGUCGCCUUGCAACAAGAAGAACAGACGAAGAACGAGAAAGAAGAAGAACUAUGGUUAAGGAGAAAAGUUAAAAACAUAAAAAAUGGUAGAUUGAUUGUUCGAUUGUGUGUUGUUCUUCAAUCGGUCGUCACCUCUUACAUAUAUAUGAGGCGGCUAGACUUUUCGUCCAAGAAAAAGUCUCAAAUCCCCUCCAAACAUCAAAAGAUAACCUAACUCGAACUACGAGGGCUGGAACUUCCGGUUAGCCCGGAACUUCCGGGCUAAAAUUACAUCAAGUUGCCCUCUUGCACAGCUCCUACAGGUCGCAUAUGGUUUCGGAUCGUGAUGGUCCCAAACGCAAAGUGGUAGAUGUUGCAAUGGAGAAAACUUCCUUAGUUGAUCACUUUUUCAUCCGAGGUCAUCUUGAUGUCGAAAUUGGCCCCUCAAUUCUGAAAAUAAUGUUAAAGUUGCAGUUUUCGGGGCGCACCGCGUGCAAACUUUCGGUUUAGCCCAGAACCUUCCCGGAAGUUUUGCGCGGAACUUCCAGGGCAGACUUAUGCAACACACUGUUUUGGCUCUAAUUUUUCAUAUGAACUCCGAUUUACUCGUUUUUUUAUAUCAAAAUCGAUUGUUACGGCGAGACAAAGACAAUCUGUGUAGAAAGUUUUCUAAUAUGAGGCCAUCUUGGGGGCGUAAUCAGCCGGAUAGUGUUUUGAAUAGAAAAUCUGAAUACUUCGAACACAACUUCAGCCUUAGAAAUGAGACCGGAUGGCUAUGGCCUGAAUAUCAAAGUUUCUCCUUUUGACGAUACGGAGCUCUCUCACUUUGAACAUUUCUCCAUUUGAGGCCAUCUUAAUUAAGUUCUUGGUCGUGCCAGAAUCUGGUGUCAACACAUGCCCCACUAUUUUUCGGCAAACUUGUGUGCCAAAAAUAACUUGCAUGAUGCUUUUCCUAAGGAUGAUGCCAGCACUCCGUCAGCCAUUUUGUAUGUGCUUAGGACGAUAAGUAUAUAUCGUCCAUUUAGAUUAGCAACAAAAGUGAAGUUAAUCGAAUGUAUGGCGACAAGGUAGAACCCUUGCAUGAUGUAAGAAGUUAUAUUGCAUCCAUGGAUUAAAAUAAGUACACGGAGGGUAACCAGUCAUACAUGAGGAUAAAUUCCAUGGCAUAGGAAUUAAUGACAUAGUUGAAGAAUAUGGAUGUUGUUUGAAUCGAAGAUUCUGAUGCACAAACCUUCGGCUUGGUUGUUCAAAGCUUGCACUCUUCUCUUUCUUCAGCUUUGCCACACUUAUUGCCAAGGAAGCUUGCAUAUUAUUCUUGUUUUUUAGUACUUCCUUUGGGAACCCAAGCCAUGUUCAUCUUUUCCUUAAGUUCUUGUGCACUAAGUUUUUGUAAUUUCUUCUUUUGCCAAUAUGAUAAGCCGAGUGAGCACCCUGGCUGUGAUUUUGCUUGAAGCAAUGGAAAUCCCUGUUUUACCUUGUGCACUCUCAACUUCUUCUCUUCAGAUUGGGCACUUGAUUGACUUGUCUCAUUUCCUUUAGUGGCCAAUGUCAACACUUUAAUUGGCUCUUUUUCAUUUGAGGUCGAAUCUAAAGUAGCACUCUUACGACCAUCUUUUUUAACACGGUAAACUUGCUUGACCACCUCUUUCUUGUUCCUUGAGCUCCGGACCGAUUCAUUAUGAUUGAAACGGUCUUUGACAUGUGCUUGUUCAAAUGUUGAUCUUUUUGGAGCUGCAUAAUGUUUGUGAGAUGGUCUAAAAUGAGAUGAAGAAUGCACCUGUGUAUCAUACAUGUCCCAUGAUGGAUAUAGAUUUACAUAAUUAUAGGAAAGUACCCAUGGCAUUGGCAUUGGCAGCACAAAAUAUGGAUACGAAUGUACUGCAUUAUAAUUCUCAUUUUGCCAAUACCGAUCCUCGGGUUUGCGCCUAGGGAUUGGUCUUGAUGCUCUUGAAUUACUUGGCUGAUAAACACUGUUCUCCUCACUUAUCUUCUGAUAUGUUUUCAAUAGUUGCGUGAAAGUGACUUUCGGCUUUUUACCUUUGUGCUUAACUCGGCCUUUGUUUUCAAUAGUUGCACCGAUCUUUGGAUUUUCUUGUUGCCCCCCAGUCCUUGGCGUCUUCAUUGUAGCUUCGAUGGAGUUCUCGCCCUCAAGAUUAUGUUCAUUGUGCUCUUCAACAACUUGAUUACUUGAAAACUCGAUCCCAUCACCUGUAGUUUUUACCUUCUUUUUAAAUGCAUCGGCUUGAAGCAGCCGGUGCAAAAACCUUUUGCCAUGAGGACCAAUCGGAAUAGAAUGGUCAUCUCUUGGUGUUCCAAUAAAUUUCAAUCGUCCUUCAUAAAUGGCCAAUUUAACUAUUUGACAAAACAUGUUGCAAUCCUCAAACCUAUGCUUGAACGAAUCAUGCAACUUACAAUACAUUCGUCCUUGGAUAGAUGGCUUGACAUGGUGAUCAAGAAUUCUAAUGUAAUUAUUUUUCACAACAAACCAAAGAUUUGAUCACACAUGUUUGAAUCGAAGGUAUACCUUUUGUUUUAUAGCCGGUCUUGUUGUGAGAACGGCUUUAGAGUUAAGCAAACGAAUAGUUCAGAUUUUGCAUCUUUUCAUUCGGCUAUGAAUUCUCUUUCGCAUUCUUUUUCCGAUGUCCUUAAAUAAGAAACUAUACUAGCAUCGGUUUUCUCAAAAGAUUUUAACCUUGCCUUUAAAUUUCUGAAAUCAAAGUAGUUAGAACAUACAUGUCUCAAUUGAGACCAUGCGUAAGCGAAGUAUGAUGCAAGCAAAGCUACCCAAUUUGAUACGAAAUUUUGAUAAAGCAAUGAGGAAAACUUUAGUUGCAAUAAUAAGUCACUAUCGGUCAUUAUAAAUGGCACAAUAGGUUGACUGAUAUGCUCUAUAAUAAUUUUAUUGCUAACAAGUAAAUUUCCCUUCUUCAUUGGUCUUUCAAAAUUACUUAUGAGAAUUUUUCUUAUAGAAGCAUCAACAAUAAAGUUGCGACAAAAUCGGAAGAUAGGUAAAUCACUUGCUAGGCGUACCUUUUCAAACACGUUGGGAGAGCAUGAUGGUUGCUUUACUUGAAUGAUAUGUUGUUCCUUUUUUGAAUAGCUCCCCAACACCUUGUUGUCCUGGUUUUCUAGAGUAGAUUCGGUAUACGUAACAUGUGAUUCUGUCUUUUCAAUAGCCGAAUUAACAUUGUUAUCCGAAUCACCACUUUUUUUUAUAAUUCUAUCCACACCCAAUGCUUUCUCUUUUUGACAUAAUCUAGCUUGGAUUGCACCAAAAGUAAUAGGCUUUCCCUCUUUUAUUAAUUCCGGUAGAACAACAUUGCAUUUGUCCCAAAACGACGUAAGAUUUUUCUUAAUGACCCAAUCUAGAUAGAGUUGCCCCCUGACACUUUUAGAAUCUUUCGGUAAUGAGAUGUCGCCGAAAUUUUGUAAUUCUGCGGGGAAAACAUUGUAUGCUAUGAUCCUAUAGAAUUUUCACUUAUUCGGCUAUUAGCAUGAAGGUGCAAAGCCGAAUUAUGAAUACCUAUAGUUGCAUACGGUGACAAAACAUUAGUAGCAUGAGGUGUAGCAUAUGAUGGUUGAGGGUAAUUGGCCGAAUAACUAGUACUCCCUCCGUCUGAAAUUACUUGUCAUCAAAAUGGAUGUAUCUAGAACUAAAGUACAUCUAGAUACAUCCAUUUCAAUGACAAGUAUUUCCGGAUGGAGGGAGUAGUAGCAUGUUUGGAUUAACAUAUUGCAAGUUAUUUGCUAAAGAAGAAAAAGGUGAAACACUAUUGCAUACUAUCGAAAGUUCCUAUGUGAGGUGUUUCAACUUGAUUAACCAAACACAUCAUGUUGUUCAUCGGCAUAUGGAUUUCUGUGGUUGCCGAUGCAUGGUAGUUGGAAUACAUAUGUUGCAUGUUGCUAAAAUUAUAAGAGGUAGAAGCAUGAAUAUUUUGUUGCAUCGGCUCUUGCAGAUAAUUAGAUGCAUGACUGAUAAAGCUAGGGCUAUCCGAUACAUUAUGCUCAUUAGAUGAUCUAGCAACAAUAUAUGCAUUAUUUGCAUCUACAUAUGUGAAUUCGGUAUUCAUAUUACCUUUGUAGAUUGCAAACCGUAGAUGACGAUCUUCGUAGCAAGAACAGGCGGAGACGGUUCAAAGCUUCCCCCAGUCGAGUCGCCAAAAAGUGUGUUCGCACAUGAACACGUCACCGUGUACCCUCAACACCGGGGGUGAUGCACCGUAGCUCACGUCGAAGGAGACCCGCCGGAAGCGCGGUACGCAAGACAAUACGGCGGGUGCUUUUGAGGACCUGAAACCCCACAUGCACGGGAGGGACCCUGCGGCGGCUAUGGGCUGCCCUAGGUCGAUCUGAUCGCCCCUAGGGCCUCGAGGUUCGCCGCCCUGCAACAAGAAGAACAGACGAAAAACGAGGGAGAAGAACUAGGGUUAAGGAGAAAAGAUAAAAAUAUACAAAGUGGUAGAUUGAUUGUUCGAUUGUGUGUUGUUCUUCAAUAGGCCGUCACCUCUUACAUAUAUAUGAGGCAGCUGGACUUUCCGUACAAGAAAAGGACUCAAAUCCUGUCCAAAACAUCAAAAGAUAACCUAACUCGGACUACAAGGGCCGGAACUUCCGGUCAGCUCGGAAAUUCCGGGCUAAAAUUACAUCAAGUUGCCCCCUUGCACAUCUUCUGUAGGUCACAUAUGGCUUCGGAUCGCAAUGGUCCCAAAAGCAAAGUUAUAGAUCUUGCAAUGGAGAAAAAUUCCUUAGUUGAUAACUUUUUCAUCCGAGGUCAUCUUGAUGUCGAAAUUGGCAUUGCAAAUCUGAAAAUAAUGUUAAAAUUUCAGUUUUCGAGGCGCACCGCGUGCAAACUUUCGGUUUAGCCCGGAACCUCCCCAGAAGUUUUGCCCGGAACUUCCGGGGCAGACUUAUGCAGCACAUUGUUUUGGCUCUAAUUUUUGAAUACAAACUCCGAUUUAGACGGUUUUUAUAUCAGAAUCGAUCGUUUCGACAAGACAAAGACAAUCCAUGUAGAAACGUUUCUCAUAUGAGGCCAUCUUGGGGGCGUAAUCAGCCGAAUAGUGUUCUGAAUAGAGAAUCUGAAUACUUCGAACACAACUUCGGCCUUAGAAAAGAGACCGGAUGGCUAUGGACCAAAUAUCAAAGUUUCUCCUUUUGACGAUACGGAGCUCUCUCACUUUGAACACUUCUCCAUCUGAGGCAAUCUUAAUUAAGUUCUUGGCCGUGCCAAAAUCUGAGGCUCAAGCAAGAAAACACACAAACAGAACUGCCAACAAAUCAGACAUUAGGUAAAGGACUAAAGGAUGAUGAUCGAGAGAGGAAAGGAUUAAAAAAUGGACCCACUUGCAAUGACCAAAUCGAAGAAUUCUGACUAACACAGUAGCAUCCCGUGCAGCCCCGACCACUAGGGCAGAGUGGAAGCACACGCCGCCGCGGACGUGAUCCUUCCAUUGUUCUAGUCGGGCAUUGUUAGUAUUGAGUACGAGGAGGGGUAUAGGCCAGCGGGAGUCAGAGCAAAGAGUGGUUGGCAGACAAGGGAAUCUCGAGGUGGCCGGUGACCUGUGGAGGAAGGGGCAGGUGGCAAGCAUCCUCAGAUUGCGUCACAAAUCUCUGUGGGGGAAACAACAGGCAAGGAGUAGUCGUAGAGGAUAUCUGCGGUGCUGGCGGAAGCUAGGUUAGCGGCAGCUGCAAACCCUAGCAUGGUGGCGCUCGAAAGCAGGAAAGGAGAGAUUUUUUUCUUAAAGUAACUAGGGAAUUUAUUCAAAACUCAAAACAUUCGGGAUAGAAGCAAUGUCUAGUAGAUUCCCUAGCCACACAUGGAAACUCACCGAAAGAGACGCAACUCCUUUUGCUAUCAAGUGGGCCUCAAAAUUACUUUCCCUACGCUAAAAUCGGAAAGUAACAGAAUGAAACAUAAUUCUACUGGACAAAAUCUUGUUAAUGACAGGAGCAUAUAUUUGUGAAGCCUUGUUAUUGAUAUUUGAGAUCACCUCUAAACAGUCCGAGGCUACCACCAGAUUCUGAAGAUUCAUGUCAUGUGCAAGUGCAAGGGCUUCACUACAUGCAUGUGCCUCCAAGCUUGUUCGGUCUAUCAAACCGUCGAAAACCACUGCUCAUGCUCCCAAGUAUCUGCAUGUGCUAUCUCGACACACUCCAGCCGCUACUCCUUUCUCCCCCAAAGAUGAAACUCCCCCAUCACAGUUUAGCUUGGCCGCAUCAAGGCCUGGUGGCAGCCACACCUUCAGCUUAGGAAUCGCAGGCGGAGGGAAGCUUUCUCACGAGGUUCGAACAGCAACUAUGUCCAGGUCCUCAAGGAAACGCUUAAUGAAGCACAUUGUGGACAAUGAGCUCUGAUAUUCAUCAUCGUGGAUGGCUUUGCGUCGUGCCCACCAGAUCGCCCACAUGGUGACCAACACUCUUGCAGUAUCCUGUUGGCUUGUGGAUUCAAAUAACCAGAACAACCAAAGUCUCGCAUCCUCAUUCUGGUUUGAUAUCACAUGCUCUAGCAAUUCCUCGUCCCCCAAAGCCCAUACACAUCUAGCCAUGCGGCAGCUCAAGAGGGAGUGCCUCCAUGUAUCCUCCUCUGCUCCACAUAUAGAGCAAACCAGAGUGUCCUCCAUGUGCCUGUCAUUUCGGACCUGGCCUGCCGGAAUCGAUAUAUGCGCUAAUAUCCAAACAAAUAGUCGUACCUUUGAUGGCACUUUCACCUUCUAGAGUUGUGACCAAGAAUUCUUUUCUGCAGCAAUAUUUGAGUGGGUGGGCCUAUGCUCUAGCCAAUCCUCCCGCUGAAAGUUUAUUGCAGAAAGCAUUCUAUAAGCCGAUCGGACUGAAAAUACUCCACGCUUAUCAUAGUGCCAAGCCCAAAAAUCAUCCUGAACCCGAGUACUGAGAUGGAUAUUGAGGAUCACCUCCACGUCACAAGCUAUGAAAUGUUUAGUGGGAGAUUGUUUAUUCGAACUCUGUGAGCUAGGAUCAAUGAGCUCAGAGACAAGAGAUGGAGGGUUUAUCGACCGUGCACAAAUCGGUCGAAGUUUGUAAUCUCUCGGCAGCCAAUUGUCAUUCCAGAUGUUUGUACUCUUUCCCGUUCCAAUCCUCUUUAUUAGUCCCAGAGCUAGAACAUCUCUUCCCUCCAACAGGGAUCGCCAAACCUGAGAGGGUGCUGUUCCUAGGCUUGCAUCAAGCAGGUGAUAUUCAGGAAAGUAUCUUGUCUUGAGCAGUCAAGCACUUAGGGAAUCAGGUUAUUGCAUUAAUCUCCAAACUUGCCGUGCUAGAAGAGCCAGGUUAAAAAGAUCCAUGUCUUUGAAACCCAAGCCAGCCAUAAACUUCGGUUUGGUCAUUGUUCUCCAAGAUACCCAUCCUGUUUUCCUUUGUCCAUCCUUACACCCCCACUAGAACUUACGAAUUAUUUUGUUGAUAUGAUCACACAGCCCCUCGGAAGUUUAAAGCAAGCCAUCGAAUAAGUGGGUAUGGAUUGUGCCACAUAUUUUAUUAGCACCUCCUUCCCCUGCUGAUAAGCAUUUCUCCAUCCAUUCUUGUACCUUCUUCCAGAUUUGGUCGUUUAAAUACUUGAAAGACCCCUCCUUUGCCCUGCCCACAUCAGAUGGCAAGCCAAGAUAUUUCUCGGAUAAUGAUUCAUUAUGGACAAGAAGGAUGUUUUUAAUGGAGUCACGAGUGAGAGCAGCAACACCCUUGCCGAAGAAGAUGGAGGAUUUCUCCAGGUUAACCUGCUGACCAGAAUCAUUGCAAUACUUUAUCAAUUGCUCAUUAAUAUGUGUGGCACUAGCCUCAUUUGCUUCAAAGAAUAGUAGGUUGUCAUCGGCAAAAAGAAGAUGAUUGACCGAAGGGGCACUGGGUGCCACAGAUAUACCUUUUACUCCUCCAUUCGCUUUCAUCGAACAAGAGAGCCCCUCAAUUGCUAACAGAAACAGAUUUGGCGAUAUGGGGUCUCCCUGCCUCAGACCUCGAGUGGUCCUGAAAACAUCCAAGCUUCCAUCGUUAAACCAAACAGAUAAGGUGACCGAUGACACACACCUCAUAAGUGUCUUGGUGAAGCGGGACUGAACCCCAACUUGAGCAUUACUACCUUCAAAUAGGACCAUUCCAGACGAUCAUAUGACUUCAUCACAUCAAGUUUUAAUGCACAAUAUCUAUUUCCUUUCACCCUCUUGGUUUUCAUAUAAUGUAAGCACUCAUAAGCUGUAAUGAACUUGUCUGUAAUGAGUCGCCCAGGGACAAAAGCGGACUGCUCUUUGGAGAUGAUCUCAGGGAGAAGAGAUUUCAGCCUGUUUGCUAAGACCUUUGAAGCAAUCUUGUAGAUCACAUUACAAAGACUUAUUGGCCGAAAUUGUCCUAAAACUUUUGGACAUACAAUCUUGGGAAUCAAAAUGAUGAAAGUGUUAUUAAUCUCCUCAAGUGAAUCUACUCCAUAAAGCACUCUGAUUUUCAUUCUCGUGACUUCAUCACUACAUUAAUCCCAUUGCUUCUGGAAGAAGUUGGCGGGAAAACCGUCUGGGCGAGGAGCUUUAGUGGGAAACAUUUGAAAAAGAGCAUCUUUAACUUCCUCCUUGUUGUAGCUUGCAUUCAACCGAGCAUUCAUAUUGCCAUCCACCCGCACAGGAAUAUGCGACAGGACCUCCUCCAUAUCAACAGUUCCCUCGGACGUGUAUAAGUUUGAGUAAAAAUCCAUGGUCAUGUUUCUCAACUCACCCUGAUCCGUGCAUGUUGAACCAUCAUGCAGAUCUAGUUUAGUGAUCCUGUUUUUUGCUCGUCGUGCACUCGCUUUCCUCGGGAAAAAUUUCAUGUUACUGGCGCCCUCCGACAACCAUGUGAUGCGCGACCGUUGCCUUGACAUGAUCUCCUCUCUAUAUGCAAGCUCGACCAUGCGAUCCUCCAUCUUGUUCUCUUCUGCAGUAGGUCCGGUUCUCAAGGGGUUGGCCCUUAGUGCAGCUAGCUGAGGAUGGAUCGAGCUUAACUCAUGACGAACUGAACCAAAGGUAUGUUUGCUCCAAUAUGACAUAGACGUCGCCACUGUAUGAAGUUUGGUCGCGAGGUCGGAAACAGACAUUCCGGGGCCAUCACCGCUCCAGGCUGCCUCCACAACUUCUUUGAACCGAUCAUCAGUCUCCCAAGCACACUCGUAUCGGAUCGGUUUCUUCAAGGCUAUGCGAAGAUUUCCUUCCUCGAGGUCAUUCAAAAGAAGGAUUGGACUGUGGUCACUCUUGACCGUUGUUAAGUGUUCAACACUAGCAAAAGGAAACAUGCUCGACCAGCUUGGCGAGGCAAGAGCUCUAUCGACCCGAACUCUGCAAAACUGUCCACCCAUCACCCGUUUCUCCCAUGUCCAGUCCAUUCCUUUGUAUCCAAGAUCAGAAAGACCACAGACAUCUACCGCUUUUCCGAAUCCUUCAAUCGGAGCACUAUCUCAGGGAAUAGGCCCCAUUUGUUCCUCUUGACGUAGAAUUUCUAAAUCGCAAAUACAUAACCACGGUAGGGUGCUUUCACCUCUCAAUCUCUUCAUAGUAUCCCAAGUUUUGUAUCUAAGGCUCCUGUUAGCCUCUCCAUAAAAACAUGUUAGGCGCCAUUGCUCCCCACCUGACACCGGGAUCCAAGAAUCAAUGUGAUAUUGAGAAAAAUAUAUUUCCAAAGUAACUUCAGAUUUCCAAAAAAUACAUAAACGUCCUCUCCUCCCACUACUGGCUACUGCAAAACUACUCCGAAAACCUAAAGAAGCCGCCAAACCCUCCACUCGAUUCUUCGCAAAUUGAGUCUCCACUAUGCAAAGAACCAACGACGCACUAGCUUCCACGAGAUCGCGGAGCUCAUGAACUGUCAUAGGGUCGCCAAUCCCACGGUAGUUCCAACAAAGAGUCCUCAUCAGCCCCGGCGACCCUCCUAGUAGGAGGCCGCCUCUUCUAUAUAAUCCCCAGAAACACCUUCUUCCCCUUCCUGGCACCUCCUUUUGACAAUUGGAUCCUUUCCUGGAGUGGAGAUCACAUUAUUUGAGCUUGCCGGGGGUGUAGCCCCUUCAAUCAUCAUGACAGUACGAGCGACUCUCCCAGCUAAAUGAUUAAGCCAUUGGCCCCUUAUGUUUAGAGAUCCAUCCUCCUCAACCAUCCUCUUCCUAGCGCCCUUCUCUGAUCCUAAUCCCAGGCCAUCAAAACGCAUGUCCACUUCCAUCUGCUGCGAACCACCAGAAUGUUCCCCUACUCCAGGGUCCCUUCCCCCUCUAUCACUAGCCGAUCCACUCCCUCCUUUAUCUCCUCUGCCUGCAUCCCUUCCUCUACCUCUACCACCACCAUCUCCUCUACCUCGCCCCCUGAACCCUGUGCCAUUGGCAGCUCCGGCUCCCACAAUAAUCACUCACCCCAUUCAAAGGUGUUCGGAUCGUGAAAUCCAUCGCCACACUCAUCGACAAGGUGGCCCAUCUUACCACAAGCAAAGCAAAAGUCUGUUAACUUUUCAUAGUAGACACUAUAUCUUUGGCACUCCUUCAGAGUUAUUGGUACGAACCAGACAAGCAAGGUAUUGACAUCCAUAUAAACCUCACACGACGAGUACUAGCUGGAUUAAUUCUCCCCUCAUUCAUGAUCAUAGUAAAAGGUGGGUCUCCAAGCUUUGCAGCAACUUUCUCCGCGAGCUUCUUCCUCCUCGUGAGACCGUCAGGCAAACCCUUCACCCAAGCCCAAAUCGGGAUCUUGUUCAGUCUAUAGCCAUUGACGUCUGAGAACCCAUCAUACUCCUGGAUCACCACUGGUGCCCUCCUAAACAGCCAUGGCCCUCCAUCCAUAAUUCUCCUGCAAUCGCCUAAACAGUGACACUGGACCAGAAACAGAUUGGGGCCCUUGAUGUUGAAAGUAACCCCGUGUGCCACCGACCAAGCAUUGUGCAUUUGUGAAAGGAGCGCCGCAUGACUAAAAGGUUUCGUAGUAUCAACUCGAAAUAGUGCGAGCCAACGUACGUCCUUGAUCAGAUCUUCCACUUCAUCAGAGAAAUCUAACUCUUCCUCCUCCCUUCCAUGCAACUUCAUCCACGCGAAAUUGGUCCUCUAGAUUAGGUUCGGGACCAAGGUACUCUCCAAACUCCUCAUCAUACCCAUCAGAUUGGUUCCGCACAUCCUGCGAGCUUCAGUCAAUAUCUUCUCUCCUCCUAUUCUCUUCCGCAUCCCCUUCUUUCUCCACUCCUGAUCCACUAGGCCUAUUCGUCGCCGCCAAGGCUACUGCCGCCGCCAUCCCUUCCUCCUUUCCACCUUGCUCAUGUCGUCUUGGUUCCGCCAUGCACAUGCGAGCGCGUGACGGGAGAGGGUAGAUCUCACUGGCGGCCGGAGAAAACCAGCCCUCCAGGGAGAUUUUACGUGGACUCUGACGCGAUCGCUGGAGGAUAGGUGGAACCCCAGAAAAACCCUAGGGGAGAUAUCUAGGUCGCCGCCAUGGCAUGGGCCCAACAUAACGAAUUACCGAAUCCAAAUGGUCCCAACAGACUCGAUCAACCACAGCGCUGUAAAUCCUGGGAGCUUAGAAACUGUAGUGAUACUGGGUCGCCUGCUGGAGUGUAUAGGCCGUACAUCGGGGAGUAGCGUCCAAUAGAGGGAAACAUGGAAAAAAGUCGCCGAAACGGGAAUGGCAGUGCUAGGGAUUAAACCAUGUACCUCUCGCAGCUGACCGCUCAUCGCUAGCCAGACGAGGUUAUAAGAUUCAGUGUCUAACUAGGAAACGCGGACCACAAGAACUAUCCCCCAGCGACCGAUUUAAUGUACCGAACUGGUCUUUUUCCCACUAUUCAUUAUUCUUUUUCUGUUUACUUUUUGUUUCUUUUUCAUUUUUCAUUUUAUGUUUUUUCAUUUUAAUUUCUUUUUUAUUUUUCAAAAAAUAUUCGUGCUUUUAUAGUUUUGUUCAAAAUUUUACAAAAAGUUCUGUUCACAAAUACAAAUAUCUGCAUUCUAAAAAUUGAACAGAAUGUUUGUGUCUUUCAAAAUUGCUCAGAAUGCUAAAACAUGAAAAAAGAAAACAAAUUAAUGGCAAAAGUUUGAAAACAAUUUUUUCAAAAUUAUUCUAUUUGUUUUUUUAAACAUUUUGUUUGAAUUUCCCCGAACAUUUCUUGAAUUUGUGUAGAAUUUUUUUGGAAACAGGAACAUUUAUGAAAUUUUGAACAUUUUGAAAGCCCAAUGAUUGCUUGAAACUCCCCAAACAUUUUCUAACUCGUGAACAAAUUUCUGAAUAUUUGAACACAAUUUGGAAACGUAGACAUUUUAAAAAAGUUGAACUAAAUUUGGAGAUGUGAUAUUUUUUGAUCUAUGAAUAAUUUUCUGAAACAGGAAAACUUCUAAAACCCUGAACAAAAUUUGAUGCCUCAAUUUAUUUGAGUAUUUACGAUCUGUUUUAAUUGUUAACAUUUCUUGAAUUUUUUGACACUGAUUAUAAACUAUGAACAAAAAAUGAAGCGAAGUAAAGUUUGAAUUCCUAAACAUUUUCUGAAUUGUUUGAACAAUGAUUAAUAAAUAUAAAAAAGGUUGAAAUUCUGAAGAAUUUUUUUAGAAAAUAUGAAUUUGUUUUGGAAAAAUGAACAAAACUUGAAAAACAUGAAUAUUUGAAAAUUCCAAAUGAGUUUUAAUUUUGAAAUUUUGGAAUUUAUGAAAAAUAGAAGCAAUAAACAGGAAAAAAGGAAAAAGUUAAAGAAAAUGAAGAAGGAAAGAAAAAGAAAUAGAGAAAGAGUAGGAGAGAAGAAAAAAGGAAAAAUCAUGGUUCAAGAACCUCCUAGAAAGUUCUCAGAACCAGAAAAAACAAGCUGAGAAGCUGAGAUUCUGAAAACCGGGAACGACUUUUAGGAACCUCCUUGAAGGUUCCCAAAACCGAAAAUAACUAGCUGGGAAGGUGAAAAGGCUGAUAAAUGGCGGAUGUGUCAUAACAUGCAUACGAUGUUGGAAGUCGUUGAAAUUGGCAUGGAUACCUACAAUGGGCAUUCCCACAUGGUGGCAAAAGUUGGGGUCAUCUCAAACAUGUCCAAAAGCCAUCAUGUUCAACGUUCGGUGUCCGGGUAGGCUAGAAGGUCCAUUCAAGGCGCCAUGCUAAGUUUCUUGGGUAUUUUACAUUUUUGGAGUUUUCUCGGUAAAAAAAAACAAUAAAUGUAUGGUAGGACAUGUUGCAACUUGCAUAUGGUGAUGUCAUUCAUAUCAGGGAUAGAUGCCUACCAUGGGCAUGCCCAACUGGUGCCAAAAGAAGGGGUCACCAAGGAUGUCCACAAAAAUACCAUGUUCAACCGAGGGUGUUCGGGUAGACCAAAAGGGUUCGUCUAAGACCAUGUUGUUUUCCGACACCCUUGAAAUGGCAACAAUUAUUUUUCCAUGGCCUUGUAUGACCAAUUCAAGGCACCAUGUCAAGUUGUUUUGUUUUUUGACAAAGUUUGUAUUUUCUCGAGUUUUCUUAGUCAAAAAGACUAAUAAAUGACCAAACAUGUCGCAAUUUGCAUAUGGUGUCAAAAUUCAUUCCAGCCAGGCAUGGAUGCCUUGCACGAGCAUGCUCGCAUGCUUGUAAAAGUUGUGGUCAUUUUACGGAUGUCAAAAAAAAGACCAUGUUCAACUCAGAGCGCUUGGCUAGGCCAGAAGGCUCUGUCUGAGAGCAUGUUAUUUUUUGGCAUGCGUGAAAUGGCCCCAAUUUUUCCAUGGCCUUAUAUGACCAAUUCAAGCCACCAUGCCAAGUGUAUUUGGUGUUCAACAAAAAAUUCAUUUUAUGGAGUUUUCUUGGUCAAAAAAAUCUGAUAAAUGGCCAGACGUGCCGCAACUUGCAUACAAUGUUUAAAGUCAUUCAACCCAAGCAUGGACCCUAACAUGGGUAUACCCACGUGCUUGCAAAAGUCUACCUGGGUGUUUUGGCAAAAUAUUGCCUAUAUGGCAUGACUCAACGGGCCUUGCGGCCUAGUCCGAUGCGAAUAGGACCAAAGUUGAACGAGCUACACACAUAUUGGACCCAAGUGUGAUUUUUCAAACUUCCCGGACCUAUUGGGCACACCUUGAAUACUUUUAGGACCGCCAAUGUAUUUUACUCUGUGAUAAAAUAAACCCUCGACCAAAGGCGCUAGAAUGAACUGGUGGAAGCUCAAGGGGGAGGGAGCUCAGGUGUUCAAGGAGAGGGUUAUUAAGGAGGGCCCUUGUGAGGAAUGAGGCGAUGCAAACAAUGUCUGGAUGAAGAUAGCUACUUGCAUUAAUAAGGUGGCCUCAAAGGAUUUUGGAGUGUCCAUGGGAAGUAAAAGAGAAGCUAAAUAUACCUGGUGGAGGAAUGAUGAUAUUCAGAAGGCUAUUAAGGAGAAGAAAGAUUGUUUUAGACGCCUCUAUCUAGAUAGGAGUGCAAACAACGUAGAGAAGUACAAGAUGGCAAAGAAGGCUGCAAAGAAAACUGUGAGUGAAGCAAGGAGUCGGGCGUAUGAGGACCUCUACCAGCGGUUAGAGACGAGGGAAGGCGAAAGGCACAUCUAUAAGAUGGCCAAGAUCCGAGAGAGGAAGACGAGGUAUGUUGAACAAGUAAAAUGCAUUAAGGACGGAGCAGACCUGCUCCUGGUGAAGGACGAGGAGAUUAAGCAUAGAUGGCAGGAGUACUUCGACAAGCUAUUCAAUGGGGGGAAUCACAUAUCUUCCAUUUAACUCGACGACUCCUUUGAUGACACCAGCAGACGUUUUGUGCGGUCAAUUCAGGAGUCGGAGGUCAAGGAGGCUUUAAAAAGGAUGAAAGGAGACAAGGCGAUGGGCACUAAUUGUAUCCCCAAUGAGGUAUGGAGAGUCCUUAGAUACAUAGCUAUAGUAUGGCUAACUAAGCUUUUCAACCUUAUUAUUUGGGUAAACAAGAUGCUAGAAGAAUAGAGACGAAGUAUAUUAAUACCAAUCUUCCAGAACAAGGGGGUGUUCAGAGUUGUCCUAAUUACCGUGGAAUUAAGCUGAUGAGCCAUACAUGAAACUACGAGAGAGAGUCAUUGAGCGCCAGUUAAGAACUAUGACAAGCAUGGACAAAAAUCAGUUUGGUUUCAUGCUUGGGAAGUCGACCAUGGAGGCCAUUUUCUUGGUACGACAACACAUGGAGAGAUAUAGAGAGCAAAAGAAGAACUUGCAUACGGUGUUCAUUGACUUUGAGAAGGCCUACGGCAAGAUACCGCGGAAUUUCAUGUGAUAGCCCUUGGAGAAACACAAAGUCCCAACCACGUACAUUACCCCCAUCAAGGACAUGUACGAUAAUAUUGUGACAAGUGUUCGAACAAGUGAUGGCAACACCGAUGGCUUCCCGAUUGAAAUAGGACUGCACCAAGGGUCAGCUUUGAGCCCUUAUCUUUUUUCUCUCAUGAUGGACGAGGUAACAAGGGAUAUACAAGGAGAUAUCUCAUGUUGUAUGGUCUUUGCGGAUGAUGUGGUGCUAGUUGAUGAUAGUCGGACGGGGGUCAAUAGGAUGUUAGAGCUAUGAAGACAAACCUUGGAAUCCAAUGGUUUUAGACUUAGUAGAAAUAAAAACGAGUACAUUAGGCAUGGUUUCAGUACUACUAGCCAUGAGGAGAAGGAGGAGGAGGUCAUCCUUGAUGGGAAGGUGGUGCCUCAGAAGGACACCUUUAGAUAUUUGGUGUCUAUGCUACAGAAGGAUGGGGAUAUUGAUGGAGAUGUGAAUCAUCAAAUCAAAGCCUCAUGGAUGAAGUGGCGCCAAGCUUCUGACAUUCUCUGUGACAAGAGAGUGCCACAAAAGCUAAAAGGCAAGUUCUAUAGGAUGAUGGUUCGACCUGCAAUGUUGUAUGGCGUUGAGUGUUGGCCUGCUAAAAGGUGACAUGUUCAACAGUAAGGUGUGGCAGAGAUGCGCCUUUUGAGAUGGAUGUAUGGACACACAAGCACUACUAGGGAAAAGGCUAGCAGCAGCGCGGGUUUUAGGUGUAUCAGUAGCGCGGGGAGUGGUGCUACUAAUAAGGCGCUACAGCUAACACAUAGCAGUGGCGCGUGCUCACUGGCGCUACUGCUACACAAGUGUAGCAGCAGCGUGGUUAGUGGAAGCUCGCUACUGCUAGUAGCUCUAGCGCGCUUUGCCUGGACGCGCUACUACUAUCGCGGCGCCGCUGCUAACUUUUAUACACUCGCUACUGCUAAUUUAAGUAGUUUUUUUGUUUUUUUCGGCAUAUUUGUUUUGUAUUUGAACAGGCUUUAUAGACGAAUCUUUAGCACAUAGAAAUUUUAUCAUGAUACACAUAUGAAUGCCUGCGAGACCACAAAUGUAAUCAUAGCAUAUACAUACAAAUAGUCUCAUCAUAAUCAUCAUCCAACACAAAGUGGUAUAUUGUCAUCAUCUCGAAAAUAGCGAUACAUGCAAGUCUCGAAUACUUGCAACUACAACAACGUCAUCCAUCUAAACAAAGGUAUACACAAGAAGAGCUAUCACUAUGAGUGAGAGCGGAACUAUGCAGUAUAUGAGGUGGCAGUUACGAGUCCUCUCUCGCGCUAGCGUGAACCUCAAGUAACUAGCUUCUCCUUCUUGUCAGCUUUUGAAGCCUUUAUGGCUGGCGCCCGUGAACCCAUUCACUUGCGCCUGACACUGAUGCCACUCGUUGUACACCCCCGGAACCUUCCCUUUGUACACGACAUAGCAAUUCCAUCUCGCCAUCAAGAAACUAGGUACCUGUUAGAGAUGCAUGUUCAUGAAGAGGAUGGACAAUCAUAUAUAUGCAACAAAAUAUACUAGAGCACACCGAAAAAGAAAGGGUUAGCAACUAGAUGCAACAUACAGUAUGCAAAUUAAUUAACUAGAGGUACGCAGGUCAUCGUACGCAAACUAACACAGUAGCGUUACGCAAGUUCGGCAGGGACUGUGGACAUCACAAAGUUUCAUCGCUACAAAAAGUAUACAAGUUCAACCGACACAUAUCAUCAUCAUCGGCAUCAUAAAAUCACUAGCAGUUCCGUCCUUCCAUAUCAUCGAGGAUGAACCCUAGCUUCUUAAACGACGUGAGGUCUAGACGUUGCAUGCCUAUGCAAGUUUGGACGUCAGCUCGCGAUAUAGGGCCGUGGUGGAACAUCCCCUUCUCAUCGACGACUUCUUUCAUGAUGAUCGUCGCAAUGUCGCUUUGGAUGCGAAAGAAGUCAUCUCUAAGUUUAUAAUCCGCUUCUCCAUGAGAUUCUAGCCACUUGUGGAUAUGAUCAUCAUUUCUUCUUCUCAUGCGAAGCUUUUGGUGAUCCGUGUUGAACUUAAUCAUGAGAUGGACGAUGUAGAAUCCAUCCUUCUUGCUUGGUUUUGGGACAUGGAUGCAGGAGAAGUUAGUUUUCUGCGUGAAACCCAUCUUCUUGUUCCUUUGUUUCCUGAUCUGCACGUGGCCACGUCUAAAGCUAAAGCCUUUGAGAGCAUCAUCUAGAAUAUUCAUUAUGUGGGUGUAGUCUUUUUCCUCGUAGUCUCUGGAAGGGUCAAAAUACACGGCGGGGGAGACUUGCGGGUAAAGAACGAUACGGACGGCACGCCCGUUGCUACGGGGAAAAGACACCUCAAAUUAUUCCCCAUAUGAGAGAGCAGGAAUGAUUGAAAUGUACGAAAGGGUUGUCCGGAACUGACUUACUUUGGAUUAUAAGGCACGAGGACAAUUUCCCGGUCCUUAUUCUGUACCAUGAAGUUUUGGAGGUACUCCCUAGCAGUUUCACGCUCAAAGUCGUCGAGACUCAAGAAAGACUUGUGCAUGUAGUACGGAUCCGCCACACAGAUUUGCGAGACUUCUUCACUCUUCAUGACGGAGCUCAUAUGUAGCGGAAAAAGUUGGACGAUUGUAAAAUCGAGUUGCCUUGUUAGAAACAUCUCAAAGAUAUGGUCAAACUGCAGGAAGAACACCUCCGUGGGCCGUGUCUCGAUGUAGCACUUCCCCUCAGGCACACGAGCCGUGUAUGUCGAAUAUCCUGGAACCUUUGAGGUAGUAGGCUUUUCUCAGUCGGCAGCACAUGGUCGUGCAGUCUCCUGAGAUCCCCUGAUAGUGCCUCCAGCGGUUUCAGCGGUAGCAUCGGCUCACCCGUGAGAUGGAACAUGACCGCACCUUUCACGGGUACAAGCUCUUCAGAAUGCAUCGUCUGGCUGCUAUGUGCUCUUGCUUGUUUGGAGGCAGUUAUCUUCCCCGAUCUCUUCCUCUCCUUUUUCUUGGGCACACCUUCUAGACCCUUCCUUAACCCCUGCCCCAGUGUUCCCGGGCUAAGUACUUUAUGACCCUCGCGCCCGGCUAGUUGAGGCUGUGUUGAGGCGGCUUCUUCAGGCGUGUCCUGUGAGGAUUUCAUGAAGAGAGACUUUUUGCAAUCCCUGCUAUGACCCUGCCCGGGCAUAUCAUCCAUAUCCUCAUUAGCAAGCUGAAUGCUCGAUUCGUCAUAUGGUUGACUCAUCAUAUCUAUGUCACAGUCAUACGCGUUUGUAUUGAGGAAAUCCAUAGGGUCGACCUCCGUCUCAUCAUCCAUUCUCUGUUCUACAGGAGAAAUUACAUCAGCCAGUACUAUUGCACCCCCUUCAUCAUGUCGUCCGCCACUCUCACCCGGCACUACAGGAGCUGGUAAUUGCGUAGGCGGGGUGGUGGUCUCCGCACAUGCUUGUUGACGUGUGGUUAUUGAUGUGCUCUCGGCCGGCUCCAUACGAAUAAGAUUCUUCGGCCAUACCAGCACCCAACCCUUGCAGGUUCCAAUCCACGGCGGGGUCUCGUCGUCCACUCCCACAUGCUAUACUGGAGGAGGCAAGUCCUCUUGCCCUGAUUUCACACUGGUCAAGCCAACCAUGAAGUGCCCAGCGGGGAUCGGCUGGUUGUGGAACAUGGGUUGCGAGGGGUCCAUUAUCAUCCCCUUUCCCACGUCCACCUUCUGGCCUUUGAUCAAGUAGAGUAUGGUGCACGGGGUUUCUUUCGCCUGCAGACACAUAUGUCUAUGGCGUAAAACAACUGAAAGGCAACAAAAAUGGAAUAUUAUAUAUAUAUAUAUAUAUAUAUAUAUAUAUAUGUAUGUUGGUGCGACAUGUAAUUACCGUGACGGCGUCGAGCUCAGCCAAAGACGAAGGCCCACCUAGCGCGCUUGAGACUGAGGACGGGCUGCUAUGAGCGGGAGCGGCUGCGAGAGGAGGCCCGGUUGCGUGAGCAAGUGAUGGUGCGAUGGUGUUGUUGUUCAUGGAGUUGCUCCCGACGAAACUGGGCAUCGGGAAAUCAUGUACCGUCUUGUCUAGAUUUUCCUUCGUCCAGUUGAUGAUAGCUGGAACCAAGUUAGUAGCGAAAUCAUUUCUGCAGGCAGCUACAGCUGCAUUGACUGCCUGCUGUAGCAACUCAUUUUUCUCCUCGGCUCUUUUUUCUGCGUCCUUAGCUUCUUUUUUCUCGACCGCAAGCUUCACCUUCGCGUCGAUGUCCGCCUGACUAAACUUCUUUUUCUACUUCUUGGCCUCCGGGCCCUCGUUGUAAAACACCUUCCAUGUGGCGCCGUCUCCAGCGCCGUGCACACGACCAUAUUGCGGCCGCUAGCCCAAAGGGAGUCCCUUAAGUUCGUUCAAGGCCCGGUUGAGAGGGGUGUCCCACUUGGGCCUCAUGGGAGAAGUAGGGCUUUCGACUGCAAGCUGGUGUUGCUUCUCCAGUAGUCUAAUCAAUUUCCUCGUGAUCUUGUCCAUGUAAAAAACUUUUUUCUCCUUGUCCCACUUGUAGAGGGCCCUGCUGAAGUCACGCUCCAAGGGGUUGGUGAACUUCGCGAAGGGGUCUGGGAGACCCGCGGCUUCACGUUCCGCGUCCUCCUUAUCCCAUACGGGCCUUUUACCGAGGUAGCCACGGCUUCCGAGGCGAUGCUUCCCCGUGUUCCUUUGCUAAAGGCUCUUGAUUUUUGCAGCCUUAGCCUUGGCUGCCUCGGUAGCGCAAGUGUCCUUGAACUUUUCGAACUCCUCUUCCGUAAGUGUCGUAUUUUCCUCCAGAAUCUUGGGCAGGGGUUCAUAAGCCUCAAUAGCUCGUUUCACCCUCCCUUUCCAGGAGGCCAAAGCAUUGCUGAACAUCCCCAUGGCGUGAUUGUUAAUCUUUUUCAUCUUCGGAUCAUCCCACGGUUGUUCUAUGUUAUCAUCCCGGUCGGGGAACUUGAAUCUCUUGUGGAACUUCGUUAGGAGCAAUUGCGUCAAAUGUUCUUUACUCCUUAAGUCAUCAUUGUUGAUGCUCGCGCAUUCUCGUAGGAUGCAUCCUACUUGGUUCCCAUAGCACUUGUGAGGUUCUUCCGGCUCUAACGGCUCUAACUUUCCAGGUGCCAUCUUUGUGAUCACAAGUCGUCCAAUCCCUAGUUUGUUAGGUUUUCGUAUCCUCUGCUUCUUAUGCUUCCUAUUUUCGGUAGCGGCAUCGGGGCCGAUACCUUCCCCGCUGGUAUCUUCCCCACCGUACCUUCCCCACCGGUCUCAGCGCCGCCAUCGGUGCCGGCGCCGUCGGUGUCGAUGUCGGCGUCAGUACCAUAAUCUAGGCCGACCUGCAAUCCUUGCUUAGCAGUCAAAUAGUCGAGGUACUCUUGUUCAUCCUCAUAAUCCAUCUCGUUUGCAUCUUGGUCAGAAGGCCCAGUUUCUUCGUUGUUCGACAUGUUUCCUAUGAUUAAGUGUCCUCAUGUUUUUCUACAAGUAUGAUCAAAUGAAAAAAGACAUAAAAAGAAAUCUAUGUGCCAGCACUCGAUAUGCCAACUAUGUAGCACAAAUCAUGCCUUUAUUCACGGGAAAUUUUGGCAUGACCUUUGCUAGAAAAUGGACAUAUCGAGCGCCUGAUAUUCACCGGAACGGAAAUGAAUCAACAUUCCGGCGUAACAUAGGCCACUCGGAUCAUUUUCCAAACAUGACAUGUCCAAAACAUGACAUAUCCACAUAUCACAUGUCCAGUUCAAAUUUGCAUAUAAAUUCAGCUAAUUUUGAAACCUAGAUAAAUUCAUAACUAAAUAGAUAACCUAAUUAACAUACUGUCCUAACUAAAACCUAAGUAAAUUAACCAAAGAACCCUAGCAGAGAGAGAGAGAGGGGGGGAUUACAGGNNNNNNNNNNNNNNNNNNNNNNNNNNNNNNNNNNNNNNNNNNNNNNNNNNNNNNNNNNNNNNNNNNNNNNNNNNNNNNNNNNNNNNNNNNNNNNNNNNNNNNNNNNNNNNNNNNNNNNNNNNNNNNNNNNNNNNNNNNNNNNNNNNNNNNNNNNNNNNNNNNNNNNNNNNNNNNNNNNNNNNNNNNNNNNNNNNNNNNNNNNNNNNNNNNNNNNNNNNNNNNNNNNNNNNNNNNNNNNNNNNNNNNNNNNNNNNNNNNNNNNNNNNNNNNNNNNNNNNNNNNNNNNNNNNNNNNNNNNNNNNNNNNNNNNNNNNNNNNNNNNNNNNNNNNNNNNNNNNNNNNNNNNNNNNNNNNNNNNNNNNNNNNNNNNNNNNNNNNNNNNNNNNNNNNNNNNNNNNNNNNNNNNNNNNNNNNNNNNNNNNNNNNNNNNNNNNNNNNNNNNNNNNNNNNNNNNNNNNNNNNNNNNNNNNNNNNNNNNNNNNNNNNNNNNNNNNNNNNNNNNNNNNNNNNNNNNNNNNNNNNNNNNNNNNNNNNNNNNNNNNNNNNNNNNNNNNNNNNNNNNNNNNNNNNNNNNNNNNNNNNNNNNNNNNNNNNNNNNNNNNNNNNNNNNNNNNNNNNNNNNNNNNNNNNNNNNNNCGGGGUCGGGGGCGAGGGACGGGUCGGGGGCGAGCGCCGGGGUCGGGGUCGGGGACGAGCGCCGGGGUCGGGGGAGAGCGCCGGCGCCGGGGUCGGGGGCGAGCGACGGGGGAAGAGAGAGUGGGGAUUUGGGGGGAAAAGGCGGGAUGAAGCAGGGAUAGUGAGAAUUUUGGGUUAAGUGGACGUAGCAGCAGCGCGUUUGGACAAAACGCGCUGCUACUACCUUCAGUAGCUGUAGCGGUUUGUACAAAAUGCGCUACUACUACCUUCAGUAGCUGUAGCGGUUUAUAUGAAAUGCGCUACUACUACUGCCAGUUUUCCUUUUUCUUUUCCUUUAUUUUCUCCCACUUUUAUUUCCCGAGAGCAGUGAACGAAGGGAGGGCGAUAUAUAUUGCAUCAUUUGACGGUUAAAUAUGUAUGCAAAAUAGGAACAUCUAUAUUACAUCAUUGGACCCAUGCAUAAUAAUGGCUAAGUGUGUAUACAAAAUAGGAACAUAUAUAUAUAUAUAUAUAUAUAUAUAUAUAUAUAUAUAUAUAUAUAUAUUACAUCAUUUGGCCGAUAACAUACGGUUCCUCAGUGCUGACGUUUUCCUUUUUGAGUCAGCUUCUUUCCCUUCUUGUUCAUCGAAGAAUAGUUGAGCCCCUCAUUGUGACUUUGCCUUUUCCAUGGAGUACGAUUUUUCUUAGGUGAUAUAGUAUUGAUUCUUCUUUUGAUGUAUACUUCAUCAUCAUCAUCAUCUUCCCUCAUUGGGUUGCCGUACUGAUCAUAGUCUUCCUUGUUGGCAACUCCAUCCAUUCCAAUGAUGUUCCUUUUGCCUCUCCUCACGACAACACGACUGGGAUUGCAUGGGUCGGUUAUGAAGAAGCAUUGUGUCACGUGCUUAGCGUGUACCCAUGGCUCGUUUUAUGCGAUAGCGUUCACGGUAGCGCUCUUGGCGUCGGGUAUACUCAUGGUAGUGAAAAUCCGGUUUUCCCUUUCGACAUUCUUUGCCCAUCUAACACGGAACAUCGUCGUGUUGUGCAGUCCAGAGUAGUCAAGCUCCCAGAUCUCCUCGACGCUUCCAUAAAAUAGUUCAGUUGCGCCGUUGUCGCUGCCGGUCAUGCAUUCCAUCGUCACCGCUGAGUUCUGAUCAUCAUUGUCCAUAUCUUUGGCCUCCGUGUAGAACGUGUAUCCGUUGAUAUCAUAUGCAUGAUAGGUUAUGAGGUUGGGCAAGGGGCCAUGUUCCAAGGCGUAUAUGAGCAAUCCGUCCUUAGAGCCCUCCUCCGGGGGAUUAGCAAUAAUAUGCUCUUUGAACCAAUGCAGGAAAGUGGAGUUGUGCUCUCUAGUAACUUCGGCGUUCAUCCUGCAUACCCCCCGGUCACGAUACUUCUUUGCGAUAAUUUCUUUGUGCAGUGAUAUGAAAGGAUCUACCUCGUCUAGGUGUUGUAGCACUACCAAGUUUGCUCUGUCAAAGUCGCUGCAUCUAUCUAAGUAUGCCACGUGCAGUUGACUGCGACCGUUGCAGUGACCAUCUCCUUCGAGCUUCCCAUCGUGCUUCUUAACGGGCAAACCAACACUAACACUAGGCGGCUGGUCUGCACCAUAUAGAAAAUUCUCACAGAAAGAGAUGCACUCUUGUGUCAAAUAGCCUGGACGAUGCUUCCAUCCGGACGGGACAUGUUACGAACGAAUCCUUUGAUGAUCCCAUUCAUCCUCUCAAACGGCAUCAUGUUGUGCAGGAAUGACGGCCCCAAGUCUAUUAUGUCAUCCACAACAUGGACACACAGAUGCAGCAUCACGUCAAAGAACGCGGGCGGGAAGUACAUCUCAAGCUCAUUCAGUAUCACAACGAUCUCUUCCUGUAGCCUUCGGAGCUGCUUCACACUGAUCGACUUUCGAGAGAUGAUGUCGAAAAAGUUGUAGAGACCAAUAAGCGUGUCAUGGACGUGCUUGACCAUUAUCCCUCUAAGGGCAACAGGUAGUAUCUGUGUCAUCAUCACAUGACAGUCAUGAGACUUCAUCCCGCUGAACCUUUUCUUGUCCGUGUCUAGAUAUCUGCUUAUCUUGCCACAGUAAUCGGAACUAACUUUGACUCCGGUAAGGCACUUAAAGAAUUGACCGAGUCCAGAAUGAGGAUAUACGAGAUAGAGUUGGGGUAGUGCCGAUUGAAUAGAAGAUUGUCCAACAUCGACUGAGAUGGUUUGGGCAUAUUCAGCGCAGGCCUCCAGACGCGCCAUUGGAUAGCGGACGGCUAAAGUGUGCCGAUAAUGUCAAGAGAGGUUCCGGUAGACCGAACAUGACAUGGAGGAGUCCGUAAAGAGGCAUUUGAAGGACAGGAGUAUCGACAGAGAACUAGCCAUGGACAGGGGUGCGUGGAAGCUUACUAUCCAUGUGCCAGAACCAUGAGUUGCUUGCGAGGUCUUAUGGGUUUCACCUCUAGUCUACCCCAACUUGUUUGGGACUAAAGGCUUUGUUGUUGUUGUUGUUGUUGUUGUUGUUGUUGUUGUUGUUGUUGUUGUUGUUGUUGUUGUAAUAAAAUAAGCCCUCGAAUAAAGGCAGGCCGUCCAUCUAUUUAUGAUCGAAAAUCCACAUAUCUUGGUAGAAAAAAACAGUAAUAACAAAAAUCCAUACAUGGUGGUGGAUCAUUUAUUAGCAAAAAGUUCAGAAAAAACAUUUGAAAAAUAUCCAAAUUCAGAAGUACCAAAACAAAGACAAGUCCUACUAGUAUCCUUUCACAAAACACAUUAAAUGGAAAUCUUCUAGAUACAACAAGAUACAAUUCAUUAGACGACUUGUAUGUAAAUAUUUAUUUAAUGCUCAUGAUAUGGCUUAAGAUAUCAUGCAAUAAGAGUGCCUCGAAGAUCUGAAAAAUGAGACGUCCAAGCAUCUAUAAAUGUAGGGUCUAUCCCAAACUCCACUCUUCAGUAUUCACAUCUUUGUGAAAUGGCUCUAAGAAGGAGCACCAUGCUGAUUACUCUUCUCCUUGUUUUGCUCGCCUUUUCAGGUAUGAGAAGUCCAAUCAUCCGUCUAUGUCAUAUAUAUACUUCAUCUUGACACGAUUAAUAUAUCCAAUAUACGUCUAACACCAAGUUGGUUGGUAAAUACGUACCAGAGUGCCCAGAGAAAGACUAUUAAUCACUAGUUUGCGCUUUUUGUCCUCUUUUUUUCUGUAUUUAACUUGCUAAUUUCGUGUUUGGUAUGAACAACAGGCCCAAUCAAAGGAGAAGAUGACUUGGGCGGAGGCGAUGACAGUGACUUGGCCCCUCCUCCUCAUCCAGGGAGCAGUCAUAUGGCUCCUCCACCUCCCCCAUCUCCAAAGAGCCAUCCACCUCCAUCUCCAAACACUGAUUUGGCUCCUCCUCCACCACCUCCAUCUCCAACGAGCAAUCCACCUCAACCGACACAGCCGCCUCCAGGACCGUGUGUGGA
rnacentral:lncRNA from 1 species